rnacentral:lncRNA from 1 species
UCAAACUUAUUCUAAGUUUAAAUAUGCUCCAUUUAGACAAUACUUCAUUUAGUACUUUUUAGUAUAAACUAGCGAUUUGGUGGUACCAAAGUCGGUUUUUAACAUCAUUAAUUUAGGUCAAACGUUAAUCGUCUCCAAAACCACUCUAGUUUUUUUCUAAUCUUUUCAUUAAGUUACUUCUAGACAUAUUUGUAUUUUAAUUAUCACAUAAGAGAAGUAUUUAAAUUUUGACGUGGAAGAGUGAGUUUUUGAUUUUCACAUAAAAAAUAACUUUGUUAAUUCAAAAUACAAAAAUGUUUUUUAAUUAUUCAAUCACUAACACUAUAGAACCAUGGGAUAAAGAAUAAAACAAUUCUGAUGCUUGAAAACUCCUCUCACUAUUGUUAUAGUGCAUACAUUUUUCUUGCAACACGCUCAGCAUAAAAGCUUAUCAACUUGAACUUUCUAGAUGCAAACGUACUUUGUAGAACACUACAUGCAUAACUUAUAAUAGUGUUAGUGAUUCAUAAUUUUCUCUUGAAAAGCAAAUAGAAUUCGAAACACUACGUACACAUGCACACACACAUACAAUGCAUAACUUACAAUAAGAGAAUAAAUAACCCUAUCGAGAAGAAAAAGCAAACUAAAUAACCGCAAGAUUAGAAUUUUUUGUUAAGAAUACAGAAUUAAGUAUUAAAACUUCUUGUAAUGAAACUUGUGCAGUAAUUUUUUAAGGUUGACUUCUAUUGGCAGUUCAAAAAUAAGUUUGACUUUCUAGCAUUGUACAAACAAAGCAUACAUGCAAAUCUUCUUCUCCCGAAAACAUCAACAUCAUGAGUGUUAUAAUACAUAUAGAGCAGCCAUUUGGAAUUUAAUUUCUCUCUUAAUAAAAGUAGCCAACAUUUAUUUAAUUUAUUUGAUAUAUAUAUUUUAUAAGCUACCUCCACAAGCACCCAAUUCCUAGUGGAAUUGGACUUGAAAAAAAAAAGUACAAAGAAUCUCACAUCAAAGUAGAAAACACAUCACAAUUUAAAAUAUCAAAUUAUCAAAAGUUCUAUAUCAAUGUAAGAUAACUCUUCCACAAAGAGAAAUAGAGUCAACAUGCUUUUAUUAUAUGUUCCUUUCAAAAAAAAAAAAAAAAGCUUUUAUUAUAUGUUGUGAUUAUAUAAUAUAAUGUAGACAAGCAACCCCCACUAGACCACAAAUUAUUUUAGUAAUUUAACAAUUCUUUUUGGUUUGGAUUUUUCAAUCCCCAAAAAGUCUUAUAAUUUUUUAUAAUUACACAAAAGGUUGGCGUGCAAUAACCACAUCUGAACUUGUCCACAUCCAAGUGUGUUUUUAGUUGAAAAGUAGAAGACUCGUGUUUUCUACUCACAGGUGUAAAGAAGGUAUUGUAAUUGAAAUUUAAUUUCUUAAAAGCAAGAUUAAAAAGCAUGUCAAUGUAGGACAAGAAUGUCACCAUUAUUCUGUUUAUUGGACACCCUUAUCUAAUUUAAUUUGGUUUUAGCCACUAAUAUCAAAGAAUUUUGUCUAUAUUCACCUAAUUUGUUCUUUAUAUGGGAAGGUCGUUGUUUAUGAAAUCUUCCCUAAAUAAUCUAUGUGUCUAAUAAUUUGAAUACUUGUCUUGAAAUUAUUGGAUGAUAGUGAGAAAUAUACCCCCGAUGUUCAUGGAAUCAUAAACCCAUGGACGAAGGCAUGCAUUACGAAAAAUUGAGCACCUACAUCAAAGAGAAUCAAAGUUUAGGUUUAUGUAUGCUCUAUCAUGGUGUAUUCGUGCACCAUGACAUUCCAUGAGAUGCACCAUGACUUAACUAUUAUAUUGCAGAGAGGUAUCAAUAAUGAUCUUUGAAGUAGAGUGGCCUUGCUGCCACGAUCCACUGAGAUUCAACCCUUGUCGUUUUGAUUCGUCCCUAAAAAAAAAUGAUAUUUGAAUUUGGUCUCAAACUAAUGCAGAAGAUUUACAAUUGUUGAAGAUCAUCAAAGUCAUGAUCUGUAUAUUUAUUGAGCAACUUUUUGAACUUUCCCUAAUCUUCACAUAAAAGUCUUACAAUAAAAAUAAUAAUAAUGAAACCACUCACAAAUUCUUUGAUAACUUAGUUUAGUGAGCAAAUUAGAGAUGAAUUUCAUAUUUUUGCUCCCUAAAUUUCUGUUAUUAGUAUAAUUUUGGCAAGUAUUCUAAUUGGAAAGAUGCUCCAAGGGAUCCUUUCAUCUGAAAAAAAUAAAGAGAACCUAAAUGAUUUCUCUAUAUAGCGUAGCAUGUAAUUUCAAAUCUUGGAUAAAAAUAUCAUAUUUUGCAAUUCAAUGGCCCCGUUUGCCACAAAAUAACGGAUGACAUAUAAGAUUGUUGAUAGGUGAUAGAGAAUAAGAUAGUUUUGGUGGUGUCUGGAGCUCGAACUCUGACCUUGCAUAUAUUAUGCAUUGUCCUUGCAAACUAAGUUAAGUUUACGGGGACAAAUAAUAAAGUAGUUGAUUGAACAUAUAGUGUUCAGUGAAAUUAAUGUUUGAACUAAUUUAUAAAUAUGAAAUAAGUUAAAAAAAUGCAUGUUAAAUCAAUAUUUAAUUUUUUCUCUCUCAAUAAGAUAAGAAUGGUAAAAUAAAGAGAGAGAAAAAGAUAAGAUAUAACCAACUUGAAUCAACUUAUAAAAAAAAGCACUCCAUAUACUAGUAAAAUAAGUUGUAAGCUCGUGAGAAAACAAUUGUUAUCAAACAUUUUUUGUGUGGUCAUAUGAGCUUAUAAAGAGCUAGCUUAUUGUGCGUUGUGACAAAUGUAAGGUGAGAUAGAAGUUCCACAUCAGAUGAAAAAGUGAUCUUGCCUCAUUAAAACGAUGGUUGAGAUCAUUUGACCUUUAGAAACUCAACAAUGUGAUCUUGCCACAUUAAAGUGCACACAAACAUGAGUUGGUCAAAGGGAGGGCGCACCCAUGCGUGUGUUCAGUGCAUGUUGGUGUGUGUGUCAAGCGUAUGUUGACACAUGUAAAACGUUUAUGUGGCGAUGAUGUGUACUGAAACAAAAAAUUCCUAAUAUCAAUUAACUUAAGGCCAAACUUGGUUCGACUGGACAACGACGUCACACUUUUGGUGGUCAGCUUCAGUGCGUCAUCACCCGUUUACAAAAUUGCUUACCUCCAAUCGCACAGUAGAGCCCGAUCUCCACUAUAUAAACAUGUUGUGUGUAAACUCUCCAAUAUAAAACUUUAAGGAAUUUUUCAAUUCACACACAAUCAGAUCUAGUAUUCCAACAAAUUUCAGUCACAUACAUUGCACAUGGAAAUUGGUAAUCCGUUCGUUUCUUCCAUGCAAUUCGUAGCUUUCUUCCCUUUGGCACAAGCAAAUUAAUCUUCUUAAGUUACACGUUUUCUUUCUAAAGGAAAGUUACAUUUAAAAGAUCAUAUUGCUAAACAAAUCAAUAAUCUCUCUAUCAUGGUUAAUUAAUUAUCAAUAGUUUCCUAAUUGAACAGUACAAACAAAAAGGACAUAAAUGUUAAAGAAAAGCCACCCAACUUUUCAAUUUAGUGUAUAUGGUCUCCUAUCCAACCUUUAUAUUUUUGCUACUAUUAAAUUAUUAUCUAUUUUGUUAUCAUGGGAUACUUUCGACAUUAAUUAAUUAAUUUUGUUGUAAAGUGAAAUGGACUAUGUGGCUCAGGAACAUCUGUUUGUAGUGGCGUGGAGAUCCUAAAGUUAGCUUUUCUGGUCGAUCGAUAGAGCCAAUGAUCUCUGAGUCACAUAUAAGAUGAAACUAUUUUAGUUUAGUUUAAUUUUUAAAGGAGAAUAUAAAUAUAUAACCUAGUGAUUCAACCACGGUUCCCUUAUUUCUUCACGUACUUGCAUUUGCAUACAUGGAUGUGGGGUGGUAGGUUAGCAAAAAUAAAACUCCUACAUGUAUAUUAUUAUGUUUUACAUAUGCAUUGUUUAAAUUAUGUGUAUCACUCUUGCCAACCAAAAAAAUAAAUUGUGUAGCACAGGCAUACACUUUUUACCUAUAUAGCUUUAUGAUCAAUAUAAUUAUGUGCUGAUGGUGUAUCUAGCAAACUAUUCUAUAUAUUUUGAGGUCAAUGAGGACCACUUAAGUUUUAAAAUAAAUAUAAGGUCUUUAAGAUAAUUUUCUAAAAUCCAAAUAAUUUGAUCCAUUAAAAUAUUUUAAGAAAUCCAAAUAACCAGAAAGGUUAAAAAAAUAAAUAACCAGAAAGGUGCAUAAUUAUAUGUAUUUUACAAACAUAAUCUGAAUAAAUACAUGUAUACAUAAAAAUGAAAUUUAGUAAUAUUUAUACAUGGAGGUUGAGUAGCUCAACUUACUACUAGAAAAACACGAAUUAGAGUCGGAAUUUAGGGAGGAAAAAAAUUUGUAACUAAUUGUGACGGUUUUAAAGACGGAUAUUCAUAUACACCACAAAAAUUGAGAGGACAAACAUUAGUGACAUAAUGGAUUAAUUAUCCGUCACAAAAAUUCCGUCACUAAAUCCCUCAAAAAAUUGAUUAGUUAAAUGUUUGUUAUGGAAAUGAUCCUUCUCAAAUGUUUCCCUCACUAAAACCAUCACUAAUGUCAACUGCAUAGUUAAAGAACAAUUGAAGGCUUACAAGGAGUUGAUCGUGCAUCGCAAUAAGAUUAACGUUUGUUUAGGGAGCAAAUGACUAAAUUUAUGAAAAUGUUUUCUCAAGGUCAUCUAAUUUAUGAAAAUAUUUUGAUUUUGGUUUUUCAAGAACAAUGUGCUACUUCUAAUACCAUUAAAUUUUUUGAAAAGUGUUUGUUAAGAAACUUAUUUUGAGAGUUUCCUUAUGACUUUUAUGUAUUUUAAGAGUGUUGAACAAUGGUUGUAAAUUUAUUGAAAGUAUCCUUGACGUUUAUGUUUUAUGGUGAUGAAUGCAUGUGAUGCUCAUGAAGACAAUUUAUAAAGUGUUUUUUUAUUGUGUAUUUAUAAUUUCCAACAAGUUUCAUAUGGUUUAAUAUAGUAAAUGCAUUUGCAAUAAUAAUAUAAUUAAUGAAAGCUGGCAAGAAAUUAAACAUUAGAUGAGGAAUGCAAAUUUUUGUUUGAAUUUUCUCACUAAUUAGUGACGAAAAUAAAUUGUCAUAAAAUCAUAAGUGUAGUCUGUGAGGGAAUUCAGUUUCGUCACAAUUAGGGACAUAAUAUACCCUCACAAUCUGUGAGGGAAUACCAAUCAGUCAUUAAUUAGUGAUAAAUAUUGGUGAAAAGGAUGGAAUGGUCCCUCACAAUUAGCGACGGAUUUUAUCCAUAUCCAUUAGCGACGGAAACCAAAAUCCCUCACCAAUAUUUAGCAAGGUCAAAAUUCGGAACGGAUUACCGGUCGUCACAAAAUUCGUUUGUGAGAAUUAUAGUAGUUUAUUGACGGAUUUCUACCCUCUCUAAAAUUGAUUUUUCUAGUAGUGUGACAAAGAGAAAAAGAAAAAAAAAAUUGAUAUAACGACCAAUAGUUUUUAAUAUUACAGAAAUGAUAACUAAACACAUAAAUUUAGCCACAAAUACGACACCAGGGGUAAAAUCGUAAUUUCCAUUAAAAAACAUGUGCAUAAUUGGUUUUCCAACAGAAACUGAGGGGUAUUUUCGUGAAUUUUCAUUCAAUUUCUUUCUCUCUCUAAACUUUCUCGUUGUCUUCUCCGAUCCACCUUAUGUUCUCACCACCACUGCAUUUUCUCCAAUCCACCCACUGUUCCACCACCAUACCCUCUUCUUGUUUUAUAGAUCAGGUCCCAAGGAAAGAAAUUUGCAUAGGAGAGAGAUCUGUAAAAGAGAGAGAUGUAGAGAAGAGUGAGAACAGGAGAGAGAUGGCAGAGGACGACUGCCGAUCGUUGUGGGUUUGCGGAGAAGAGAGAAAUUGAGAUUUGAUUUGCAAAUGAGUAUGGGUGGUCGUCGACGGAGUUGAAGAGAUGGAUGGAGUCGACGACGGUGGCUGGUGGCCGGAAGGGGUGUGUUCGAGAGUUGCAGAGACGGCACAAGAGAUGAUGACUUGCAAAGAUGGUGUUGGGAUGGUAGUUCGCAGAUGAAAAGAAGACGGUCUGAGUUGCAGGGAAAAGAUUAAAAUAAAAUAGAAAGCAUAAAUGAAUAAGGAUGUCGUACGGUGUCGUAUUCUUGUCCAAAAACUUGUGUCCAGUUAUCAUUCCUGUUAAUAUUAAGUGAGACUUAAUUUUUUUUUUUUAAUAUAUGAAGUCUAUUUUAUCUGCAUAUGAUGCCUUUAUUAGAAGAUGUGUUAGGGGUCUGCUACAAUAACUUAACUAAGAAGAUGAUGAAGAAGAAUGCACAUAUAACUUUCAAAGCAUGUGUGAGACACACUAACCUUUAGGUUCGGCUCGUUCCCACCAAUUAUGUCAACAAAAUGCAAAAUGGUAUAACGGUGAAUCCCCUUCAGGAUACUUUAAAAUCUUUGACAUGACUUGCACAUUCAUACUAAGCGUAUCGAACAAUGUUAAUUUACAAAACAAAGUUUUGUCGAUUUCUCUCGUGCACUAGAGAAAAGAAAGAAUGAUAUAGUAUUAUUUUAGGCAGUAUUUUGACUCACAAGAAUGUGACAUUCUAUUCUAUUUUUUUGAAUGAUUUUCCUACUCCAAAGUAUAUCUAUUUAUAGAGAAACUUAUGUUUUUUUUUUUUUUUGUGAAGAGAUACAACUCUUCAACAGAGAUUUUGCAAUGACAAGAUGCAGUGAUUAUAUUGGUCAAAUAGUCAAGCAAUACAUCUUUUCACUUAAAUGUCUCUAUUCAAUCAUUGCAACUUUUCAAAUUUAUAUUUUGGAAAUUCCUUUCACAACCUUUUUAUUUGUAAAAUCUAAAGAAAAAUACUUUUUGUUGGUGUGUCUAAAACGAUAGUUGCUUAUAAAGGACUCUUAUUAUGUUUAAUUCUCGUUUUUCAUCUUCGUAAUAUAUUAAAUAAAUCAACGUAGAAUUAAACAUAAUAAAAGUAUUUUAUACUUAUAAACAUAUUUUUUUGAAGGAACUUUUUCAAAAUUUGUGUUGGAUCACAAUCUCACAAAACCGGUUCCACUUAUGUCUUAUCCCUUUCAAUGCCAGACUUUUACUGACUUAUUAUUCAUACAUAAUAUCAAAAUUAAGAGGUUUAUUUUUUUAUAUAAGAAAAUAAUGGUUCACACACACUUUUUUAUAUGUUGAAUAAAUUAUUUCUAAAAAAAUAUAUUAAAUUAAUUAACAUGGAUAUAUAACCAUUGUUUAGUUAGGUCAAAUGUUUAUUUGUUAGAAUCACUAAUGCAUUCAACGAUGUUUGUUCAAUUGGUAAAAGUUGACUCAUAUUUUAUGUUCUAUAUACGUGAGUUCAAUUUUCGCAUUUGUAUAUAUUUUGAUCUAGUUCCCCUCUUUUUGUAUAUAUUUUUCUCAUUUUUUAAUAAAAUUUUAGAGUUUGGCGGUAUAUGAUGGAGGUUUCUCGGGAUACCAACCUAGUUGGUUUGUCGAUGUUUCCUUUUGAUAUAUGUCCUCUCUUCUUAUCUAGUAUAAAUAAAAAAAAAUCUCUCGUAUUUGUGGUUAUAACCUUGUUAGCUGAUAAAAAAUUUAAGAAAAUGUAUCCACUCUCAACAUUUCAUAAGAAAAUGUAUCCACGCAGCCAUGCGAGUGUGCUUUGCGAUCUUAUCUGUUCCUGUAAUUGUGACAUGGUGUUGUAAUUGAACAGUGUGAGAUUAAUUUUUCUCUUCAACCAUGUAACAUCUACGCACAGCUAAAUUCUUGCGGUAGAUAAAGGACCAUAAUAAACAAAUAAAUUCCAUACAACAAAUAUUUUAGUGCACAUAUAAUUUUCAACACUAGAGACCGGUGAGUAGGUAUAAAUAUUCAAAAUAUAAUUAAAAAUAUAAUUAUAUAUGUAUUUGUAAAACCUCUCAACAAAGUUUUUCCAGGUAAUUACAUAGCAGAUACAUCAUACAUGUGCUCCGUUCCAAAGUUUUUCCAGGUUGUUAUAUGGAAUGCGAAGUUCAACAAGAUUCCAUGGAGAAAAAUUUGAUGGUAGAGAAUUUAAUGGAUACGCAUUCCAUUCAAAGCUUCUCAAAUUGUUAGGCAAAAAAUCAAGACCCCCACAAAGAUGCACAUAAUUAAUUCCCUUAACAUCUUGAUUGUGGCCUUCGAAAACAGGUAAUCUUCGGUUUGACAUAUUUGUAAAUGCUUUAGAGCUCAAAUUUAUGCAGGUAAAUUUGAGCCAUUUCUAUGCAUAUGCUUUCAAGUGCACUACUCCCCUAAUAAAUGAAAAUUAGAAUCAAUGUUAAUACUUUGUGGUAAGUUGCAGUUAAAAACACACACAUACAUACAUGUUUUUUGGAAUGCAAAGCUAUAUAUCAUUCAUACAUUAUUGUUUGUCAACACAUCACAAAUUUCGCUAGCAUUCCACAAUCUACUGCGUUUUCCAGGGUUUUUGAUAGAUUCUUCCCGAACAAUUUGCCUAUCCAUUUCUUGUAUCAAGUCAUGUAUCUCUAUGUGACUGUUUAAAGUAAUAGUUACAAGAGCCUUGUCUAACAAGUUUCUUAUCCCAAUAUCUGCAAAGAAACCAUAGGCAUUUAAUAUUUUUGUUACACUGCUGCUGCUAGAAAUAUAUUUUUCUCUGUAUCAUCUAAUUCAUCAUAACUUAAUCUCAACACCUUUUGAAUUUCAGCAUUGGAAAUUUCCUUCAGUUUAUUUAGAGCACUAUCCCAUUCUUUUUUACUUUUUGUACGAAGAAAUGAACCCAGAACUUUCAAAGCCAAAUGGUUGCCUUUUGCAUAAGAAACUACAUUGUUUGAUAUUUCCUACAAACAUUUUUGUAAGAAAUAAAUUAAAGGGAUAAAAUUUCAGUCAUACAUGAGAGUUUCAGUCCAGGACCUCCAACUACUGAUUUCUUCACACACACGCGCGCGCACGUACAAGUUUUGAUAUAUGAAACAUUUUUUAUUUGCAUAUGAGGUUUUACUAGCAUUACUUUUGGAUCAACACACACACACACACAAGUUUGAUAUAUGAAACCUUUUUUAUUUGCAUAACUCUGAUUAUAGGAUACAUGUAUGGUAAUAAGAAGGCAAGUUGAAUGCGAGUUUUGCCGCUCUUUCCCAAACCCUCUUGUAAAAAUACCUACAUAUUAUCCCUAUUUAUGACAAUGAAUCUUGACUCAAUUUAUAAUGAGUUGACUCCUACCAAAUAAGGGUAUGAAUUCAAUUCUUGUUGCCAAUGUGAGGACAUCUUUAAAGGAGGAUAUGUAAAUUCCUAUGCUAGUGAUCUCUAAUCCUUGAUGUCUGCUCUAGCUCUAGUGAGCCUCCAAAAUCUAAUUCACAUAAACUUUUCUUUAUAAAUAAAAGAUUUUACUUUUUUUUUUUUUUUUUUUUUUUUUUUUUUUACUAUCUCAUCUUAAAUUUUGUUGUAGGCCUCAAAUAUAGAAGAUAAAAAGAGUUUGGUUUUGUUUAUGUAACAUGUUUGUCGAAAGUUAAAACUCACUAAGAAAUUACAUCCCUUCGACUAAGUUGGAAGAUAUCCCUUACCAUCUCAUCCAUAUAGAUGAACUAAAACUAAUUUAUAAGACUAAAUUAUCAUAUUAUAAAUUUGAAGGAUUAAAUUAUCCAACCCUUUUAAUUUUUCAAAGAUCGAAAUAUAUGCCAUUUGAGAGAGAUAAAUGUAAAUAUUUUUGUAAGUGUUCUUUGAAUUCUAAGGUCUUCGUUAUCUUGAACUUAGAUACCAUCUCUCCGGUCUAAAUUUUAAUUAAAAAAUAAUUAAAAUACAUAUUAGAUGAGAUGACACGGGUCUCUUAUAGUUUAACUAAAGUCAUGGUUUCAAAUCCAAUCUUGAACAUGCAGCAACAUUAACACACUUAAAGAGAGCUUGCCGCCCAUUUAAAUCCCACAAGACUCAAGUGAUUAGUCUCCACAAUUACGCACGAGAAGGAUACCUGAUUUGAAAAACAAAUAAUCAAUUGGGCCUAAUAGACAAUUCUCGCAUCUCAGCCUUAUUAUCUCUACAAACUUCAAUCCGAAAAAGAUACGACACACAAGAGUUGAAAAUCCAAACGACAGUGUUUGUUGAUUAAAAUGUCCUCAACCAAUAAUUAAAUUAUUGAUAUGCUUAGUUGUCAAUCCAAACAUGUCAUAUAUAGGAACGCAAAAACAAAACUCAUUUUUGGGCAGUUUGAGAUGGGAAGAUAUAUGAUAGAUGCUUAAUAUGGCUUGUUCUCGUGAGCUUAGUUCAGUUGGUAGAGACAACAUAUAAUAUAUGUAAGGUCCAGGUUCAAAUCCCGACCACCAUAAAAGAAUGCUUAAUAUAGGUUAUUAAUACUUGGCUUUUAUAUGUGUUUAUUCCCUGCAAAUAGGGGUCAUUUAAAAAUUGGUCCCUGUAUUCUUUAAUCCUGACAAUUUGUCCUGCCAAAAUUUAAUCAUUUAAUAUUUCGUCUCUCUCCCCACUUAAUCACUACCACGUCACUAAUUACAGGGAUAUUUUUGUAAUUUCAUGUUUGUAAUUUCAGCGACGUGGCAUUAAUUAACUGGGCUGAGGGACCAAUUUUGAAGUGAUUAAAUUUUGGUAGGGCAAAAUGCCAGGAUUAAGGAAUACAGAGACCAUUUUUUAAAUGACCUUUAUUUGCAGGGACUAAAGACACACAUAUGAAAGCCUUAAUACUUUUUGAAGCAAAAUUGAUUUGAAAAGGUUCGAAAGAGAAAAGAACACAACCAAGUUGUUUGGGCUCCACUGGCAAGGAGCUCCUUACAAUGAUGUACCCUGGAAAUACCGAGUUCGACUCCUAGGGGAACAAUGCUUGACUAGUACACAUGUCUCUAUAUACGAGCCGGAUUAGACGUUCAUAUUUAGUGGAUCGGAAACCGGUGCAAAGUACAUUCAAAGAUCUUUAGAUGUAGGUUCAUCAAAGUAUGACCUUCUAUAUCCUCGUUGAUAAUGCAAAUUUAAGAAAUUGGAUUUCAACUGAGUUGUGUGUAAAGUUUCCUAUGGCCUUAAUCUACGUGCAUCCACGGUAUCUCCUCCUCCUCCAGAAUCAAUUCCAAUGUCUUCCAUCUCAUCUUCCUCUCAUGACGAUCUUCACCUUAGAAAUGAAUAUUUUCAACUACUCCCUCUCUUUUUGAUAUGACAAAGGGGGGAAUGAAUUAAGGAGCUAAAUUUAGAAAUUUGAGAAGUAAUAUUUUGUGUACUCUAGAAAUGAAUAUUUAGAAAUGAAAUUUGAGAAGUAAUUUAGAAAUUAAUAUUUUCAACCACACGAUCUAAUGUUUGCUUAUUUCUCCUACUAGUAUUUUAAUUUCUAAAUUAGGAUUAAUUGCUUUUUAUUUUGUUUUAAACCAUUUGAAUAUUCAAGAAAAUCAUUUGUGAUGUAAUUUAUUUAGUAUGAAACUAUGAAUGAUAUAUUAUGGUUCAAGUAAAUCACAAGUUUAGUUACUCAAUUUGCAUUUUAAAACUUUAAUAUGAUAUUGAAUGCUAAAAUUUUAGGGAGAGCUCUUUGUUAAAAAUAUACAAAUAUUGUUACUGAUUUGCUUAAUGAGAAUCAUAAAUUAAAAUCUAAUUCAACAAGUUUGUCAUCAUAAAAAAUAAGAGUUGCUGAGGUAAAAUUCCAAUUUUAUAAUAAACAUUUGAAGAAUAUUUUUAAGACUGAUAUCUAACCUGUACUUUUGAGUGGUUUAAUUUAUAGACAGGUUCUGAUUAUGAUACAAGCAUCUCAUAUUCGCGACAUAAUUUAAUCCAUCUUUGUGACAUGAUGCAUCCCUCUAAAUUGCGAUAGAUUGAUAUUUUGUAACAAAAUCCAUCACUAAUUUGUGGUCAAAAUCAAUAAUUAUAUGUUAUGUUUUCGUUUGGUAUUAGUGAUGGAAGAAUUAAGAGUUUGUUUGAGUUCAAGUGGUUAAUGAGUUCCACAUAUGAUGAAUUGUUUAAGAGAAUCUGAAUUCGAUUUCUGAGUGAAAUAAUUCUAUUAUUAACCAAACUUUACUUAUCUUCUGAUCGAACUCCAAAUUAUCAAGACUAUUUCCAUUGAGAACUAGAGGGUUAACACAACCAAAAAAACUAAGAGUUGUCUAAUAUGAACCUCCUAAAAAAGGUUUAAAGUUGGACAUUUACUAUUUUUAGCAAAAGAUUGAAUUUUAUAAUAAUAAUAGUAAAAGGAAAAAAAUGUGUAAUGUUUUAUCAAAACUUACAAAAAUCGAAUUUUUCUAGAAGUCGAAAUUUUUUGGUGGAAUCUAGAGAUCAAUUUUAGAUUAUGUCCAUCUAAAGUCGAUCAUUUCCGUUUAGAGAUCGACUUUAGAUAGACAUGAAAAACUCAUAUAUGUGAGGAUACAAUUAUGUCGCAAUUGGCUAAAAUUUCUAGAUCUCCUAGCUAAAUAUUUAAUGUCCAACAUCCACGGUUUUGUUUAUGUGGUUACAUUAAUUAGUUUGCGACGAAAUUGUGUUGCUUUAGCGACAAAUCACAUACCCUAUCUAAAUUUAGUUUUUUUUCUUCUUCUAAUGGAGUGGCCAAUAAUAAAUAGUUUCUUUUAAGGGAUAAUAAAUAGUUUCUUCAAAAAAAAAAUAGCCAAACACAAAAGCUAUCGGAAAAAAGCCCAAGGACCCAAAAAGAUCCCCGGUCACACACAAAACCAACAAAAAAUGAAGCCCAUCCCAACACGCCAACAUGAGAAAUAAAGACAAAAAACACCCACAUGACAGAAGAACCUCGAAAUCCUGGAACCACCCAAACCCUCAAAGACAUAUAAGAUCCAUAUGUGUCAAACAACAUUGAACCCUAAAGGUGUCAACGUACAAAGAAUUGGUUGUCUCCCACUCGUAAGGGGAGCCGCGCGAUGCCUAGAGAAUUUACCAAAGAAUCACUCCCAAGAAUGAAAAAUAAUCCAAUCAACAUGUUGCUGCUCAGUCUCGAAGUUACUUCUUGAGAAAGGUCAUUACGAACUUUUCAAAUAUACCACACAUUCGCAUGCCCUAGCUCUCCUCCUAUAUACACCUAAAAGAGAACACACCAACUAAAUGUUAAGAACUCGGACACUGCAUAUCAAAUGCUCAUACACGACUACCAUAUUUGAUGUACUGAUUGUGUACUCUUUUUUUUUAUCCAAAAGUACUAAAAGUAAAUGAAGAAAGAAUAUGAGGAAGUAUACAUAGUACAUUUUUAUUUGUCUAAAAAGUAGUGAAAAUUUAACAUGGUUGGUUAUUAUAAAGUAAAACUAGCAGCCCUAAACACCGUAGUAGCAAACUUAAGCCAAACCCAUGCUGGCCCAUCAACUUAUAUAAUAAUUACCCACGAACGUUAGUGGAAAAACUCGGUUGCAUAUUUUAUUGUCUCCCCUAUAAUUGUUAUAACCUACAAAUACUUAUACGUCACUUAAAUUUGAGCAAUCUCAUCCAUAAAUUCCCACCCCACAAGGCCACAACAACGAUUAAAGAAACAAAUUAAGAGAGAUUAUACAUACAUAUACACUCCUACUUAGGUCCAUUCCACCAAUUAAAGGAAUCACAAACAAGAAGAGAAAAAUAAAAUAGCUAGAGAGAAAUACAUAAAGAUGAGUGAAGAAUGUGGUGGAAACACUAUUGCUACCUCUACUACUCCAUUAAACUGGUGGUAUCUUCAAGCAAAUUCUCUUUCUUCUAAUUGGAAUGAUGUUAAACAUGCAUGGAACAACCAAAUGAAUAAUCCAAAUUCUUCCUCUUCUUGUGAGGAUCAAGAUAUAUCAGUUUCUUCUACAUCUUUCACCAAUGCAUCAAACCAUUCAAGCCUCACUGUUGAAUCCUCUCGAAGAGUAUUCGUCGAGCCGCAUGCACCACCUUCCUCCAACGACUUCAUGGCCGAACAUGCUUCGGAUAACCAACUAUGGAGUCAUGUUUUAUCGUAAGUUUCGUAAAUUGUUAAUUAUUACAAUUGUGCUAUAUGUUAUAAUGAAAACUAGUCUCAAUAUCACGAAAUAAUGUGCGUUAGAAUUUCAGUACAAAGGAAAAAAAAUUCAUAUGCUAUUGACUGAAAACAUGGAUCUGUCCAAUGAUAUUAUUUUGUGACACUUCUUAAUGGAACCCCUUCAUGACAGUAAACAAUUUCCUAAUUAUUAAUAAAUAUCUGAUGUUUUUACUGCUAUAUAUUAUUGAAACUGGCAAAAAAUUUUAUUGCUAUAUAAGAGACAAAUCUUUUACAGUUUUAGGUUAGAAAUUUUGUGAAGUUUAAGGGUGUUUUAAGUUAGGUAUAUAGGGUUAAAGUAUACGAUGGUUUUUUUCAGUGUGAGUAAAUAAUAUUCUUCUAGGCCUUUGCUUUCCACUAUCUAUAACAUGCUAACAGCUGUUAUGUGCACUAUAAUCAGUGUUUUCACACUAUGCAACAAUGAUCUCUUGUUUAUCCAUCCACAUACCAAUAAAAACCCUCUUGGAUUCUGUAAGAUAUAUAAUUAAAAAGUAAAUUUAUUAUAUAUUUUAGUAUAUAUACAGCUAAUUAGCUUUUUGUUUUGAUAAGAAAUGUUUGUAUAUUUUAAUUACAACUAAUUUACUUUCUUAUGUAAAAUAAUUUAUAGAGGUGUUGAUUCAAAUGGAGAGUUACACAACAACCAAGAAAUUGGAGAGAAUUUCUUGGAUGGACUAUCAUCAAAAACCAUGACAAACACUAUGUUUGAUGAACCAGCUUGUGACUAUUUGAAGAAACUUGAUACAACAAGUUGGGAAUAUAAUACUAGUGGUUCAACUUCAUUCAAUACUAAUUUUGAGAAGCACUUAAAUGGGUACAGUGAAGCUCUUAUUGAGAAUAAUGAAAGGUUGACAAAAUUAUCCAAUCUUGUAAGCACUUGGUCUAUUGCCCCACCUGACCCUGAAGUUAGUAGCCACUUUGAUUCACAAACAAAUAACAAUUUGUCUACUAAUUUGAAUAAUUCUAAUUCGUCCAAUAUGGAUCAUAAUCACUACACACAUGAUUCUGACCCUAAUUGUCAUUUCAAACUACCUUUUGGUGAUUCCACAUCAUGUACUAUUAGAGAAGGAGUAGGUAAUAAAAUGUUCCCUAGUUGCCUUGAUAUUCAAGACAUGAAUAAGGUUAAGGAAGAAUAUCAUCAUCAUGCAAGUGAAGUGAUGCAAGGACAUGUAUUUAGAAAAUCACUUAAUCCAAAUGGAUAUCUUGAUGGAUUUAACUCAGUGGGAGAUCACAAUGGCAAAUUUUAUGAAGGGUUGCCAAAUAUUUCACCAUGCACCAAAAAUUUCUCAGAUGUUAUAUCCUUUAAUAGUAGGCUUGGAAGGCCAGUUGUUGGAAUCCAUCCACAAAGGCCUAAUAUGAGAUACUCAAACUUAUCUGAGUCAAAGAAACAAGGGCUUCAAACACCAUCACAUGUGAGUUUUUUCUUCUUCUUUUAUAGACAAAUUUUAUUUGUUAAUUUGUUUUGUUAGCAGCAUACAAAUUUCACUUAAAAUAGUGAUGAUCCAUCUUUAUAUCCUAUAUUUUUGAGAGAUCCAUAUUUUUCUAAAACGGUAAAAUUUAUUAAUAAUUAAGUUUCUGCACUAGACGAACAGAGACCUGUAAAAUAUAUAUGAGACAAAUCCGAAAAAAUAUAUGAAGUAGCGACAAAAAAUUUAAAAAGAAAUUUUUAUAAUGUAUUUGUCUCUAUAAAUUAGACAUGGAAAUUUAAUUAUUUUUGUUUCUAAUUUCUUGGUUGAUUUAACUUUUUUUAGUAUGGCAACUAAUUUCUAUUCAAAAUUUAGAGAAAAAGUCAUGCUAGCUCUGACAUUAUUUUGUCAAAUAAAAUGUGUAUGCAAUUAAUUUAUGCAGAUGAGAACCACUAAUGGAAGAGGAGAGGGAACAACACGUGAAGUAAAGAAGAAAAGAUCUGAAGAAUCAUCAGAAGCAAGUUUGAAAAAGCCUAAGCAAGAUACUUCAACAACAAAUUCAUCUUCAAAGGUACAUAAAUAUAUUUAUUAUAUAUUAUGUAAUAUACGUACCAACAUGAACUAAUUAUGAGUGUAAAAAAGUCAUAUAAAGUGGGGGAAACCUUUUUAUUUUGUGUAUUAAUGUAAAUUAAGAAACUUCUAUUGAUUGUUUAAAAGGUGCAAGCACCUAAAGUCAAGCUAGGAGACAAGAUCACAGCCCUUCAACAAAUUGUGUCUCCAUUUGGAAAGGUUACUACAGAAUGCACUAAUCCCCACACCCUCUUCCCUUUUUCAUUCCUAUCUUUUUUGUAUAAAUAAUUCACAGUGCUUUUACUUUUCUCACUACCUACUUCAUAAUAAUCAAUUUAUUUUAUUUUUCUUUGUUGAAUUUCAGACUGAUACAGCAUCUGUGCUGUUUGAAGCAAUAGGGUACAUAAAGUAUCUUGAAGAACAAGUCCAGGUGUGUAUCAUUAUGGAAAAGUUCCCAUUCAUUAUGCAUUAUAUGUAACUAUAUAGUAUAUAAUAUACAUUAUUGUUGCUUUUCUCCUCCUUUUCAUUUUUAAUUAAUGCCAAGGAAACUUGACUUCUAGGAUUAUUAGUUCUUUAUCAAAAUGAAUAAACUAACAACAAUGCUGUGUUGAGCGAUUACACAUUUUCCAUGAAUAUCUCAUGAGCUUCAUCAACUAUAUAAUAUAAGGAGAUUUUAAAUAACACCUAACUAAAAUCUAAUUAUGAUUAGUAAAAAUAUGUGCCCCUGCCAGUAUGUUAAUCUUAGCUGCAACAAAUUACAAAAUUGUAUACUAUUAGUAGAUUAAAAACAAAACAAAAUGAAAAAUAAAAAUUUUAUAGGGACUAAACAUGUUUAACCAUGUACCAAAAAAAAAACAUAUUUAACCAUAUAUACUUUAAGUGAUUAAAGAUGCAGGUUUUUUUUAUCAUAACCCUUCCAUUCCUAGAAAAUGGCCUAUAUAAUACAUGUUCCGGCCGGAAAGUAAGUAAAGUCUGACAAAUAAUCAUUUUAAGUCAUAAUUUGAAACCAAGUUUCUUCUAAACUAUUGGUAUUAAAGGUGCAGCUUCAAACACAAACAGUUCAACUAUAAGUAAUAUAAUCAUCUUUUUCUUCAUUAUAUACAAUUAACAGUUUAAUUUAUCUUUAAUUAAUUCUUUUUACGUUCAUAAUUAUUAUGCAGUUACUGAGCAACCCUUACUUGAAGGCAAAUUCACACAAGGUAAUUAAGAAAUUAAUCUAUAUAUAGAUAUCUCUAUUAAGUACUUUUCAAAAUUAAAUUAUUCUCUCAAAAUUUCACUCUUAAUUAGAGAUGAUUAACAUAAUAAUUAAUCCAGGAUCCAAGGGGAAGCUACUUCGAUAGAAAAGAUAAGGAGGAUGCAAAGCUAGACCUUCGAAGUAAAGGUCUUUGUUUAGUUCCUACUUCAUGUACCCCUAUAGUUUAUAGAGAGAACAAUGGGCCAGAUUACUGGACACCAGCGUAUAGAGGAUGUAUGUAUAGGUGAUUAAUAACACAUGCAUAUGACUUAUGCCAAAAAUAGUAUGUGGUUGUAUGUACUAUAAUCUUGGAAAUUAUAAGAUCUCGUCAAUAAAUCAUAUAUUAUCCUGAAUGUAACUAUUUAUUUAUUGUCUUGAUGUAAUGCCUGGUUACACGAGUAUACACAUUUUAGUUGACCUUCAAACAAGGGCUAGUACUUAGCAUUAUUGAUUUUUCUUUUUUUAAAGUUCUCUUACUAGAAAGAAUGUGUUUUUCAUACUAAAAAAUUACUUGAGUAAAAAAAACGAUAUUAAUAAAAAGACUCUUAAAGUAAAAAUGUUUCUCUCAGUGAUAUAGACAAAAGAUGCACAUUUUACCAAUUUAGCUCUCCAAUUACAAACAAAUUAUUAACAGUCACAAUUGUUGGAUGAUGUAAAAAUUUGACAUUAACUAAUGUUUUUUUUACGGAUUAAUAAUUUUUUUCUACGAAUAUAUAUUCAAUUUUCAUUUUCUAUAGUUUUAUUCAAAUUGCUAACGAAGGAAAUGAAACACUCAUGUAAUGUAUAUGUGUGAUAGGGAGAAGGUGAUAAGCAAACUAGCUAGGAUGAAUGUAUUUUCAAAAUCAAUGAAAAUAAUGUUUAGGCACUUUCAAAGUUUAUCAAAAAGUUUUAUAUGUUUUAAAAAAAAUGUAAAAGAAGAUUGUGAUGAAAAUAUUCUUUUAUGUUCAUUUGUUGAAGUGAAAAUAAAAAAAAAUAAAAUAAUAUUUAUUAGGUAUAAUUCAGAGUAUAAUUAAUCUCACAUUGAGUCUCUCAUUAGUUGGUUAGUCAAAAGAAUAUGAAAUUCAUUUUAUUUUCUAAUCGAAAAUUAAUUAUAGCGAAGCAAUUAGAUAAUUCACACCUAUAAUACAAUCUUUAAUUUUCUAAUAGGUGUAAAUUCUCUUAUAGGUGUGAAUUAUAGCAAUUAGGUAAUUUUCUAAUACAUACCUAUAAAAUUAUCUAAUCUAAUUGUUAUAAGAAACUUCUAAGGUACACUCAGAAAGUGAGGUGUACCGGUACUCAUGCUUCAUAAUUUUAUAAAUUAACGAUCAUUUUUUAUGAAAUAAAUAGUUAUUUGUUAAUAUUAAUAUUUUAUAGAACAUCAUUUCAUAAGAAAAAACAUCAUUUCAUUGUUUAUAAGAAUUAUAAUAAUUUUUUUUACAUAUUAUCAUAAAAAAUAAUCAAUGUUCUCAAUUAUGAGUGAAAAAAAUUCAAAAAAAAUUAAUUUUAUUUCGUUGACACUUUUGAUAAAUAAGAUUUAAUUAUUAUAAUUAUAGAUGAUAAAAAAUAAUAUUUUUCUUUAAAAAAACAACUCAUUUAACUAUUAAUUUAAAAAAUGAGUAUACCAAUACACUCAAAUAUAUUGGAUGUACCAUAAAAUUUGCAUUGUUAUAAUUAUCUUAUACCGAAGUAAUUAGAUAAUUCACAGGUGUGAAUUUUUUGAUGAUUGUAUUAUAAGUGUGAAUUAUCCAAUUGCUUCGCUAUAAUUAAUCUCCACCUAAAAUUUCACUAAUCAACUUUAGUUGAGUCUCUCUUCUCAAUUACUACCUUCGUCCUAAUUAUAAGACUCUUUUGAAAAAAUAAUGGGAAUUAAGAUAGUGGAUAUUUGUAUUAAAUAUGUUUGUAAUUACUAUUGUUUUUACAAUUUUAUCCUUUAAGAAAUAGGGUUGGCUUAUGUUUUCAACAUUUUAUUUAUUGCUGAUUGAAGAAAAAGAUGUAUAAUAAAUAGGGGCAUGUAUGUAAAGAAAUAAUUAAUGUAGUUGGAAAUAGAAAAGGGGUCUUAUAAAAAGGGACAAAAUUUUUUUCUCAAAAGGGUCUUAUAAUUAGGGACGGAGGUAGUAUGUUUUUUUUUCUUCAUCCAAAAAAACCCUUUUUAAAGUGAAAUAUCAUAGAGUUAUUUAUUUUUUCGCAAAGGACUCACCAAAUAAUGUAUACAUCACCUCAAACCCUAGUCGUCACCCUUUUCUUCUUCUUUUCAGAGGGGUGAUUUAGGGUUAUUUUUGACACAAAAUCACCCCUCCGAAUUGUUUUUUCUUCUAUCAUAAUUAAAUAACUGAUUUCACAUAUUUUCAGUUUUCUUUCGUUUGAUUUGUGAUUACGUCGUCUCUGAACGACUCUGUUUGUUUUGAUUUCCCGUCUUUAUCCGGUGUGUUUUUGAUUUCCCAUCUUAGUGCGGUGUUUAUUUGAUUCAGGUUGAAAGAUUAGCUUUAAGCAAGUGCAGAUCCGAUCAAUGACAAUGACUUUGGCGUCGUCAACGUUGCAGAUUCGGAGACAUGAGUAUUCCGGAGACAUGAAUAUAGUCAUAUUAAUUAUAUUUGUAGGCAUAGGUACUUUGCCGUUUUAUGCUAUUAACAUGGAUGCUGUGAGUUUGUUCACAGAUUCAUCCUUUUUAUUUUUAGCAAAUUUGAAUUUGUAUUGUAUCGAUGUACUCUAUCAAUUUGAAAGAAUGCAUAUUGUUUAUUUUUGUCAAAAAAAUAAUAAUAAUGUAUACAUCACCUUAUACCGUAAGAAGCAUAAAAGACACUCAUUAACAAAAUAUUUGAAUAAGAAAGCAUAGCCUGAACUAUAUAAGCUUUGGAAAGUUAAUGAAAACAAAAUAUAGUUCUCCAAAUCUAAAAACCAAGCUGAUUAAAAUUGUUGAAAUUGAACAUUUGAGUUGACUCUAGUGUUUGUCACGAUCAAUUUGCAAGAGAAGGACCAAAUUUGACAUGUAAAUCAAAAUAUUUGAUAAAAGAAUUAGUGUGCAUGUUCAUCACCUGAUGUACAGAGAAAAAUACUAAAUAAAUUAUAUAUUCAUGGAUGGUCAACUGAGAGUUAGCUAAGUGUGCAUCACAUUAAAAACUUUUGUAAUAUAUUGUAACUUUUUAGGUUAUUGUCACUAAUUCUCAGUACUUUAGAAUAUGUGAAAUUGUAGAUAGAUUCUUCAUAUAUAUAGAAUCUUCAUACAUAAAAGGUUCACACUCCAUUUUAUACUCCUUAAAUAUGGUAUCGUUUUUAAUUUUUUUUGUAUAAUCAGUAGAAUCAUAUUAUUAAUUGACUGUAGAAAAACAAAACCAUAUAUGGUGGAACAGCAUGGAUGGUUUUGAACAUGUCCACUCACUAACAUUGAACGAUUUAGGAUGAUUUAAACAAGUAAAAGAUGGGAUUGAUUCUAGAAGUAGAGAGAAUGACGUAUUGUUAAGUGCCAAUGAGAAAUUGGUCAAAGGGGAGAUGAGCAAAAAAGCCAAUUGCAAGGUUGGUGGUGCACUCAAACAUAGAUCAGUCAUGCUUCUUAUAAUGACAACCAAGACAAACACACCACCCUCACAAAUCCUCACAAUUUUUUUGGAACAAAAGUAGUUUUUUUUUUUCAUAAUCCAAAUAUAUGGAAUUGAUAUAAUGAUAUAAUUCAUUUCAGUAAUUUUGAAAUUGAUAGUAAUUUCAAAUUUUUAGAAACAUCACUCCCUUCUUUUUCUCUUCUCCUCUUUUCAUCUUCUUCGUUCGUCGAUAAGGAGUGGUUUAGAAUUAAUUUUUUUUGGCAUAAAUCACUCAUCUAAUUAAUUUUUCUAUCUUUUUAUAUAAGUGAUUUUUCGUAUAUUUUUUUUUUUUGUGAUUUUGUCAAUUUAGUACGGCCUAUUAUUUUGUUUGCCAUCUUUGCUGCUAUGUUAGUUUGUUUUUUCGUUUUGUUCUGGUGUUUAUUCUAUUUAAUUGAUAUAUUAGAUUUGAUCUGAAAGCAUUGAUAUCUCAAACACUUUAAUUUUAUUGCAUUGAUAGGCUUUAUCAUAUUUGUAUUUAUAUUUUUCUCAUUUUCCUUAUGUUCUGAGAUAGAAUAUCAAUCAUGGCAAUUUGAAUUUUGAAAUGAUAGGAAUUGAUAUUCACUUUGGCAAUUUUGAAAACUACGGAAUUGAAUUUUGAAAUAAUUUAGAUCUAAAAGAGUUGAUAUUUUUUAACCUUUUUUUUUUUUUUUGUUUUUUUACCUAAAAAAAUAUUUUUUUUCUACAUCUUGUUCGUAUAAGGAUAUUAAUUUAUUUUAUAGACUAAUAAAAAGAUUAACAUCCUUCUUCUUCUUCAGCCUACAAACUAGUUCAUCACCACCACCGACAACCUCCAUAACACUGUUAAACGUUUAAAUCCAACAUCAACAAUAGCAAACAACACCAAGAACCAUUUCCUUCCAAUAAACAAACACAAACUAAAAAUUCUUAUUCAUCGUCAACUCAAACUCAUACCACAAUCUCCGUCAUCAUCAUCGCAAUACCAGAAAACAUUUUCCCUUCAAACUAACAAACCCAAACGAAGAAACUUGCAAACUCGCUUUUGUUGCCUAUAAUUGGAUUUGCACCAUAAGAAUUUUGUUUGUGAAUUUAGAUGGUUUUAUGCUUUUAUGUGGUCGAACGUGGCAUUUGAAGCACUUUCCAUUAACAAUGUUGAUAAACUUUUUUGAACAAACAAUGUUGAUAAACUUAAAGUUGGAUGCAAUAAGCUAUUAAGGUUCAUAGUGCAAAUCGUUUUCUUUUGUUGCUAAGUUUUUUUUUGUUUUUAAAUCUUUCUUUUAUUGGAUUUGGUCCCUUGCCAAUUUCAUUUUUUUUGGUUUUCGUCCCUCUCACUUAUUGACUAAUCAACUCAUUUGCCACGUGUCAUUUGCUUGCCACAUCAUCCAUUGUCACGCCAUCAUCUGAUUGCUCUCAUACAUGUUUUUGUAACAAAUGAUGACAGCAUGAAUGAAAAUCAAAACGUUUGCAUCUUACAUAAUUUGUAUAAAAAAAUGUUUUGAGCCUGAAUUAGAAGAAGCCCGAUCUCUUUUUUUACCAUAUCAUUAAAAAUUUAUAAAGACAAUAUUUUAAACUUUUCUAAUUACCUUUUACGCCAUCAAUCACUUUUAUAUUACCAUUUUUGUAUGUGUAUAGAAUUUUUUUAUACAAUUUCGUCAAAUUUAAUGGAAAAUAUAACAUAUAGCACAACUCUUUUAACAAAGGUUAUAAGUUCAAUCCAGCUAUGAAAUGUAGCAAUGUUAAAUAUUUUGAAGAGAAGCAUUGCGAUUCAUUGCUUUUCAUCAUCUCCCAUUUUGAUGAAUGAAUUGGUAGCAAUUCUCUUUUUAAUUCGUUCAUUCAUGGGUGGAGCUGGGCUUUGUUUCUUCCAUGCCUCCUAAUUGGCCUUUUAUGUAACUUUGCUUUUCGGAAAUUGUUUUUCUCCAUUUUGUUUUUGCUUAUUUUAUUUAUAUGUCUACGUGAGGGACGUUAUACCCCCACACCUCUACACUUAUAUCUUACCCAACAAUUUUUAAAAAUUCCAAUUUUACCCCUUUUACUAUAUAAUCUUUUACACAUAAAUUUUUCACCCUCAUUUUCAACAUCUCUUAAUUAAGGAUGAGUUCACCGCCACAUGAUAUUUUUCUUGAUACUUAUUUCCUUUUUUGUUUUUCACUAUCAAACGUUUCCGAAAAUAUUUCGGAAUAUUCAUAUAUACGUUUACAAAAAUAAUAUGAGAACUAGUCUCUCUUCAAAUGAAUGAUGCAACACAACUUAUCUUUCUCCUUUGAUGGAAAAAAUUGUUCUAAUACCAAUUAUUGAAAGAAAAAAUCAAUAAAAAAUCUUUAAACAAGCGGCAACACAACCACAAAAUAUGUAAAAGAGACAAAAACAAAUCACAAGACUGUUUAUCGACACUUCACACCUUCAUUCAUAAUAUCUUAACAAAAUAUUUGUUACAAAAAUAUGCAUACUUUUACUAGGAAUUGCAAACCCUCUUAUACAAUUAUAAUUUUUGCAUAGAUAUAUGCAAACUAAUCUUUCUCAAUUACAAUUUUUGUAAGAAAAACUACAAACUCUUUUAUGACACACAACUACCCAACCUCUUUUUUUUUUUUUCAUUACUCGAUGUGCGAUGUGAAAGAAUAUCAAUUUUAGAGAACAAAUGACUAUAAUUUAUAGGUGGCCUUUAUGAUUUUUCGCACAAAUUUUCAUACUGUGAAAUGUGAAUAGAUGCAUGUGCAGAGAUGGAGUUCAUAAUUUAAAUCUUACGUUAAAAAUAAAACAAGUUUUUAAUGUUAUAGUUUAAAAAUAAAAAAUUGUUUCUUAUAUACAAUAUUUUUAUGAAUAUUUACAUAGUUUUUAAAAAAAAUUAAUAAUGAAUGGUAUAUUCGUGUCCUGUAUGACACAAUGAAACAUAUGCACAUGAAUAAAUUAUACAUUAAGCCUAAUCAUAUGAUCUGAAAAGAUUUUCUCUACAUCUCGUCGAGCUAGCAAGGUAGAUAGAUGUCAACUAAUAUAUAUACAUUAAUUUUUAAUUUGAAUUUUUUUUAACAGCGUUGGAUUGACUUAUAUGUGAUAUUUUAUUUCAUAUUAGGGUAGAGUCUGCUCAUUGGAAACUGAAGCAAAUGUUGGAAAACAGCAAAGAUGACUUGUGCAAAUGUUGGAAGGGUAUGCACAACAUGAAGUUGCAAUUAGGAAAAAUCAUAGCUUCAUUUCAAAAAAGUUUUUAUGAAGUUGAACACGCACACACAAGUCUAUUUUAUGAAAAAUUGCGUGGAUUUGUUUCUAGAGCUGCUUUAACAUGCAUUGUUGUUGAGUUUGAAAGAGUUAGAUAUAUGGAAAUCGACGAAUCGACAUGUGGUUGCAAACUCAGAACAACAUAUGGAUUGCCUUGUGCUUGUGAGUUAGGAAGAUAUAAAAUUAGUGGUAUACCUAUACCAUUAGAUUCAAUUCAUAUUCAAUGGAAGAAAUUAAGCAUGGAAAAGUCAACAAGAGGAAGACACGGAAACUGGAUAAAACGAUUGAAACUAAUAAAACCUUAUUAUAUGACUAAUAGAAUAAAAACACCCCCUUUGAAUUACAAAGUGUGGCUAGAAGGGAACAAAUACAUUAUACAGUAUAAGCAAAGAGUGUGUUAAUUACUUACAUGACCAUACCACAGGGAGCUUUUCUAUACUUGACAUUAAAUUUAAGACAGUACACGUUUACUUAAGCUUAAUUUUACUAUAUUUAGUUAGCAAAAACAGCUUUUCAACUACAGUAGUUGUUUGAAUCCUUUAAAAAAAUACAAGUAAUUGUUUUAACUUUUAAUCACACAAAUAAACUACUCCAAAAUCCAAAUACAUAAACAAGCUUGGCUAAUGUGCUCUUGAUCUUUACAGACAAAGCAACAAUCACCCUUUAAAGUCUAAACAAUCCCAUUACUUAGAGAUACACAUAAGAAAGCACAAAGAAGCCAAAUCCGAUAUAAAAAAUAAAUGUGAUACAUACACAAGUCACAUAUAAAUAAUACUUCAUCAUCAGGGAACAAUAUAUCAGUCUUUUCCAUGUACAACGAUUCAUUAAGCAAUUAAAAUAGCAAUUGCUAAUAAGAGGCGCGGACAUGACCUCAAAAUAACAGAAUUAUCACAACAGACAACAAGUAAGGAUGGAAUAACACAAUUAAGUAAGUAAUGGACAUAGUAUGAAUAACUAAAUGAAUUCUACGAAAACAAUGUAACUAUAUUUCAUUUCCAUUAAUUGCAUAUAUAGAGGUAACCUUGAUCAGUAGUAUAUCUAUGCCCAUUAAUUAGUAUAUCUAUAAAAAAAAAUAGUAGAUCAUGACAAAAGCUACUUCAGAGAGUUAAACAAAAAAUUAAAAAAGUAAUUUUUUUUUGCGCCUGAACUGGAAUUCUUGGCCAAACGAUUCCGGGAAUAAUUAACCGAAAUACUUUGAACGCGUUUUCCGGAAACUACCGGAACACUUCACACAUGGUUUCCGGAAAUCAACCGGAACACUUUGGUUAACACGAUUCCUCGGACGAUUCCAUGAAAGGACGACGGCAAUAUUUCCAGAAAACGGUUUCGUGGAAGGAUUUAUAACACUAACCCAGAAAAUUUUGAAAAACCUAACCGUGAACGAUUCGUGAAUGAUUCCAGAAAAUAAUUCAGAACAAACACAUGGAAUUAGUGGAUGAGACAGAACACAGAAUCAGAAUAAAUGAUGCUUACUUGUUUGUUGGAAGAAGAAUCAGAAGAGGGUUUUCCAGAAAAGGGGAUUGAACGUUGAAGGAGAAGGGUUUAGAGUGUGUGGGGGUGAAAAGUGAAGGGUAAUUUUGGUAGUUUGUGUUAAAUGUUGGGGUAUAGGUAUAAAUGUAGGGGUGUAGGGUAUAACGUCCCUACGUUAACUCAUGUUGAAAAAAUCGAACGUGAGUUAACUCACGUUGGGCAUAAUUAAGGGAAUGAGCAAUUUAUUGCUUUUUUCAAAUAAAAAGUUGCUUAAAAACACAUGAAAAUGACACAAACCGCUGUAGUUAUCUAAGCUUAGGGUUUUUGGUCAUUUUCAUGUGUUUUUAAGCAACUUCUUAUGUGAUUUUUUUUUUUUUUUUAAUGUUUGUAACAGCUAAGUUUAUCAACUAUUAGUCAGCUUAUAGUUUCUUAUAAUAAUAUGAGAUUUCUUUUUGGGCGAGCGUGUUUAGUUUUUUUUUAAUAAAAAUAGAUAAAUAAAAUAACUUUAAUCAUUUAAUAGUGUUUGUUUAGGUUUUUAUUUUAAAUAUUAUUGUUUUACUCUAAAAUGAAAAGCUAUUAGAAUUAACUAUCUUUAAAAAUUUUUUUUUUUUUUCAAAAAUAUAGAGGUAACACAUGAACAAGUUUUUCUAAAAAAAAAAACAAUUAUUUUUAUAGAAGUAAACAAACAGAAAUAAUUUCAGAUUUUUUAAAGAAACCUCUAAAAAGAUCUCUAGAUUUUUAUAAUACAAAAUCUUUUUUCUUUUUAAGUUGAAACAAAACACCCUUAAUCUCUUUUAUUUGAUUUACCCUAGUUACAUCGCAUAAACCUUGAAUUUCACCAUUUCUAGAAAGAAAAAAAAAGGGUUAAAUAUGUUUUUGGUCUCUAUAAAUAUACCAACUUUUCGUUUUAGUCCCUCUAAAAUUUUCCUUCAACUUUUAGUCCCUAAAAAAUUUUCAAUUACUACUUUUGGUCCCUAUUUUUAAUUUAAUUUUUGUAUUUUUUAAUAAAAUUGUACAGAAAUGUGUAAAAUAUUCUAAAAAAAAUAAAGAAAUUAGAAUUUUUUAACAAAACACAAAUUAAAUAUGAAUUUUUAACUGUAAAAAAUAUAAAAAUUCAUAUUAAAUUCAUGAUUUGUUAAAAAAUUCUAAAUUUUUUUUGAAGUGAUUCUUAUAAUAUUUUGAAUUUUUAUGGAAAAUUUUAUUAAAAAAUAUGAAUUCUAGAUAUGAGUUUACUUUAAAAAGAGACCAAAAGUGAAAAUUGAAAAUUUUAUAGGAACUAAAAGUUGAAGGAAAAUUUUAGAGGGACUAAAUGAAAAGUUGACAUAUUUAUAGGGACUAAAAAUAUAUUUAACCCAAAAAAAAAAUACCCUUAAUUUGUUUUCAAAUUUUAACGUGACCACUGCAGCAACUAUAGACAAGGGAAAAUAUGGCGAUACACGCAGACUCCAUCGGUAAGAAACCUAGGUGUUUCUAGAAAGUUUAGUGGAAUAAUGAUAGUCAUAGUUGAGUCUCAUUGUUUACAAAUGCCAUUUGUAAAUUUUAUUUUGAAGGUGAGAAAAACACAAGAAGGGGGUUGAAGUGUGUUAACUUUUUCUUUUCUUUCUCUAUCUGAAACAAGCAGGUCAGAAGCAGGUAGAAUUCUACUUCUGAAGAGAUGUUCAGAACUAAAUGCAGCGGAUACGAAUAGAGAGAAAGAGAGAAAAAAGACACAGACAAUUUAUACAGGUUCCUUCCACAAACUGGAAGUCAGUCAUGUCCCCCUUGCACUUCCAAGGGGAGUUCACUAUGUAAUAUCUGAUUACAAAUGCUCACUACUAAACUUAGUAUGAGACUUCAAAUUGCUCAAGCACAACUGCAAGAGACUUCCUAUGCUCCUGAACACAAUCAAGAGACUUCUAUUGCUCAAGCACAACUGCAAGAGACUUCUAAAUUCAAACAGAAUUACAAUGAAAAAUGUUUGAGGUUGAACACUUGAUAUACAAUCAAUGGUGUUCACAAUACAAAUCACAGACUCUAGAAUUCCUAAGAUAUAAGCUUUGUUAUGAAAUUCUAAGUGAACUUUGAAGUGAAGAGCAAUUUCAACAGAGUUUUAGCUUAACUGAUGCGUAGUAUUGUUCUUUAGUAACUCUGAGUCUUCACUCCUUUAUAUAGAGUUGUGAAAGAGACGUUGAAAUGUCUUCUUAUUCAAAAUAGAGUCGUUUGAAGCUCUUGAUCUAUCACCAAUGAUCUUUUGCCUGAUAUGGUUAUUGUCCUAUGAAGGAUCAAUUUCAAAUGUGUUCCCAAUGUGAAUAAACAUUGUUGCAGGCAGAGCUGUUAUCCUUGUCUUGUAGCAGAGACAAACUCAUAAUAGUGGAGGUAGUGGUUGUACACUUCGUACAAACGUACUAUGUCAACGCUCUUUGAAGAAAAAGCAUCCAAUGCAUUUCAAAAUAGUCGUGCCACAAUUUUCCAGUCUUCUGCAAUCUUUAGGCGAGUUAGAGUCCUUGAAACAGCUUUUGAAAAUUUAAGUUCAAUCUUCUGAUGAACUGCAGCUUCUGGUGAUACACAGCUUCUGAUGAACUUGCUUCUGAUGACGUCAUCACUUCAGAAGCACUUUGUCUUUAGGCGCACUUCAAACUUCAGGAGCAGUUUUCUUCAGACGCUCGAAGCUUCUCUUUUUGUUGAUAUACUUGCUCUUUAUUUGUUCUUUGAAGACCAAUUUAAUAUGACAAUUUUUUUUCUAUAGUCCUGUACACUUGAACAAAUAUUAGCGUAUCCAAUUGACAAUUUUUAAUACUUUAUUAUCAUCAAAACUCUCAAGGGUUAUUAUUGCUAAACAAAUUUUAUUCCAACACAUUUUACAUACAUAAUCAAUCAAACAAUAUGUUACUCGCAUUUCUUUUUACUUUAUAUUUAGUUAUGUUUUUAUUAGCUUAGUUCUCAAAAAUCACAACGGAAGAACGUAGUUUCUUUCUACUUUAUACUUACACUCUUUAAAGAAUGGAAGAACAUCGUUUCUUUCUUGGCAUAAUCGUUUGGAGGAAAAGAGAAUCAUUGUUGAGAUCUAUUAGCCAGUUCAUCAGCUAAUUUGGCAACAAUUUGUAAUAAUAAAAUUGUUGUAUUAAUAAAAACAAAGCAAGGUGAGGACUAAAAAUUACCAAAUAACUGUGUGAAUAUUGGUAAUAAGAUAGGAAAUAAGAGAAGGAGUGAUAAAGAAAGGGGUAAGGGCUACAAGGGUCAGUGGCCCCAAACCAUCAUCUACGAAGGACACAGUAGCCUGUGCAAUAGCAGCAUGUACAAUAGUGACAUAUUUUACCCUCCAAUUCAUCACUCUUUGCUAGCAAGAAAACUUUUAAAUUUUACCACACAUAAUUAAUUUUCCAAUACAAAUUAAAUGAAAGAAAACACACAUAGAAAGAGAUAUUGUUAUAUAUGCAUACGGGUGGACAAGCAUGCAUGUAAAGUAGCAAAAUAAAUUAUUUAAAUAUUCAUAUGACACAAAAUGAUUGAGGAAUAUAACAAGAGAGGGUAGCUAAAUUUUACACACAAGAAAACAAUAGCCAGAAGAUAAAUAGCUAGGUAUAUUGUUUUCUUCUCCUCGUCUCUUCAUUACUCUUGUCUCCUUAGAUCCUUUCCUCUUGCAACCUUUUUGCUCUCAAUCUGUGAGUUUUUUUUUCUACUUUUUCUUCUGACAUGAAAAAAACAACCACAAAAAAAUCAAAUAUAUAUAUAUUUCAGCUCUUUCUAGCUUCUUUAAAUUAUUUUGUUAUAUAGUUUCUUUAAUUUAACUGAUCUCUUUUUUGUUAUCCUUGUUCCAUGAGAGAAGGAAACAUGUUAAUGAAAUUUUUCUUUUAGAAGAAGAAUUAAACAUUUGAUUAUUAAGUUUUUGUUUAAAAAUUUCAGAUUGCAAAAUAUAUAAUUAUGGCGGCUGCUUCUUCAUCUACAUCAUUCUUUGGAAUCAGAGAAGAAAAUCAAAGUCAAAUAACACAUCAUCAUCCUCAUCCUCAAUCAACUACUACUUCUGCUACUUCCUCAGCUCCUUCAACCACAGUUCCUCAAAAGAAAAGAAGGAAUCAACCUGGAACACCAAGCAAGUAGCUUAAUUAUUUUUAUUUUCAUUAUUACUUAAAGCUUCAACAUGCACACACCCUUCUCGAAUUUUUUUUUUUUUUUUUUUUUGUAUUAUUUUCUCAAAAAACAAGCAUAAUGAAACCCUAAAUCAUGAACAUGAGUUAGGGCUCUGAAUUUCUUUUACAAAAAAGCUAUAUAAGAACUAUGUUUAGGGUGCAUGCAGUCUCCUCCAAUUUUAUUCUCAAAAGCAUAUGAGACUUCGGUUUUAAUUUUUGUAAUAAUUUUUCUAACUUCUACUGUUUUUUACUACUAUUACCAUGAGUUUGUGGCUUUUAAAUGGAAAAAAUAACAAUAAAACAUAGUUCUUCAUUUCAUGGUGCAUAUAUAUUCAAUUAUGAAUACUUCUUUUGAUGUUAAAAAAACUAGAAUUUUAUAAUAUUUUUCUUAUACAAAAAAAUAUAUAAUAUUUUGUUGUUUUGGCAUUUUUCAUGGUAAAAAGAUCCAGAUGCAGAAGUGAUAGCACUAUCUCCCAAGACUCUAAUGGCAACAAAUAGAUUUAUAUGUGAGGUUUGCAAUAAAGGGUUUCAAAGGGAGCAAAAUCUUCAACUUCAUAGAAGAGGACACAAUCUUCCUUGGAAGCUAAAGCAAAAGUCCAACAAAGAGCCAAGGAGAAAGGUUUAUUUGUGUCCUGAGCCCACAUGCGUCCAUCACGACCCUUCAAGAGCUUUAGGAGAUCUAACUGGAAUUAAAAAGCAUUUCUCUCGUAAGCACGGUGAGAAGAAGUGGAAAUGUGAAAAAUGCUCAAAGAAAUAUGCUGUUCAAUCUGACUGGAAAGCACAUUCUAAGACUUGUGGUACUAGAGAAUAUAGAUGUGAUUGUGGCACCCUCUUCUCUAGGUAACAAACAUCAUCUUUAUAUUUAUAUCUUCACAUCGAUGUUAGUCUAAUUAUAUUUCAUAAAUAUGAAUUCAUCACUCUAUAUACAUAAUAUAUGCUACACUUUUGCCAAAUGUUAGGGUUAUACUUAUAUGGUUUGGUAUUGAAUAUUAUUUUAUUUUAUAGAAGUUAGUGUUUGAUUAUUUUUUUACUACCAAUUUUAUUAUAAGAAUUCGAUUAUUUUAAUCAUGUUUUUUUUCAUCAUUCAAUUGCAAGGAAAAUGGUCAUAAGUCAUAACAAUCUGAAGUUUUGCAAGAAAGCAAGUAAAAUCCAACCAAACCGUAGAUCAAACUCAUAGACUCCUUAUAUAUCGUUCUCUUUCUUUCCUCUUCGUAUUGAGCUCUAAUUUAUCUAAAUUGAAGUACUCUUUAAACUUCUUUACUAAGGAACCUUUUACAUAUAAAAAGGUGUGUGUAUAUAUAUAAAUAUAAUAAGUUGAAUUUUUUUACAAUAAGUAAAAACACACAAAGGUUAAAUUUGAACAACAGUCUCUUUUAUGUUCUUAUCCCAAAAAAAAGUGAACAAGAGCUUUCACCCUUUCUCUGUUAGUUUGUGUUUGGGUGUUAGUGAAGGUGUAUAUUGUAUGGCGCAGGAGACUGCAUGCACGUGAGUACACUGUUCAAAUGUAGUACAAAAAUUGAAAUGUUUGAAGGAAAAAAAAUCAACUUUGGUUUUAGGGAACCGUGCCCAUAAUCUUUUAACGUUCACGUGUAGUGAAACAACAUAAUAACUUUGUUCUCAUAUGAAAUGGAUUGGAGGAGAUGCUGGGUUUUGUUCUCUUUCUUGUUAGCUAUUUCUAGUUUUCAAAAUUCAAAUACAUUUCCAUGUUCUUUUUAGCAAUGGGUCCAAGGUGACUAAUUUCCAUGUUACUAACAGAAAAUUCUCUUCAUUAAUUGGUCAUGUUUCUCAUAUAGAUUUGCUAGAAAUUAUGUGAUAUAACGAAUUAUCUUGGUAGAAUAUAGACAAGUAUUGAGGUUGCUUGCAUUUAUUAAGUAGGCCCCAUAUUGAAAUUUUUGAGUAUUGACUUUCAUCAUAGUUGCAAACAAUUCUCUCUUUUAUUGAUCAAAGAAAGACCUCAAAUUAGAAGUUUGAUUUAGAAAUUCUUGGUUUGUUUCAAAUUUUGGCAUAAUCCCAUGGGCCCUCUACUUCAAUUGUAGUUUUCUUAAUUUCAACAUACUAUACUAGUUUCAAUUAAUUCCAAUUAAAACAAUUAGGUUACUCAUAUUCAUUACACAAAUAUAUGGGAUUAUAAUAUGAACUUCCAAAGGCGAACAUAACUAUUUUUGGUAAAUUUUAAUACAAUAUUAGAUAUGUUCUCCUUUUUACUAUAUAUGGUAGGGGUCUACAUUAUACCCACCCAAAAAAAUUGACAAUGAUAUAUAUAUGUUGCUUAAUUCUUUGUAAUUAAUUUUGGUGCAGGCGUGACAGUUUCAUCACUCAUAGGGCAUUUUGUGAUGCACUAGCACAAGAGAGUGUAUUAAGACACCAUAACCCUUUUGGGAGUACUCAUCAAUUGUAUGCCACAAACCAUCACAUUAGUUUAGGCCAAAUAUCCCAUCAAUUGCAAAAUCAUCAGAACCAAAUUACAUCAUCCACUAGCAACAAUAACAACCUUUUGCGCCUUGGAUCAGCACCACCAAAAUUUGAACAAAACUUAAUCUCAUCACCACCUUUAAAUCACUCUUCAUCAUUUGGACACUCAAUCCCAUCUUCAUCACCAUUCUUCAAUAUGAGUGAUAUUUCAAAUCAAUCCUUUGAAGAACAACAAUCUCAACAAGGACAAUUCUUAAACAAACAACUACAUGGUCUAAUGCAUCUUCCUGAUCUUCAAGGCAAUACAAAUACAAACAAUUCAAAUUCUUCCAAUCUUUUCAACCUUAUGGUUCAUGAUCAAUUCAACAACAUGAGUAGUACCCAAGGAACAACACUUUACAUUAACAACAAUAGCUCUUUAAGUGAUCAUCAAGUUGGUUUUGUCAAUUCAAUGCAACAUGGUCAAAACAUGUCUAGUCCUCACAUGUCUGCCACUGCAUUGCUUCAAAAAGCUUCUCAGAUUGGUUCAACUAAUUCUACCAACAAUAACAAAGGUAGUAAUAAUGAUCAUAAAUCAGGUGAUAGGGACUUUGUUGUGUCUGAUCACAACAACAUCAAUGCCACUUUUGGAAAUAGAAGUUCAAGUAUUGAAAAUGAUCAUGACAACAACGAUCUUCAUGGAUUGAUAAACUCUAUUGCAAAUGGAAACACAUCAUCCAUAUUUGGCAAUGAAAGCAAUCUUAAUAUGAGAUUUGGUGGAUCUGAUAAGUUAACUUUAGAUUUUCUUGGUGUUGGAGGAAUGGUCAGAAAUAUGAGUGGUGGAUUUUCACAAAGUGAACAACAACGUGACAUGAUGAAUACUAGUAUGGUUUCUUUGAAUCAUGACCUAAAAUCAGCACAUUCAAGUCAACAUUUUGGAAGCUCAAAUAUCUUGCAAUGAAGAUUGGGGUGAGAAAUUUAUUAAUUUAAGGAAAUAUUGCUUGUUAGUUACAUGUGAAUUAUUCAUUAAUUAAGUAGUAAACUUUGUUUCAAACAUUUAUUUAUUUUAUUUUUGUUUUCCUCAAAAGAAGUGCAGUUCAUUGGUAAAAUGAGGUUCCAAUUCUAGAAAUUACUACAAAUUACAAUCCCUUAUUUUAUUUUAACACGUCCCUUUCCUUAUUCUUUGCUCUCUAUGAUGUGAUAGAGAGAUGUAAUAAAUUCACUUUUGAAUUUCAUGUGUGAGCGAACAUGAGAUAAUAAAGUUUAUAGAAAAAAAAAAUUGAUUCAUUAUAGAUUUUCCUCUAAGAAAAUUAUUUCUCAAUCACAGAGGGUAAAAUUCCAUGCUCGAACCAAGAAAAAAUAUUCAACCUAACAAUUUCAGCAUUGUUAGUUGUGCUAGGUUUUACGGACCAGGACAUCAUCGUUGUCUACCAAUUUUUUUUUACAGAUUUGAGGCGAUUUAAUUUGGUUGAUAAACACGAGUAAAUUACUCAAAUGCCCCUUGGCAGUUAACUGCCGAAAUUUUAAAAAAUCGGCUGCAGUUAACUGUCGAGAAAUUUCAAACCUGAAAUUAAAUAAGGAAAUACACCUAUGUUUUCCUUAAUUAAAUUUAAAUCUUUAAUCCUUUUAAGGAAUUAAACAUAAUUAUUUUUAUGAUUUCAUUCAUAUGAUUUUGUUGCUAUAAAUGAAGAAAUAUGAGAGAUGAAUAAUAUCUGUAAUCGGUAGUUAAUAGACCUAAAAUGAUGAUUCAAUAAAAAAAAUGCAACAACAAAAACGUUACAAAUGAUAGAAUAAUUAUAUUUGUAAUUAUUAGUAAUUAAUUUCAUUGAUGUUGUUAUUAUUCAUAAGUUUGACUAACCUAUUAUUACUUUAUACUAAUAUUUUAGAUAUUAUUACUUUAAUUAACAUGAAAAACGCAACAACAAAAAAUAAGGGGGAUUUAUUGGAUUAAGAUUCUAUGGGAUUUUAAAAGAUUUUUUAAUUAUGAAAAAGUCUUGUGGUAUUCAAUCAAAACUUUUUGCAGCCGGUUCUUUAAAAUUUCAACAGUUAACUGUCGAAGGAUAUUUGAGUAAAUUACUCGUAUUUCUCAGUCAAACCAAAAGUGUGAACAGCAAUACUCAAUUUCAAAAACAUGUAUAUGCCACGGUAAAUAAAGCCAGUUGUUGACUUGUUGAUAGUUGUGUUGUUAUUACUUGUGUACAAAUGCUUACCAAACGAGGGUGGGAUGUUGGCACUCUGUUAUGUUAAGAAUCUUCACGUUUUGGCUAUAUUCCAAUGGAAGCGACAGAGCCUCAUUUCCGUUCAAUUUCAUCUUUGUUUUUUUAUAUACGACGUACAAAUACUAACUAACUAAAGGUACAUUAACUUUAAAAUAAAGCAAGAAAUUUUGUAGUAUUGCUUACCUAAUAUAUAUAUACCUUACUUUUAAAAAUACAUAUUAAAAUAUAUGUAAUAAAAAAUUAUAUUAAAUGCUAUAUAAAUGUUAAAUGUUAGAGUCUCACAUUGAAUAUGAGAAUAGUAUAACAAUAUGUUUACAAGUUAUUUAUAAUAGGUUCUUAAUAAUAAUACUAAAUAAAUAUCAAAACUUAUUUAUAUAGAAGUUAUUUUAGUAUUAUUAAGAGCCUAUACUUUUUUUUUGAGCAAAAGAGCCUAUACUUAAUUGAUAAGAAAUUGUUACCAAUAUACCAACUCCAUUAAGUACCAUAAAUUUGAGAAAGAGACCUUGCAUAUUUUUCAGGUGAUUUUGUUGACAUCUUUUUCUCUUAACACUAGGAAGGACCCUUUAGUUUUUCAUUGUAAUAUAAAUAUUCUUGUACAAGUUGACUACCUUUGAAUUUGCAUGUCGUCGUUGAUGGCUAUAUAUAGGGUUAGAUCUAACGUCAUUGUUCAUUUGGUGGAAGAUUUUUAUGAGGAGUGUGUGGUACAUAACAUAUGCAACAUAAAUAACAUAUUAGCAGUAGUCUCUGCAAUGUUCGUUAUUGUAAUUACUGGUAAAAUAGCUGCGACACUUUUGUCGCAUGUAAAUUCCUUCUUCACAUGGAAAUCACCCGUCCGUGAGUGAGUGAAUGAAUGAGUGACUAUUAACCAACCAACCCAGUCAUUUCAUUUCGCCUUCACUCUCUACCCGUUACAGUUUUUCUAACUUUCUUUCUUUAGAUUGAGUAACUUCAAUAAUGCAAUGCAACUAAAGAUUAUUACUUACAACUUCUAUGCUCAAAUAAUUGUUGCAAUGCAAUUAAACACUCACUCAUGCGUGUCCCCGUGAGCCUAAUCCAGUUUGUAGAGACAUUGCAUUAUAUAUAUAGAGGUUGGGGUUCAAACUCAAACACUCUACUUAUUCACCUUAAAAAAAAUGAAUUUAAGUCAAUUGGCUACCUGACUAAAAAAAAACGCACUCAUAUGUUUUAUUUCAUAAGCUGGUUUUAGACCUUUUUAUCUGAAAAACUUAUCUCACAUUGUAGUUGAUAUGUAUGGUUAGACCUUUUGUGAGGUUUGUGUGUCCCCUAGUCUAUCACUCUCUCACAGUUAAACUACUUUGUUUUUGAGAGGUUUGUAUACCUUACUUAAAAACAACUAUCAUUCUCUCAUCAAUUUCAUCAUUAAGCUAUUAAAAUUAACUAAAAAGUACCUAAACUAUUCUCACAUAUAACUAUUAGCCCCUUGGUUGACAAAGUUAAUUUUUUUUAUGAUGGUUUAUGGACUAAAUUGAUAUAUUUUUUAUAGUUUAAAGAUCUUCUAGUUGAUUUUAAUAACUCGAAGGCUAUAUAUGUGAAAAAAUUGAUAGUUUAAGGAACAAGUUGAUUGUUUAUUCUUAAUUUGAUUGAAGUCUACUGGCACACAAAUUUACAAGGAUACGGUGGAUAUGGGGAAGUUAUACCUGAUAUCCCUACAUUUAAUCUUUUACCCCCUACAAAUUGUUGAAAAUGCCAAAUUUACCUUUUAUCAUUUCACUUCACCCUGCAUAAAAUUUUAGCCAACAAUACACUUCCGAGAUUUAAUACUCCAAUUUUCGGAAUAUUCAUAUCAAAUUUUUAUGGUAGAUUAAUUUGUAAACCGGAACAAUUGAGUAAAGAAUUAUUAUCAGAAUUCUUUCUUCUUUCAUCGAGGUUUGAGAGACAAUGAAAGAUGGAAAAUAGAAUACAACAACCUGUAUUAGUUAAUAUAAAAUUAAGUGCAAAGCAAAGAUCAUGAUACCAAACCUCAUCAAUUCUUCUUCCAAUUCAUUUUAUUUAGAUCUAAAAAAAUGAAAGGCCGUAUAUUUCUGGAGUAGAAUUUUAGAUGUAAGGUUGGGAAAUCAAAAAACCUGGCUAAAACUGCAGAAACCUGUUUUCUGAAUUCUUUCUAAAAAAACAGUGUAAAAAAAUGCUUGUCUCUUUAUCUGUAGAUCUAAAAAAAAAUCAUUUCUAAUUCAUCUUGUUUGGAAAUAUGAAUACGAAAAGUUGUAUAUUUUAAUUUUUUUUAUUUUUACAAAAUACCGUUGUUGGGAAUGUGAAUAAUCUAAGAUUAAAUGUAGGGGUGGUAAAAGAUUAAAUGUAGGGGUAUAUGGUAUAAUAUCCUGGAUAUGGUAGGCUUAUAUUACUUAGAACCCAAAUCAUGUUACUUAGGCCCGUCAUCAUGGACUUUUUUCAUGUGGUUUCCAUGCAGGCUAGUUGAAUAUUGCUCUUUAGGCAUCCAUGUUUUGCUCUCAGACAUUUUGAAAUUAUUAUUUUACCUCAAUGAAAAUUAAUUACCAUUUGUUGAUGAACGAUGGUUAGUUUUCAUUCUCUUAUGAACAGUAGUUAAUUGUCGUUCUAGGGCAUUUUAUGUGGUUCAGAUUGCGCAGACAGUUUUUGUGGUCCACGAUACAUAAAAACUUCUAUAAAUUGGUGUGUUUGGUUCAUUUGAAACCACACCACAAAAUCAUGAAUAUUUAUCUAGUAGAUCCGAACACCAAAUUAGCGCAGUUAACUACAACGGGGAAAACUCAAUAUGUUUAGGGUUCAGGUUAAUGCUAUAUCGGUUGACUUGAAGGAACAUAGUUGGACCAAAUUAACAGUCGACUCAACCACAAAGACACAAGAAAGGUGGAAAGUGUUGAGUAUCGUCAUCCAUUCGUUUGACUCAUAUGAAAGCGUCAAGUUCACCCAUAUGAAGUUCAAGAACAACGACAUCGUGAGAACCAUCAAGUUAGACGCUUCAUUGGUCAAAUAUUUUUUAGAUGUUCCGGAAAGUUUGAUUCAGAUUAGGACCUUCAAAGAAAACAGGACUUGCAUGGAUAGACCAAAAGAAAUAAGUAUGUCUUAUUCGUGAUUUUGUAUGUGUUUUAUUAUGUUGUUAAAUUAUGUUAGUGUAUUGUGUUUUAUUAUGUUUAAUGUAUGUUUUUGUUAACUUAUGUCAUUGAAAUUAUGUUAAUGUAUUGUAUUUUAUUAUGUUUAAUGUAUGUUCUUCUGAGCUUUCCUUUGUAACUAAUGAUUAACUACAGUUUCUUCUGAAAACAACAAUUAACUAUUGUUCCUAGAAUGGGAGUUAACUCUUGUUUAACAACGAAAAAUAAUUAAUUAUUAUUUCGGAUAAAAUAGUCAAUUUGAGACGUGUUAAAACAAAGUAUGAGUGUCUAACGAACAAUUUUCAAGAUAGUUUAGUCCUUUUUGGGUUCUACCUUUUUUUUUUAUGAGUAACUUCUACACCUAGUUUCCAUUCUUUUUUGUGUUAAUUGUCCGAUUUCUUAGCAUGUGCGUAACUCACGCAGCGUGACUUAAGUCACACAUGUGUAAAAACUAAGUCAUGUAUUUUUUACACUUGCGCUAAUUAACUAACGCAAGGGUAUUUUCGGCAACACUGCAGGGCGCGAGUGUUUUGUGUUGGGUGAAGAGCAGAAUUCUAAAGUCAUAUAUAUAUAUUAUGGUUUUAAAAGGGUAAUUGCUAAAUCAGAUUCAUAGGAAGCAACUAAGUUAAUAUUGAAAGGGCAUGGUAAAGGGCACCCUUGUUCUCAUAUCAUUUCUCAUAUUUCUAAUUUUCUUGUCUAAUUCAUGAGUUACAAGUUUCAACGUGUCUAACGUGAAGCCAACAAAGUCGUGAAUGCUUUUGCAAGGAAUAUCCAACUUCAAAGUAUUAGCGCAGCUUUAACUUGAUGAACAAACUUAGAGUUUUCUAGGGUUUUAAUUUGAUUUUGUUGAAAUAGAGAGAGAAUGAGAAGAAUGGGUGAAUGAGGAGACAAGAAGUAUUAAAGUUGUGAUUUCAUUUAUAUGUAAAAAUACACAUGAAAGUAGCUUAUAUACAUGGUUUUUUGCUAGGUUACUUGAAGUACAAGUCAUAUAACAAACCCUAAAUACCUUAAGCUAAAAUCUAGUAAAUUUGUAACAAACUAUUAACAAACUAAACUAACUAGAUUUCUAAUGUGAUUAACCAAACAAGCUUGAUUAGAUCACUAACAAACUUGAAUUAUCAACUAACACAAAGUUGCGAUAAUAUAAAAAUAAUAUCAGAACUAGUCUCUCUUCAAAUGAAUGAUGCAUCACAACUUAUCUUUCUCCUUUGAUGGAAAAAUUUGUUCUAAUACCAAUUAUUGAAGGAAAAAAAUCAAUAAAAAAUCUUUAAACAAGCGGGAACACAACCACAAAAUAAGUAAAAGAGAUAAAAACAAAUCACAAGCCUAUUUUUCGAUACUUCACAGUUCACACCUUCAUUCAUAAUAUCUUAACAAAAUAUUUGUUACAAAAAUAUGCAUAGUUUUACUAGGAAUUGCAAACCCUCUUGUACAAUUAUAAUUUUUGCACAGAAAUAUUGCAAACUAAUCUUUCUCAAUUACAAUUUUUGUAAGAAAAACUACAAACUCUUUCAUGACACACAACUACCCAACCUCUUUUUUUUUUUUUUUUUUUUUCAUUACUCGAUGUGCGAUGUGAAAGAAUAUCAAUUUUAGAGAACAAAUGGCUAUAAUUUAUAGGUGGCCUUUAUGAUUUUUGGCACAAAUUUUCAUACUGUGAAAUGUGAAUAGAUGCAUGUGCAGAGAUGGAGUUCAUAAUUUAAAUCUUACGUUAAAAAUAAAACAAGUUUUUAAUGUUAUAGUUUAAAAAUAAAAAAUUGUUUCUUAUAUACAAUAUUUUUAUGAAUAUUUACAUAGUUCUUAAAAAAAUUAAUAAUGAAUGGUAUAUUCGUGUCCUGUAUGACACAAUGAAACAUAUGCACAUGAUUAAAUUAUACAUUAAGCCUAAUCAUAUGAUCUGAAAAGAUUUUCUCUACAUUUCGUCGAGCUAGCAAGGUAGAUAGAUGUCAACUAAUAAGUUGAUGAAAUCGGCUAAAAAAGAUUCCCAGUUGAAGUUUAUUAUUUUUUUGGUGCAACCCAGUUGAAGAUUUUAUUAACUUUGAUGAUGGCUCUGAACUACCAAGUUUUCUAGAACUUGAACAAGUCCUUAAUUUUAGUUGAAUUGCAAUACUAUGUCUAUAUGUAUAGUAUACCGUUUCUGGUUUCAUAGUCUGUUAAUUUUAAGGAAUUUUUUCAAGUGGCUCAAAAAAAACAUAUACAGUACAUUCUUUAGUUUUAUUUACAUCGUUUUCAAUCUCUUUCGCUUUUUUAAAUAUUUACGCAGAAAACAUUUUUUUUUUUUUUUCAAUCAGAAAGAGGCAAAAUUAAGAUUUGCAUUGGUUUUAGUCAUCACCUACUACAUUAAAUUACUAUUUGUGGAAAAUAUUGUUUAUAGCGUGAAACUGUGCUCUGACUGGCUCACAUGCAAACGGACAGUGGCAAUAUUGUUUAAGGAAGUAUUAAUCUUUUUUUUUUUUUUUUUUUUGACAGAAACCAUAUAGUAUUAAUCUAUUAUUACUACUAUAUAUGCAUAAAAAAGGACCAAUUAACCGACAUGCUUUGAGUUAUUUUGUGUUUUUUUUUUUUAUUGUUUCUGAAAAAAUCAACCAACAUGCUUCUUUUUUUGCGCUAACUAAAACUAAUUUAUUUAUGCUACUAAUCAAUUUAUUAAGACUAAAACUUGAGUACAAGUUAGUCUUUUUUUUUGUAGUUGGUGACCUACAAGUGGUACUCUUGUACUCAUUAUACUCAAAGUCAAGGGUACAUGCGUAUGUGUUAUGCUGAAUUCGAAAAUUCAUAGUCAAGACCCAGCAAUAUCAAGAUAUAUACACACAUGUCCUAAAGUGCAUUCUGGAGAAUAAGAACUACAAGUCUAAAGUUUUUCUUUUUGUUAGUAAAGUUAUUUUAGUCCAAGUUUAGACUAUACAACGCUGACUAUGAAAUAUGAAAGGAAAAAAAAACCUUCAAUUUUUGUCAAAAAAAUAAAUUCCAUUGUCUCUAACUAAUUAUUGAAAUUUUAAACAUGUGUUUGGUCUAACGGUAUGGUAGAAAAAAUCACGGCAAAAAUUCACGGUAACUACAAAAUCUAAAAAUUUGUAAUUUCUUUGAAAUUUGAGUUUGUAACUUCGAACGUCAAAUAAUCGUUCAUUAAGUCUCUAAAGCUCACAUGAUCAGACCAGCUUUGAUUGCAAAAUAUGACCAACUAAUUACUAAUAAACAUUUAAUUUUGUUAGCAGAUCAAUUUAUCUGUUUAAUGUUAAAAUAAAUCUGAUCCAAUUCAAUACUUUUGGACAUAGAUUGAAAUGGUUUCCCCCCCCCCCCCCCCCCCUUUUUUUUUUUUUUUUUUGUAAACUAGGUAUCCUCCGCGCGCAACUGCGGAGACUAAUCCCUCGAGCAUUGUGAGACCCAAAUGGACGGCAGACUCUCCCUAAGAGUUUUAACGCUGCUGGAGGUAUUGUAAAUAAUAUUUUGUGUUAUAUUAUUUUUAAGAGUGUAUAUUUCUAUAUAAAAAGAGUGAGUUUUGCCUUCAACCUCGAGGUAAUCGGUUUGAGACCUAGGCACUGAGAACAUGAGUUUUUUCGAUUAGCUCUUUAAAAAAUUAUUUAUAGGAGGAAUAAUUGUUUUUAUGGAAUUUGUCGUGUAAUAAAAAUCUAAAUCGUCUAGUCUACAAUUUUGUAUAGUCUUCAAUUAUGUUGUGAAUUCGGGCUUUGAAACUUCACACCAAUCCAAACUAUGAUGUGUGGAGAAAGUAUCAAUGGCAACCAACAACCAAAUUAACCAUAAGCAAUAACAAUAAUAUAUACCAAGUCUAUAAACCAAGUGCAUAGCAAAAUCACAAUCCAACCAAAUAAUAAACAAGAUAAAAGAGUAAAGAAAAAUAGACAACAACACCAAGAGAUUGUUCACCCAGUUCGGUCCAACCAUGACCUACUCUGGAGGAGAGAUUGAUCUCUUCAAUCCACUAUCAAUGAGUUCUUACAAAGAGAUACAAAUGAGUUACAAGAAAUUAGCUUCAACAAGCUCACAAAAAACAACCCUAAUUUCUACCAAUUUUCCCAAUCUCACCAAUGAACAAGACACUCAUGAUUUUUACUCUCCCAAGGUGUUUACAAUUGUUUCACAACUCUAGAAUCUAACCCCCAAAAGAGAACCAACUCUUAGCCUUUGAUUUCACUUAGGAUCUUCUCUUUUGGUUUCACAAGACUCACCCAAGUUGCUCGCAAAUGACUCUCCACUCAUGUGUUUCCCAACCCCAUGAAUCUUCUCCAAAAGGCACCAACCCUUUUCACAAGAGCCCCCUCUUUUGGUUCUCCAAGAUUCACAUCUUGAAGCUUUGAACCUCACCCAAAGACCCUCAACCUUUAGUAUCUAAAACCCUAAAAGUUUCAUCCUUUGGUUGUUAUGGGAUUCACCAAGCUUACCCAACAAAUGGAUCAGGGAGUGUUUAAAACAUGUUUCAGAUCUGUCAAAAUCGUGUCACAUUUUGCCUUCAGAACCAAACAUGCAUUCGGCAUCAGAAAUCGUGACACGGUUGCCAAAUCGUGUCAUGAUUCUUCACUUUCAUAAAGACUUAAUUUUGAGUCAUAUAUAUACCAACAAAUUCAAAUUAUAUAAAUGGACGGUAUAUUCUUUAGUAAAAGUAUUAUUUCACAAUUUAAUACGUAUUAUUAAAAGAAAUUAGAAACAAUUAUCAAAAAAUUAUGAUAGAUAAUAUAUUAAACUCGUCUAGUGUGUGUGUAUUUUUGAAGGAUAGUGUGUGUGUGUAUUAACAUCAUUCUCUAAUUAUUUUUGUAGGGAAACAAUGUUGGUUAAAUUGAUGUGUACUUUUUUUUGUAAAAAAUAAUCGACGUAUUUUUAAAUGAGAUUUACAUGUAGAGAGAGACAGCGGUAGACAUAGUAGUAGAACAAUUAAAAUUUAAAAGACCACUUUACAAAUUGCACCAAGUGGUCCUCUAAAAAAGAUCACCGACAGUUGCUUCACUUUACCUUCAUAUAUUUUAGAGCAAUGAUAUUUGAACAAUUAUUUAGUACAACAUUUUUUGACAAUCUUCUUUUUCUCUCUUUUUAUUGGUCAAAAAUAAUGAAGAGAAAAAAGAAGAGAUAGAGUAAAAAUAUAAUAUGAAUAUGAGAAAAAAAAUUGUCUAAAAAUUAUCACAAAAUGGUUGUACAAAUAUUAUUUCUCCAUAUUUUAGACACAGGCUAAUCAUUAAUUAAUUUGUGUAAAAAAAAACAAUAAUAUUAUUUUGACAACAUUAUUCAACACCUUAUCUUUCUUUCAAAAAACAUUAUUCAACACCUUAUGUUCAUAUUAUCAUUUGAUUUUCUUAAUUAUGUUUUACAUCAGUCACAUCAAGUGACAUUUUACACGCUUAUCAAUUUUUUUUGUCAAGUAGCCUAGUGUUUAGAACUCAUAUAAUUUAAUUGUGAAGAAAUGAAGUGUCAGAGAUUCGAACUCCAACCCCUGCAUAUAAUAUGCAAUAUCCCUACCAACUGAACUAAGCUCACGAAGAUCGCGGUUAUCAAUUUUUGUAGUUCAAAUAACAUCACUAAAAAAAGCUACGAGGCAGACGCACAAAUUUUCAUUGAGCAGUUGUGUUAAUUAAUUUUAUAACGCAAGGAAAAUGGUGAAGUUUUUGUGAAUAGAGAAAUGAUAUAUAUACAAUCAUUUUCAAACAACUUUUGUAAUAACUUUAUCUCUCAUUUUUAUAUUUUAUUUUUAUUUUUUUCUCUAUUAUUUUGGUUUUCGUUUAUGAUUUUUUGUAAGAAAAUGAUUGUCUAUGUAGUUAUCAAUCACAUUGAUGUUCAAAUAACAUUGCUUUUGUGAAUAAUGCAAAAUAGUUUCUCGGAACAAUCAAUUAUUCAAUUGAUAUUUACGAAAUUAGUUUUUGUAGGGUGUCCCUAUAAAUCACAUAUACUUUAAAACAGUCAUAUGUAUUCACGAUUCGAGAUCUUAUAAAAAAACCAUUCCAGAUCAUGUAUGAAAAUGAAAUAUAUAUUUUUUUUGACUGGUGUAUGAAAAUGAAAUAUUUUCAAAAAUAAAAUAUACUCUCUGCCCAUAUAAUGUCAGCGUAGGUGUCGGUGUUUUUCUACCGACUAUAAGAAAAACUGUAAAAUAAAUAAAACAAUAUAGUAAUUUAAAUUAGUGAUUGUAAAUUAUUGUCUUAAAUGUAUAGUUCAAUAUAAUAGAUUAAAAAUGAUGAAAAAAAUAUUAAUUUAAGAGUAGAAUUGAAAUAACAUAUAUGUUUUCGAUAGUUUAACUAAAUUGAUAAAGACAUUGCAUAAUAAUAUACAAGUGUUUUGAAAUUCCAUUUAUUCAUUACAUGUGAAUUUUUAGAUAUUAAACUAUUUGGAAAAUAAAAUAAAAUAUCAAAUAAUUAAGGUUUAAAUAUGUAAGUAGUCCCUGUAAUUUCGCGUAUUUUUGUUUUCGUUCCUGUAAGUUAUUUUGUUCUAAAACAAACUCUGUAUUUUGCUAACCUUUUGGAAAAGGUCCUUGCCGUCAGCUUCCGUCAACAAAAACGCCAUGGUGGCUAACGGAGCACACGUGGCAGUUCAUGAGUUGGCAAAGUUGAUGAGAUGGAAUGAGAGAUGAUAAGUUGUUAAAAUACAGGGACUAAAAUCAAAAACGUAAAUUGACACAGGGAUGAAAUUAAAAAAACGUUUAAUCUUCUUUUUCCUCUCAAAUUUCAGUCUUCUUCUUCCUCUCAAACUUUCCCCAAUCUAUCCCAUACCUUGCGCCCUUGAACCAAAACUCAUAUCCUUCAACAAUUUAUUCUAAUUCCAUUACUCAAUCAUAUUGUGUGUUUUGAUUGUAAUGUUAAGUUGAAACAUUGUAUGCUACUUAAGUUUGAUUAAUUUAGUGAUGGUUGUUGCGAUUGAUUGCAAAUUCAUUCAUAAAGUUUGUAGAUAAUAAAGGCAAGAAUACAUCUUUUUCAUCCCUCUUUUUUUUCCACAAUUCCCUCUUAUUCUUCCAGAUUGCUACAAUUACCAUACAUAAAUAGUCAGAUCCCCUUUCAUCUUUUCUCACUCACAUUCAAAUUCAAACUCUAAUUUCUCAAAUUUUUGCUUUUGAAUUGUGUAAUUUUGUGUUUUUAUGUAAUUGGUGUAGAGAGUUUAUGUUGUUUUAAUGUGUUGAUUAAGAGUGGGUCUUGUUGUUGUUGAUUGAUGAUUAUUAGUUUUGUUUAAAAAAAUAUAUAUGUUUGUUGUUUUCUUUCUUUUCCUGGGUUUGGUGUUGAUGAUUUAUGAAUAUGGUGAUGAAGAUGAAGAAGACAAUGAAGGAAGAAGAAGAAUAAGAUCUUGAUUUUAAAUUUGAAAUUUUGAUUUUACGUUUUUUAUUUUAGUCCCUGUGGUAAUUUACGCUUUUGAUUUUAGUCCCUGACUUUACACAACUAAUCAUCUCUCAUGCCAUCUCAUCAAAUGUGCCAAGUCAUGACCUGCCACCUGUGCUCCGUUAGCCACAAUGGCGUUUUUGUUGACAGAAGCUGAUGGUAAGGACCAUUUUCAAAAGGUCAAAAAGAUACAAGGUUUAUUUUAUAUAAAAAAAAAAACUUACAAGGACGAAAACAAAAAAUACGCGAACUUAGAGGAACCUUUUACAUAUUUAAGCCAAUAACUAAUAGCACUUAUUUUGGUACAUUUCUCUUUUGCAAAUGUGAAACUUAAUAUUGGAUGGGGUCAAUAAUUUUGAGAAUGAAUAAACCCAUUAUUUAGUCUUUUAAUUUUUUUUUUCCAUCCAUCAGGUUUCUAAACUAUUUACAAACACUAAAUGUCCUUAAGACAUAGCUCAAGUAACAAUAUUGAUAUUGAGAAGUUGGAUAUUUUCAUCCGAGUUUGAACUCGAAUUCUUGCAAUUACGAGUGUGAAUUUCAGGUAAUUUAUAUCAAUUUAUCUGUAAACAAAAGGAGAUAUAUACGCGUAACAAAUAGGUCUAAUGCAAAUUAACAACUUAUUUUUAGUUUAUAAAAUAUAUGAAAUUUAAUCCUUUAGUCCCUAGUAUAUUUUAACAAUGGGCACUAAAGCAACAUAUAUUUCAUAUAUUUUAAAUACUACUACAUCUUUCCUUAUGUAUAAGCUCAUUUGACAUUUUCACAUAUAUUAAAAAAGUUAGUAGUGUCUUGACAAAAAAGAAGCUCCUUAGAGUUUCCUUAUGUAUAUUUUUUUAAACCGAAAAAAUUGUGUACAAAAAAUGACUAUUAUUACUAAAAAAAAUCUUUUGCAUAUAGAUGUGUUCAACAUUUAUUUUGCAAUUCUCAAGACAAAUCAGUGGUACAUCUUAAUAAGUGAUAUAUUUGUUAGGAAAAAAAAUUACUAUAUGUAUCUAGUUAUUUGCAAGACUAAUGAUUCUUAGCAAAUAUGCUUAUAUUGAGAGAACUUUUUUCUAAAGAGAGCUUAUAAUUAGAGACUAAGAUUUUGCCAAAAAAUAAAGAAAAAUUAGAGAAUAAGGUUUAUACUAUACUUUAGAAACUAAUUUGAUGAGAUACGACUAAAUCGAAGAUAUAUUUUUUUAGAAUAGUGUUAGAACCUUAGAAAUUAUAAUCAAUAGAAAUAGAAAUGUUCCUUACAGAUCCAUAAUAGUGACAAUCUUGUCUUUUCUUUUGAGGAAAUAAUAAUAAAGGUGGUGCCAACAUUUCAACAAACCUAGCUAUUUUAAUUAUUCUGUUCUCACAGCCUGCACCUUAGAUCAAAUCCAAAUUGGGUCAUCACCGUUCCAAAAUGCUUAGGGACGUUACUCUAAAUGUCAAUAUGAAUGAGUAAUUCAAAUAGUUAACAUAGCCCGCCAGCCUUAUAUAAUAAUAUCAAUAUAUGUCGACUAAUUAUCGAGAUGCUAAAUUGGAGUACACUUCACAAACAAAAAUCUUUCAUAAGGCGUUUUUUCUCUUAAUACAUUUUUUCUUUUCUUAUGCUAGUAACAUUUACUCUGUAUUGGCCUUCCUAAGAAGAAGUUGGAUAGUAGCAAUGUGUUCGUGAGACUGCUGAUAUCUUAAAAGAAUGUUCUCAUAGAUUCCACUUUUUUAGUAAGCUUUUAUGUGUAUGAGUUUGCAAAUUUAACCCUUUUUAAUUCGGAUAGAUUUAUAAGUCACACCUUCAAGUACAAUCGACAAAAUUUCAGUAAUAAUUACGGUUUAGGGUUUAUGGGUCUAGAUCUACUAAAAAUGAGUGGGUGUAUAAAUUAGUAUAUCCUAGAGUUUAUUAUCUUACGUUCGAUCUUCUUUGCAGAAACUCGUGCAUGUUCGUGAUAUAUAUUUUCGCGAGAAGUACAUUUCCCUAAAACAAAAUCAACCACUGACAUAAACACGUCAAAUGUAAGCCGGUAAAUCCAAGCUUUACUAACACGAGUUAUAUUAUAUCAUUGGCAUCAGCUACUUAAGAACUACUGUAGAAAAUUUACAGCAAGUCAUCGAGGCUUAAUAAAAUGUGUUGAUAUAGUUACAAAGAUAAAUUAAAUAGCAGAGCAUACAUGAAGAGAACAAAUGUAGAGCAACCCCUUAAACAAACCCUCUCAGUAAGGUAUCUUCACAUUACUCUAAGUUCAUAAAAGAUGACUUUAAAAACGAUUAUUUCAAAAUGCAAGUAUUCUCCGACCCCUUUUUCCCGGAUCUAGAUCUAAUAGUGUAAGGAUAUAUAUAAAUCAUUGUCACAUUUUACAACUCAAGAGUUUACCUCAACUCGUUUUGUUUAGGUAAAUUCGACUCGAGAACUCGUAUGACUUUACCUAAAAUUAAAAUUAUAUAAAAUUUAUUAUAUAUGCAUGACAUAUGUAAGUUAAUAUAAUAUUGUAAAUAGGUCAAUAGUGCAAAAUAUGACUUAAUUACAAAGACAAAUUAUACCAUAAUAAAAUGUUAUGCUCAACUUAGCUUCAAAAUACAAAAAUUAACGCACAAAAUCAUAAGUCUCUAAGUUUAAGCCAUCCAUAAAACCAUCCAAAAAAAGAAAGUUUCACAAGUUCCUAAAGUUAUUAAUAAAACUAUCUAAAAAAUAAAGUAGUUAAUUUCUUCAAAACGUCAACAAACACCACCACAACAACCCUAACCAGUGUCACAAUCACCGGCGUUGAAAUAUGAAUUUCCACCGUCUGAAUCACAACCCUAAAUGGUAUGUGCUCCCCUGUUCAUGGUUUGAGAACUUAGAAAAGAAAAAGGGCAAUCCGGUGCACUAAAGCUCCCACAUACGCAGGGUCCGGGAAGGGGUCCCACCAUUUUUUGUGUAUUGUACGCAACCUUACCCUGUUUUUGAUCACAAAAGAAAAAGAAACGUUUCAUUUUAGGAACAACUUGUCACUGUAAAGGUAACUAUUAAUUAAACGUUUCAGUCUUUGGGGUUGUAGAAAAGGAAUUGGAUUUUGAAAAAAAUGGGCACAUAAAAAGGGCCAAUUUUUAGAUGUAAACUCGUAAAACUCAGUAAACUCGGUCGAGUUUACACGAGUUUACCUAGUGUUAACUCGGUCAAACUCGUUAAACCUUCCAAUUUUACCAGAAACCGAGUUUACCUCCGAAUUAACAUGAUUUUGGCACCUACGUAAACUCGAAGAGUUAACACUCAAUUUGCGGAACAUUGCAUAUAUAUUUAAAGAUAUAUGUAUAAUUAUAGAGAAAGUAGAGAAGGGAUAUACCAUUUUAUGUAGGGUUAUUAUGUAUCAAAUCAUAAAGAGUCGAGAGUUGUAUUAUACCAUAAUAUUCUUCCGUAAACUGGUAGUCAUGAUCAUGACGUAUAUUAUUCAAGUAUAUGCAAAAACAUGUCUGUAUCUAGUCUAAAUUUUUGACCAAAUGCAUGUAUUUGCUUAUAUUUUGUUACUACUUACUACUCGCCAAGUAAUGCUCAAUAUCUAAUAUAUAUAUUUCAAGACCAUCAAAGAUAACUCAGUUGAACAAUACAUAAUAUAUGCAAGGUUCGGGGUAUAUUACAUUUUCAAUUAUUCUAAUAAUAAAUUUAAAUGACACUUAAAUUAUACAACUAUUAAAUAGAUCUUAGUACCGUAAAAUUUAUAUUCGAGACUUGCUAGGGAGAACCAUCAACCUCAACAAAAAUUUCUACUUGAAUCUAACGCAAACAAAAGGUCCAACCAUCUAUGAAUCUCCGUUGAUAUCACAAAUGAUGUUUGAUACAAGAGAGACAUAUUAGAACAUAAUCUAUGUACAAUCUACAUUAAAAUAAAAAACAAGUCUACAGUCAUAUAAAUAACACAAUUUCAAAAUCUCAAAAUUAGGUAUGAAAACAAAAUGAUUAGAAAAAUAAAUGAUUCAAUCAUUCCGAGAUUUGUGCAAAAAAAAAAAAAAAAACAUUUUGAAAAUACAAUGUUAGAAACUUAUGAUCAAUAUAUAUUUUUCCUUACACAUCAAAAAUAAUUAAGCUAUAUUCUUGUCUUUUCAUUUUGGGCAAACUAAAAUUAAAAUCAAGGUAGUGUCAAUGUUUCUAUAGUCCUAGCUAUUUGAUUUUCUUCUAAGCUAACAAGAGUCUUCCAAAAUCAAAUUCGCGCUCAAAAUUAAAGCAACUUGGGUGGUAACCAUUCCAAAAUACUUAGGGCCACAUUGCUCUAAAAGUCAAUAAGAAUAAGUAAUAAUUCAAAGAUAGCCAACCUUAUAGUAUAUUUUAAUAUGAAUGUAUGCAUGUUUCCUAGAAGGUGAGUAAGCUAACUAAUCAAGAUACUUUGUUGGAGUUAAAUAUGGUAAAGAAUCCAACUAUAAAAUGGGGACUUGCCCCAGCAUUCUUUCACAAACCAAAACCAACUUCUAAGAAAAAAAUGAGGUCCCUAAUGGCCUCUGCUUCUCUCACUCUUGCAUUAGCCAUCCUCUUUUUGAGUUUCCCAUCUGAAAUUUCAGCAAACAAAUACGCAUAUUCCUCUCCACCACCACCACAUUACUCAUCUCCUCCACCUCCACCGGUUCACACUUACCCUAAACCAGUCUACCACUCUCCACCACCACCAGUUCACACCUACCCUAAACCAGUUUACCACUCUCCACCACCACCAGUUCACAAGUACCCUCACCCUAAACCAGUAUACCACUCUCCACCACCCCCAGUUCACAAGUACCCUCAUCCACACCCAGUCUACCAUUCUCCACCACCCCCAGUUCACAAGUACCCCCAUCCUCACCCAGUGUACCACUCUCCCCCACCACCACCACCAAAGAAGUCCUACAAAUACCCAUCUCCCCCACCACCACCAGUUCACACCUACCCUAAACCAGUCUACCACUCUCCUCCACCCCCAGUUCAUCACACCUACCCUAAACCAGUCUACCACUCUCCUCCACCCCCAGUUCACACCUACCCUCACCCUAAACCAGUCUACCACUCUCCACCACCCCCAGUUCACACUUACCCUAAACCAGUCUACCACUCCCCACCACCACCAGUUCACACCUACGUCCCUCACCCUAAGCCAGUCUACCACUCUCCACCACCACCAGUUCACACCUAUCCCCCACAUGUUCCCCACCCAGUUUACCAUUCUCCUCCUCCUCCAGUUCAUUCCCCACCUCCACCACACUAUUACUACAAAUCACCUCCUCCACCUUACCACAACUAGAUAGCCCAUAAUUGGCAUCACACCAUAUGGUAACUUUUCAUGCAACAUAUAUAUUAUAACUUUUCAUAUUCUCUCUUUAUUAACUAGUUAUCGGUAUGAUUGUCGAGUAUAUACUAACAAGGCUAAUUUGAAAUGAAACUUCAUGUGCAAUGAAACAUUCUUUUACUGGUUAAUAUUUUAUUCUAUGUUUCAUUGAAAUUAAUAUUUUUCUAAUAGUAUUUGGUUAUUAAGGGAUUAGAGUAUAUCAGACAUAAACUGACAGAUCAAUAUAUUUGCAUUUGUGUAGGAUCUAAACAGAAAGUGUGAAAGCAAAGAAAGCCAUGCACAAAGAAGAUCAAGGGGAUUCUUCACAUAUAUUUCGUCAGCAUUUGAUUAAGAUUGUUUAGAGGGCUCCGUUUAUUUGUAUUUAAUUUGUGUUUUUGUUGUAUUAUCCACAGCUGUAAGGCACUGCCCCAAUAUGCAUGUGUCUGCAGUUGUUUUCAUGCAUUGUAAUUUUCAAAGUUCGGCUUUGUAUCAAGCUGACUCACAAACUAAAUAAAUAUAUAUCCCCUAUUAUAGUAAUCUGUCCCUUUCAUCUAUGACUCCUUUUAUAUUACUAUUCUUGUGAUAAAAAUAAUCUGUGUUUAUUUGUUUCUACUAAUUAUUUUUGGUUUACCUUUCUCCGUACAAAUAAAAUUUAGUUUAAAAGUGAAUUUGACAGCACUUUUAAGAGAAACCUAAAAGAAAUAGAAGAAUAAUGCUUCUCAAAAGAUUAAAAAAAGACCACUAUAUUAUAUAUAUGUGAACCAAGGAUCAUGUCUCAAUGUGUGUGUUUUUUCUUUUAACGAGAAAGAUCUAUAAUUAUAAUGUAAACAAGAGUACAAUGAGUACUACAACUCACUACAAAAAGAGGUGCAACACUUCAAACGAAAAAAAUAGCACACACCAUAAGCAAUACAAAAGCAUUAGUCUACAAAGCCAAUAGGGUGGCAUUUAACAUGGGGCAGUAAAAUUUUAUCCCACCAUGGAAAAGUGGAUCCAUUAUGGGCAGGUGGCAGUUUUAACUUGCUGCAGUUAAAAAAAGAAGAAAAAAAAAAUUACUUAUUAUUUUAUUCGGUUUCAACUUGCUAUUUCACCUCCUUGUUGCUGCAAUAAAAAAGGAUCUCCAGUAAAUUUGCUCCAAACCAACCCCAUCGGCCAUCUCUACACCUCAUCUGCGCCAAUCCACCAUUGUGUUUUUCUCUUACCAUCUUCAUGAGGAGCUGUUGAGAGUGAUGCCCAAUUGGCCAUGAAAUAUAUCCAACCAAUUUGCGCUCAAAUUUUCCAUGAAUGCAAAACAGACUCCUUUUGUUUGACACAUGCAUUUAUAUUUGUUUGGAUGGUAUCAUUGUGGAGAUGGUUGGAGAAAAUUUCAUGAAGUGAUUCUUCUAUUAGCUGAGGAAGAAAUUGGAAAAGAAUCAUUAUUUUUUUCUACCCAUUAUUUUAUAUGUAUAUAACUGUGUCGGUUUCUUUUCAAUUUUUUGGUUUGAAUGGAAUUUUAUUAAAUUUGAAAAACCAGUUUAUUUUUCCUCGAAAAAAGAAAUAGUUUAUUUUCUAAUAUAAAAGUGUUAUUCUACCACCUGACCAAAAAAAGUGUUAUUCUACCAAAAAAUAUUUAAUUAAAAGCGUUAAUUAUACCCAAAAAUACAAAAAAAAAAUUGCUUUUAAUUAGUAAAUAUGUUGUGGCUCAUACUCGAAGGUUACUUUAUAAGCCCCCCUCAUAUCUCUCUAGGCCCCCUAAAGUUACAAAAAUAUCCUCAAAUAACACAUUCUGUACAUACCUACGGAAGGUGAAUGUUUUUAAUUUUAUUUUUGCAGCUUCUGUACAUACCUACCGGACAGAGAAUUGAGGCAAAUAUUUAGGAAACUAAUAUGAAAAAAAGCCUGAAACUGAGUCCAUAAAUUCUCCAUUGAUGAAAAGCUUUUAAAACUUUAUAGUUGGAAUCUUUACAAAGGAGUCUAAGAUGAUGUGAUUUGCCAUCUCUAUUUCUCUGUCUACCUUUCAACAGGGACUACAAAGAGAAAAUUUUCAAUUGAGAAAAACUAUGAACUUCCUGAUGAACAAAUGGACAAGUUAUCACAAUUGGGGCUGAGAGGUUUCGUUGCCCAGAAGUCCUUUUCCAUCCAUCUAUGAUUUCAAAAUAUCUAUUUGGAAUGUAACUACAGAAAGUGUAAAUCUGAAAAUGUGAAAAUAUGCCUCCGGUAUGUACAUACCGAAGGUGCAAAAUGUGGAGAGAAAAAAUAUGCACUACCGGUUUGUAUCUACUGAAUGUGUUGUGAAGGUUAUUUUUGUAUUUUUAGGAGGCCUAAAAAGAUAUUGGAGGGGCCUAAAAAGUAACCUUCCAUUCUUAGAAGAAAAAAAAAUGGAAGCCAACAUCCAAACACAUAAAAGCCCACAAUCAAUUAUAAACAUAAACAAUUUGUUGUGGGGUAAAAAUUUUUGUAGUAGGUUUAAUUGGCAAAAAGUUAGAAGAAGGUUGCCAUCAACAAAUCUGAACCAUUCACUUAAAAUAUUAAUAUAUCAAUGGUUAAAACAUCAACUUUUUUAUGAUGGGAAAAAACUUCACUUUCCCAUUUUAAACCCCACCAGCCAAUAGAGAGAAACUACAUCAAAAGCUACACCACCUCAACAAGAACAAAAAGAUAAAUGGAGAAAAUUGAACCCGAAAUUUAUCAAGGACAGUCUCAAUUUGUGUGUUUUGAUACUUUUGUGUCUCAAAAUAAUUGAAUCAUUUGUAAAAUAAAAAAAAUUGUCUCACAAUAAUUUACUCGUUUCGCUUUUCAAUACAAUAUUAAUUACUUUUUUUUUAUUUAUAACUCUAAUUAAUACUACUUUCAUCAUUCCAAAUUUAAUAUCAAUAUAUUGAAUUUGGAGUAACGUAGAAUGUACAAAUAUUUGACAACACACUUAAAACCAUUUUUCACUCUUUCACUUAUAUAUUUUUUCUUAAUAUAUGUGAAAUGAACAAACGACUCACUUAUAUUAUAAAUCAGAGAAGUAUUUAGUUCAAGACUUUGUAUUGCUAAACUUUGACAUGUCUUGUGUUUAGUUUAGCCCCUUUAUUGAACAGGAAAAAAUACCGCAACUUCAGUAUCCCGGGCUAAAUGCCACCCCCCAUUCCCCAUAAGUUGCCAAAAGAAUAAAUAAACUCUGCUUUUGAUACAUAGACAUCCCUCGUUCCAACCAUCUAUGCAUAAAGACUCAAUAUAACGGCAAUUCAUCGAAGUACAUAAACCAAUUGUUUAAGGUGUACUAUUAGAGAAUCAAACCGAGGAACUAGUGGCGGAGCCAGGAAAUUUAUGGAGCUUGGGCAAAAAAUUAAUCGUAAAUUCACAUGUGACAUAAUAUAUAAACAGUCAUAAAUUGAAAGAAAAAUUUUUUUUUUCCUAAAAAAAAUUGAAAUAAAAGAUGUUUAUCAUUUUGUAAACAAAAGUACAAUUUAAAAUAUGAUUAUUAAUUGAAAUUGACCACGUAAUAUACAUGAAGUCUGAAAAUUGACCCUGCUGUAAUUAAAUAACAUGUAUUCUGACCAUGUAAUUCGAGAUUUUUAUUAUUUAUAACAUGUAAUAUACGCGAAGUCCAAAAAAGCAACCGAGAGAUUUAAUUUUUUCAUGAUUUCCUAGAGGCGAGUUAAGAACGUUAAAAUAUGGCUUUAACAAAAAAAAUAUAAAUUUUCGACAAACGACAAAUUAAUUAUGAUUUUUUAAAGUGUCAAAAGCUCAAAAAACAAAACAACGGAAAUCUCAAUCAAUAAAUCGAAUUUUGAGCUCAUUAUUUGCAGAGAGAUCUAUAAAAAUACAUAAAAAGGAUCUGUAAAGUUUCAUAGCAUUUCGAAGUCGUUUAAAUUUAUUUUGAUUUUUCAACUGAAACAUGUAAAAUUGAAAUUUUGUUUCGCGUAAGCGUAUACUCACAAGUCAAAUUUAGUUCCCUAAUUUUGUAGGCAUGACUAGAACAUGAUAAGAACCUUCACAAUGAAAUUUUGUAAUUUUUAAACUAGAUACAAAUUAAUUAUAAAUUGUUUAAGAAAUUCAUAAUUAUGAUGGAAUAAAAAUUCAUAAUUAAUUUAUCCCUGGUCGAAGAAAUUUAAUUUUGAGUAAAGCUAUAUUUUAACGUGCUAAAUAUGUAUGAAAAAAAUAGUGAAAAAAUUCAACAUGUAGGGCACAUUUUUAGACUACACGUAUAUUAUAGAGUGGUCAAAAUUAAAUAAGAAGAAAUUCAAGUUGCAAUGCUAGAAUAUAUAUUUUUUAUUUUAUUGGGUCAUUUUUCAAACAUAAAGUAUAUUACAAGGUCAAUUUGAACAAUUAACCCGUUAAAAUAAGAGAGAUGAACCCGUCAAUAGCGUACUAAAUAAAAUUUCAAGACUUAUUUGCGUGUGACAAUUUUCAGAUUGCCCAAAUUUUUCUUUUUGUAAAUGUGUUAACGGGCUUUUGGGUUGAGUCUAAUGUGCAAAAAUUAUCGAUCGAGCCCGGGCGAUCGUCUGGGGUCGCCAUACGGUAGAACCGCCCCUGCUAGGAACGAGGGGCGGAUCCACUUAGGUGUUAUGUGGAGCUAAAGCUCCACAUGUUUUUUCCUUUUUUUUUUGUUAUAAUUGAUAAAACGAAAAAGAAGUGACUUAGUAAAUAAUUCUCUCAUUUUCCCUUCUCUCUUAGUCUCGUAAAGUCAUUUCUAGUUUUUACGUGACAAAUUAUUGAGGAUGUCUGAGUUUUAUCCAAAUGAUUUUAUAGAUAUGUCGGAAGUGACGUUACGCACUCAACUUGUGAAUUAUGUUACAAAUGUUUAAAAUUUGCUAAGUUCAAAGGGCUUUUAGAUCUUUAUGCAAAACUUGUGGAAACAAAUAAGUGCAAACAAGAUGUAUGUUAGCACACUACUGUAUAUUAGACUAUUUGAUCUGCGAGUUUUUGUGUUUCUUACACAAUCUCGACGAGAAUAAUAUUUAUCGAUUAACAAAAAAUACAUUUAACUAAUUUGCAUUAUUAUACAAGGGUGAUUAAAUGGAGUAAGCCGAAUAGAGGUCGAAUGAAAUGUAAUAUUGAUGCAUCGUUUCCUAAUAAUGAGAACCGAAUUUGAAUAGGCAUUUGCAUUUGGGAUGAUGAAGGUGCAUUUGUGAUUGCAAUAACAUAAUGUUUAACUUCAAAGUGUGAUGUGCACAUUGAUGAAGCAUUGGGUUUGUUGACAACUCUUCAAUGGGUGCAUGAGUUACAUACAGUUAGGGCCUAUAGAGUUCGAACUUGAUUCCAAAAAAAGUGGUUGAUAGCUUUGGAGCUAAUAGGCAUGAUUCGACGGAAUUUGGAGCUAUUAUUAAUUAUUGUAAAAUAUUGUUUAAUCAUUUAUAUGAAAACUCGAGUGUAGAGUUUGUUCGGAGACAAGCAAAUGGGGUUGUCCAUGAAUUAGCAAAGGCGGCCACAUUAUCGAUUAGUUUCCAUAUUUUGGUUAUGCCACCACAUUGUAUUGAACACAUUUUAAUUAAUGAUAUUCUAUAAGUUUUCCCCUCUAAAAAAAAAACUAAUUUGCAUUAUUAUUUAUAUGAAAUUUUAACUACAUAUAUACCGAAAGUAUAGAUUUGCCCAUGGUAGAAACCCGUCAAAAUUUGUUAUUUCCACCAAUUAGUGAAUACUAUCCAUUUUACAAAGCCAUCAUUCGGUUAAGAAACUGUCAAAUUGUUAUCCUGCAUUCACUUAUAAUAGCAUGUGUCUUUCACUGUUAGACAAACAAACAAAUAUUAACAGCUUAAACUUUUUGAGAAUUUGUACAUAUUUUAAAAAAAUAUCAUAUGAAUAUGUAUUUAAUCUCACUUUUUGUACUUUACUACUAAAGAAGGUUUCAGAUUUCGCCACCAGAAUACUUUCCAUGUACUUCUCUUAUUUUAUCAUCACAUCUCUCACUUUCUUCUUUCAAGGUAGUUUUAUGAUCUAUUAAAAAGUUCACGGGGAAAUAAACAUCUAAGUAGGUUUUAGGCUAUGCCAAACUCUUUAAAAAGUUACGUUAGAUCCUUAAAAAAAGUUAUGUUAGAUCCUUAAAAGAUCAGAUUGAGAGACAAGGAAAGGGGCAUGUAAUUUCUUGGAUUGCUACAUGAAUAUCUACAAGUACAGACAAUUCAAUUUAGGAUUAAUGGUGUUUUUGGAUUAUUAUUGAAGAAGAAGAAGGUGAGGGGGGUACAUUACAACAAGCAGGGCAGUAUCUGAGGCAGGGUCGAAGAGGGCGACCGUCCUAGGUCCCAAAAAAUAUAUACGAAAUUUGGGCCCCAAAAUUUAUUUUUAAGGGUCUAUUAAGCCCUAAAAAAAUUGUUUAGUUUUUUGAAUCAGAUUUGAUGUUUAUAUAUAUUUAUUAGUCAGGAUCCAAAUUGCAGGUUCGCCCUAAGCCACCAUCAGAAACGGCCUUGACAACAAACCCAAUUAUGCUCUCAAAUUUUGGUCUAUGGUAUGGCCAAGGCAAACAUGAAAAUGAUAUAGUUUGGCAUAGAAACUACAUCUUUGCAAUGGUUUUUGGCUAAAUAGAAGGAAGUGCCUUGUUUGUUUCCUGAAUGGUGUUAUAAUUCCUAGAUAUAGAUGAAUAAAUAGACUCUAAGUUGGUGUUAGUAUGUGGUUUGUUUUGUCUCUAUCUUUUCUUUUGAAAUGGUUAGGUUAGCCUUGUACUCUUUAUCAAUAAAAUUUCCAUGCACUUAAAUAAAAACAUGACAAAACUGAUAAAAGAAAAGAAGAAGAAGAAGAAAAAGAUGAUUACUGCUCCAAUCUCGGAUACAAGGUGACAACUAGGGUACUCAUGGAAGAAUGGUGGGUAAUUUACCCCAACCAAUACACAUUAGCCACAUAAACACAUUUUUAAGUGGUAUUAAUGAACUAUCUUGACUCCACCAAUAAAUUUCUCAUUUUCAUUGGUUGGUGGGUAAAUUAUAUAUCCACCAUUCUUCAAAGAUAAUCUAGAAAAAACCCAGAUACAAACAAAACUGGUCAAAUAAAGUCAAUGUAUUUGGACAAAAGUUUGGACCAAAUACAUCAAUAAUAAACUUAGAUCAAAUAUACUUAUAAAUGUUUGUGCUUUUGUUUUAUAAUGUAAUAAACUUUGUGGAUUGCAUUCGUUUCCUUCUGUGAUGGACCAACAUCGAUUAGUCUUAGAACAGGACAACAUAAGUUCUGCCGACAAAUGUAUAUUAUUAUACAGCCAGCAUCCUGCGGAAAUUAAUUAUCUUGAAUGGAUUUUAUUCAUUGAUUUCAAAAAAUGAAUGGGAAAAAAUUGAAAAUCCAAUUGUCAUCUAAUUUGAUGUGCAACUCACAUUAUGUUUCGAUAUUCACUCAUUAAUGAUUUUUUUUAGGGAAACAUAAUAUUCAUGAGUGAAAAUUGAAACAAUUGUCGAAAAAUGUUCCAGUGACCAAAUCCAGAGUAAUAAUCAAACCUAAUUUUACGUAGCAUAAUAAAAAUCAUUGAAAAUGCAGAAAAUACAAAUUCAAGGUAUACAAUAUGUUUACGAUUUUUCUUCACUAAAACUCUUUUACAACUUUGCUUGUGCAGACAAAAUGGUGUUGUUCCAAAGUAUAAAAGUAAACAUAAGUGUAGGAAAGGAGAGAAAAGACGAUGAUUUAAAUACUUGAAGUUGAAGGGAAAGGAGACACUAUGGUCACAAAUAUGUGUAAUGAACAAAAGUAACCCAAAAAAAAACUAACUAUGGUCACAAACUUAAACAAAAUAACCCUUAAAAAAAAAGAACUUCUACGGUACAUGUAACGCCCUCUUUGAAUUAUUUGUUUUAUUUGAUUAUUUUAUUUAGUUUAUAGUUUUUUUGAAUAAUUUAUUUGAUUUAUGAUGAUGUGUGUUAUUUUUGUGUUAUAGGUUGGUGUUUUAGUAGUAUAUUAUCUAGUGUAGAAAUAUAUUUGUUAUAGAAAUAUAUUUGUUAUUUGGUGUAGAAGAAUUAUAUAUAUAUAUAUUAAUAGAAUAUUGAGACUUUGGGGGCUGAUUUGGGAAUUUAGAAGAGUUUAAGAGAAUAAGUGGAGUUAAGAGAAAAUAGAUAGGUUAAGGUUAUAAAAAGAGAAAAGUGAGAAGUCAGAAUAGUUUUUCACGUACAACCAGUUUUUGGAGAAAAAGGAAGAAAACCUAGAGAAGAGGAGGAACGAGAAGAGAACCUUGCAAUCCAUUUCUUAAGGUAAGGGUGGGACUAACAUUCAAUAAUCUUGAGUCUAUGAUUCUNNNNNNNNNNNNNNNNNNNNNNNNNNNNNNNNNNNNNNNNNNNNNNNNNNNNNNNNNNNNNNNNNNNNNNNNNNNNNNNNNNNNNNNNNNNNNNNNNNNNNNNNNNNNNNNNNNNNNNNNNNNNNNNNNNNNNNNNNNNNNNNNNNNNNNNNNNNNNNNNNNNNNNNNNNNNNNNNNNNNNNNNNNNNNNNNNNNNNNNNNNNNNNNNNNNNNNNNNNNNNNNNNNNNNNNNNNNNNNNNNNNNNNNNNNNNNNNNNNNNNNNNNNNNNNNNNNNNNNNNNNNNNNNNNNNNNNNNNNNNNNNNNNNNNNNNNNNNNNNNNNNNNNNNNNNNNNNNNNNNNNNNNNNNNNNNNNNNNNNNNNNNNNNNNNNNNNNNNNNNNNNNNNNNNNNNNNNNNNNNNNNNNNNNNNNNNNNNNNNNNNNNNNNNNNNNNNNNNNNNNNNNNNNNNNNNNNNNNNNNNNNNNNNNNNNNNNNNNNNNNNNNNNNNNNNNNNNNNNNNNNNNNNNNNNNNNNNNNNNNNNNNNNNNNNNNNNNNNNNNNNNNNNNNNNNNNNNNNNNNNNNNNNNNNNNNNNNNNNNNNNNNNNNNNNNNNNNNNNNNNNNNNNNNNNNNNNNNNNNNNNNNNNNNNNNNNNNNNNNNNNNNNNNNNNNNNNNNNNNNNNNNNNNNNNNNNNNNNNNNNNNNNNNNNNNNNNNNNNNNNNNNNNNNNNNNNNNNNNNNNNNNNNNNNNNNNNNNNNNNNNNNNNNNNNNNNNNNNNNNNNNNNNNNNNNNNNNNNNNNNNNNNNNNNNNNNNNNNNNNNNNNNNNNNNNNNNNNNNNNNNNNNNNNNNNNNNNNNNNNNNNNNNNNNNNNNNNNNNNNNNNNNNNNNNNNNNNNNNNNNNNNNNNNNNNNNNNNNNNNNNNNNNNNNNNNNNNNNNNNNNNNNNNNNNNNNNNNNNNNNNNNNNNNNNNNNNNNNNNNNNNNNNNNNNNNNNNNNNNNNNNNNNNNNNNNNNNNNNNNNNNNNNNNNNNNNNNNNNNNNNNNNNNNNNNNNNNNNNNNNNNNNNNNNNNNNNNNNNNNNNNNNNNNNNNNNNNNNNNNNNNNNNNNNNNNNNNNNNNNNNNNNNNNNNNNNNNNNNNNNNNNNNNNNNNNNNNNNNNNNNNNNNNNNNNNNNNNNNNNNNNNNNNNNNNNNNNNNNNNNNNNNNNNNNNNNNNNNNNNNNNNNNNNNNNNNNNNNNNNNNNNNNNNNNNNNNNNNNNNNNNNNNNNNNNNNNNNNNNNNNNNNNNNNNNNNNNNNNNNNNNNNNNNNNNNNNNNNNNNNNNNNNNNNNNNNNNNNNNNNNNNNNNNNNNNNNNNNNNNNNNNNNNNNNNNNNNNNNNNNNNNNNNNNNNNNNNNNNNNNNNNNNNNNNNNNNNNNNNNNNNNNNNNNNNNNNNNNNNNNNNNNNNNNNNNNNNNNNNNNNNNNNNNNNNNNNNNNNNNNNNNNNNNNNNNNNNNNNNNNNNNNNNNNNNNNNNNNNNNNNNNNNNNNNNNNNNNAGAAUCAUUACAUAAAGGAUUGUUAUUACUAAUAGAUGAAGUUAUUUAUGUUGUUAAAUAUAAUUAAUGAAUUAUAUGCUUGAUAUUAUUGUUUUGUGAAAUCUCACCCCUUCUGCUUGGAAAUGUUGCUCUUCGUAUGAGUAACUUGCAGGUGAUCGAGUUUAAGUUGUUGUUAGAUUGUUGUUGUGAGUGAAUUAUCUCUCAUGUGUGUCUUUAGGUGCUCUGAUACAUAACGGGAUGGGAACUUUGUUGCAUGCUUUUCGAUUCCUUACGUAUUGCUUAUGAAUUUACAUAAUUAAGUUGUUAAUUGGAUUUUUAUGAGAUACUUUGAUGAGGCCUUCGUGCCAAAAUUAUUUUUAGAUGUUCGAAUAAAUUCCGCUGCGAAGUAUUAAAUAUUAUGUUAUUGAAUUUUGAAGGAUAAUUAAUUAAUUAUUCCGUUUGUGAUUUUAAGAAAAGAAAUGUGACAUUCCGUUUAUGUGAAUUACUCUGAUUAAAUAAAUGAAAUUUUUACGUUGGGAAAACGGGGUGUUACAGUACACCCGCAAAUUAAGGUGUACCGGUACUCCUACUUCAAAAAUCUUUAAAAUAACUAUUAUUUUUAUGGAAUAAAGUGCUAUUUGUUGAUAUUUUUAUUUUUAAAAAUGUCAUUUCAUAAGAAAAAACAUCAUUUCAUUGUUUAUAAAAAUCAUACUAAUUUUUUUUACAUUUUAUUGUAAAAAAUAAUCAAAAUUCUCUAUUAUGAGUACUAAAAAUUCAGAAAAAUUUUAUUUUAUUUCGUCGACGUUUUUGGUGAAUAAGAUUUAAUUAUAGAUGAUAGAAAAUAACAUUUUUUUUCAAAAAAUAACACAUUUAACUAUUAAUUUAUUGAUUUGAUGUACCAAUACACUCAAAAUUUUGAGUGUACCAUAUAAUUUGCCCAAAAAAAACUUAAACAAAAUUCAGCACCAUCUAUUUUAUAUGUCACUAUCAAAUAGAUCAUUGAUUUUAUGAAUAAUCUAAAAAGAUCUAAGACUCUAUUAAAUUUUUAAAUUGGUCUUUAUUAUUAAACAACUUACAAUCAAUUCAGUACUCAUAUUUUAACAACAUACCGUCAAUUUGGUCCUUAAGUUCAUGCAUUUAUUGUUAAUUAAAUCUCUACCAUAUUCUUUAAAGGACUUCCAUGACUAAAAUUUAAAAGAAUUAAUAACUCUAUUGAAAUUUUCGUAUUGAAACAUAAAGUGGAGAUCUUUUUCAAUGUGAUCUAUGUAACGUCCUUGGCUGACGAAGGUGAGGAGUGGUCGGUCUCGCUCCUGACAACUUUUAGGCAACCGGAUCAUAUUGAAAUGAGAGGGGUUAUGAGACUGUGUAUGUAUGAGAUUGCACGGUUAAAGGAAUGCUUAUAAGAAUUGUUUGGUAUUUUCCUCAACAAAAAAAAUUUGUUUGAUAUUAUCUAUAUCAACAAGAUGCAUCUUAUUUUCACAGGCAAUUCCUUAUUAACUUCAUAAUUAAGCGUGCUUGACUUGGAUGAAUAACCUUCUAUAAAAUUUCUCAAAAACAUGUGAGUGAGGACAAAACACGUCAAAAAAACUCAUGUUGGACUAUAGGAGGAAGGAGGAAGGGUUGGAAUUAGAGGAAAAUUGUGUUGAUGGUUUCACUACAUGAACAUUUUACCAUGACGUGUUGCAGGACUAGGUAUAUCUUUUAUAUGAUAUUCUUUUGUAUUUAUAAUUUGAUAUAAAUCCCUCAUGCAAGACUUAGAAUGCUAUUCAAGGGUUUUGACGUUAUUGCCUUCUCAAACAUCAGAUUGGAUUGGAUUUGAACUUUGAGAUCUCUUGUUAAACUUUUUUUUAAACAAUAAUGUUAUCGUAUUUUAAGUAACAAUAAUGUUAUCUUAACACUCUUUUUUCCCUACUUUAUUUAUUAUACACCUAUGUAAAAGGACAUUUUAGUCGUUUCAUCUUAUGUGAAAGAGAAUAUUAGAUGGGAUGGUAAAGACUAUGGAGAAAGUCUACUUUAGUCACAAAUAUAAAUGAAUAGUGCUUGAACAUACUCACAUCAAAAUAUAUAUUUUUUUUUUUAAAAAAAAUGGAAAAUGCUAGAUAUCAAAAUGAUUUAGUCUUCAAAGAAAAAAGUUUUUGACGUGUGUAUGAUUAAAUACUAUUCAUUUAUAUUUGUGCUCAUACAAAAAUGCUUCUCUCACAUUUGUGUAUAAUGAUUGAUAGAAGAAGUGUGUGCCACCCAUGUACUAAUCUAUUUUUAAAGGAGAUUAUUAAUUAAACUUGAAAAUAUCCCAAAAUCGUAUCUUUUGAGAUUAUUAAAAGUAAAAAAUAAUUAUUUUUUUAUAAAAAUCCAGUAUCCUAAAGUAGUUUGACUCCACGUGUUAAGCUGCAUGUUGAGGUUCACCAUUGCAUGCUGCCACCUUUCCCCUCCAAUCACAUCCCUCAUCUCACCAACCGCCACAACCACCUACAUAAACGCUCUAUAUAUCUCAAACAAACAAGGUCAAAAUCGCCAUUACCCCACCAUCCAAGUUCCGUGGAAGCAAACACCGCAGAAGCAAACAGAGCAAAACAGAGGAAGGUAGCAGCACAGCGAUGGUAACAAAACCAAGCAUGUCUCUCACGUGUUUUGCACGUGUUACCAUCUUCCUCUACGCUCUAACCCUAUCAACUGCGUUUCACCGCCAUGAAAACUUGAUUCAGGACGUGGCUAGAAAGCUUGAGCUCAAAGACAACGAACUUCUCAAAACUGAGAAGAAGUUCAAAGUUUUCAUGCAAGAUUACUCCAAAAGUUACUCUACAAGGGAAGAGUAUUUACUACGCCUUGGGAUUUUUGCCAAAAACUUGGUCAAAGCUGUGGAACACCAAGCACUUGAUCCAACCGCCAUUCAUGGUGUUACUCAGUUCUCUGAUCUCUCUGACGAGGAGUUUGAACGGUUCUAUACUGGUGUUAGAGGUGGAUUCCCCUCGAGUAACGGCGUUGGCGAGGUUGCACCACCCUUGGAUGUGGAAGGAUUGCCGGAGAAUUUCGAUUGGAGGGAGAAAGGGGCUGUUACUGGAGUCAAGAUGCAGGUACAUGAGUUUAACAUUUUAACAUGCAUGUUUGAAAUUUCUAGUUUUUCUUUGUGGUUAUAAAAUUUUGGUUAUUGUUAGUGUCUAGUUGAGAAAGUAUAUAUGUUGAAUAUGAUUUUUUAAAGUUUUGUAUAUGAAGUAUUUGAAAACUAUAGAAUUAGAUAAUAAAAUGAAAACAAUGUGAUAUUUAUAUAGGAAUGAUAAAACUUAGUUUUUGUUUUUUUUUUUAAUAUUGAGGAUAAUACUUGGUUCAAGUUGUUUACAUUUUUACAAUACUAAAAAAAAAGUGAAGUAAUUUCUAUUAUGUUUCUAUAAAAAUUGUUUUUGGUUUUUGUUGUGCUUAAUUUUGAAACAGGGUACAUGUGGAUCUUGCUGGGCUUUCAGCACUACAGGAUCUAUAGAAGGAGCCAAUUUUCUUGCCACAGGAAAACUCCUCAGUCUUAGUGAACAACAGCUUGUGGACUGUGACAGCAAGGUAUAUAAGCAUCUCUAUGUUUAUGACUUUUUCAUUGAAGAUUAACUAUGUUCUAUACUUCAAAAUAUGAAAGAAUGAAUAAAAAAAUUCAAUGUUAUUAAACAAGUUUUAAAUGAAUUUCGCAAUGAUUCAAGCCAAUUAUGCUCUUGCUAAUCUUGUGUUUUAUUGUUCUACUAUUUUGCCUUUGUCAAGUGUGACAUAACAGACAAGACAUCAUGUGACAAUGGUUGUAAUGGAGGUCUUAUGACAAAUGCCUAUAAUUAUUUGCUUGAGGCUGGUGGAUUAGAGGAGGAAAAUGCAUACCCUUACACUGGUGGUAAGGGUGAAUGCAAGUUUGAUCCAAAGAAAAUUGCAGUUAAAAUCACAAAUUUCACCAAUAUACCUGUGGAUGAGAACCAAAUUGCUGCAUAUUUAGUUAAUCACGGUCCACUUGCAAGUAAGUCCCUUUAAUUAAUUAAAUUACAAGUUCUAACAUAUAUGCAUGUGUGAUGAAUUGUGAAACUUAGACGGACACUCACAUUGAUUGAAUGUAAUCACAUGCAACACAUCAGACUCCGACAAACUUGAAGUAUGUGCGACAUUGAUUUGUCGAUCUUUGUUUAAUUAAAUUGAUGUUGAUGAUCAUGAACUCUAAUUUGUGCAGUGGGGGUAAAUGCGGUUUUCAUGCAAACAUACAUUGGUGGUGUGUCAUGCCCUCUCAUAUGUAGCAAGAGAAUGCUGAACCAUGGUGUAUUGCUUGUGGGAUAUAACUCACAAGGUUUCUCCAUUCUUAGGCUUCGCAAGAAACCAUAUUGGAUCAUUAAGAAUUCGUGGGGAGAACGAUGGGGAGAAAAAGGGUAUUACAAGCUUUGCAGAGGGCAUGGUAUGUGUGGAAUGAACACAAUGGUUUCUGCUGCAAUGGUCGCUCAAACACAACCAGCUGAAAACAAAUCAUAUGCUUCCUAUUAGCUAGCUACCUAGUUCUGUUCUUGCUUUGCUAUGGAGACAGAAAAAGUGUGGAGUAUUGGCGAUAAGUUCUUAUUAUUAUAGCAAAAUAGUUCCUUUCCUAUUAGGUUUGAUAUAUGUAAGAGACUUCACCAAAUUGUAAUAAGUUUGCUUCUCCAAUUUAGUUUAAGUUCCCUCUUAAGAAAUGUAUUGUAGUGUGUGGAUGUAAUGUAUACUAUAUGAUAUAUGAUUAGGAAUGUGUGUGUUAUAAGGUGUUAAGACCUAACAAAAUCUUUCUACAUUUGAAAGUGGCACAUUGGGAAUAACCCAAUUCCAAAAUCUAAGAAUAUAGUGUUAAGAUAGAUGGUAGAAAAACCUCAAAUGCAGACAAUUAUAUAUGCUUAAGCUAAAAUGAAACAGUCUCUUUUUUCUCUCAUAUAAGUAACUUUAAGCAAUGUUUUAAAAAGUUGUAUUUUUCAAUGAAAACGUUUAUACUUUUGAGUAUUAAAUUCAAAUUAGAAACAAGAACAGUCAAUUAACUGUUUUACGUGUGUAACAGCUGUGGAAAUAUAUUUUGUGAAAAUAUAUUUUCACAGUUGAUAUGAUAUAAGCAGAUUCUAAAAAAAUGAUGAACAAAAAACAGGGGAAAUAGACAAGUUAGAUCGCGCCUUUAGAAUAUUUCUUAUAUAUAAUUCAAGAACAAUCAUCACAAAUCCGUUGUAGUCUAGUUGGUCAGGAUAUUCGGCUCUCACCCGAAAGACCCGGGUUCAAGUCCCGGCAACGGAAAUUUUUUUUGUUAUCUCGAACAUGAAUUCACACAAAUCAGUUAAUGAUAUUUAUGCUCUUAAUAUUUCCCUUUUUUUCUUUGAGGUGUGCUCUUGAUAUUCAAUGUUCUUGCAAUUUUUUUUUAAGUCUGACAUGCCAGAUAAAUAGAAAAUGGUUGUAAUUUACAUGAAUCGAAAUAUUGUAUUUAGCAUGAAUGAAUUUGGUUCUAAAAUAGGGAUUUGUUAUUUGAAAUGAUUUCACUUAGUAAUCGAACUUUUUUUUUUUUAAGCAAGAUACUUAGUAAUCGAACUUAUUAACCACUUAAAUUGAAUUGUUUGAUUUUUUUUUAAUAAAGUUCAAUUGCUUGAUUAAAAAAUUAAUUAUACUGACUUAAAAUAAUUAUUAUUUAGAUUAAACAGUGGUGUAAAAUAGUAAAUUAUUAUCUUUUUGAAUUACUCACAUAAAAGGAAGAUGCGUUUUAUUACAUGUGAUUAAUUUGAAAUUAGAAAUAAAUCAUCUCGAUUUUAUUUUUUAAAAAGCCAAAAUAAAUGUAGAUAAAAACCCCCUAUCAAGCAUAAGAUAUUCUUAACAAGGGAACAAAAGAGUACAAGUGAUCAAGGAAAACAAAACAAAAGGGUUAGUCCAAUGCAAACUGAAGGGUAAGGCCACGACAUAUGAAAGUCGAAAAAUAAGUUCGCAUUUAGAGCUUUAAACCAUCACCAUAAAUAAAGCUUAACAUGAUCUAAUAGUUGCUUCUUAGAUGAGAUUUUGGCGGAGAAAAAAACUCGGAGAAUUAUACUCCUUUCAGAUGACUUGAAUACAUAUCAUCUAGAUAACAUGAAAACAAUAGCAGAUAUCUUUAUAAAACAAGUGGGAGCCAACAAAUUGAAACACAGGUACCCCAUCACAUCAAUAGGCAAGACACUUUGAACUUCUGACCAACGGAGAACAUCAAUCCAAAAUGUUGUCAAAAAAAACACACACACUCAAAAAGUAUAUGAUUAUUAGUUUUCUCUAUUUUGCAACCCUCUAAGCAUACUAACGAAUUCAGGUGAAUGACGAUGCGACACACCAAAUUGUCUUUGGUAGGAAUCAUCUUGUUCAAAAGCCUCAAAACAAAUAAAAGCACCGCGUUGUUUCAAAUGAUUUUUGUGAAAGAAUCGUGAAUAUGUUGCUCCACUUGGGCAAAUAAAUGAUACACUCAUUUGGUAGAAUCAUGCUUCCAAAUUCAUUUGUCUGACAUGCUAUCCUACAAAAUAACGUUAUCGAACAUAAAAAUACACUCUCCCACAUGAUCCUCCUCCCAAGCAAGUAAUAUCAUCCACCAUGAACAGUCUACCCCCCACCCACCAUCAUCAUCAUCAUAACCUCUUCACUUCGCUGCUGAAACAUUACCUUCUACUGUCAACUCAGACAACCGCCUAACGCUUACCCACAAUGGUACUCUCUGUAACCAAGGAUCAUUUCAAAAAGAUGUGUUUUCACCAUGAUCCACUCGACACACUACUUCAUUUGCGAACAAACCACCCACAUCUGGAUCAACUUUAUCUUUAAUACAACAUAAGUCUUUUCACCAACCCAACACCUUACUACUCCUUUCCUUUUAUACAAAUUUAUUAAUACUUGUGUGCAUGACAAGUUUUAGUAAUUAGUUAUUAGAUUAUUUUGUGUCCUUCUUCUGGGUUCGAACCAGGAUUUUCAACUCUUUAUCACUUAGCACUAGUUAAGCUAUCCGAUCUUACAGGUGGAAAUAGGCUAGGCUUUGCAAGGCCUAAGUCAAUUGUGUAAAAAAAUUUAAGACUUGAGUCUGACUUAUGGCUUGUCGUAAGCUUUUUUUUAGGCCAAAGUCUAGCCUCUUGAAAGUCUAGUAUGACUUUUUAGUCUAUUUAAAAGUGUAUUUCAUAUGAUAUAUGUUUAAAUAGACUAGCAUACUAAUAGAUCAAUGAGAUUAAAUUCUCUUUUGAUAUUUAACAUGAUUUUAUAGAGAAUUCAACUAUAUAUGAUAUCGUAUUUCAGUUCUAAUUUAUAAUAAUACAUUUAAAAAAUAUGUGAACAGUGAAUGUAAACAAAUAAGCUUAAAUUACUAAAAAUGUUGACAAAUUUAUAACUUAUUUCAAAAUACAAAGUUUAAUAUAAUAAUAAACGUGGUAAUAAAUAAUAUCAUUUCUAUUGACUUCCUUUAAAAAAAUAUUAUUAAUAUUGGCUUAAAUAGGCUAACUUCAUAGGUCUUAGAAGCCUUGUUUUUUUUUUUUUUUAAAUUAUCUUUUAUCUACCAUUUUUAGCUAAAUAGAUUUAUUAAAAAGUCUAAGCAUUAUAUAUUUUAAAAAAAGUCUGAUGUAGACUAAUUCGUAGGUCUCGCUAAGUCGGUCUUAUUUAUUUUCACUCAUAUCCAACCCCCAAAAAAGUUUUAUUUAAACUAAAAAUGUACAUGAAUUAAAUCAUUUAGUUGGUAAAAAAUUAGCUCCUACAACUUUUGUCAAAAAUAAAAAUAAAACUUUUUGUCAUAAAAAAAUUCAUAUCAGUAUAUGUAUAUCAUAAAAAAGAAAAUCCAAUGAAGAGACAUUUUAGAAUGAUUUGAUUGAAGCUUUCAUAUCUCACCUUACAAAUUGCAAUCAAUUAUUUUGAUUUGAUUUGUAAAUGCUUAAAUUAAGAUUAAAAGGACUUGAUACACUUUAAAAAUCCAACAAUUUAGCCGGAUAAUAAGGGGUGAAAAUCUUUUACUUAAAUGUUUUGAUUUAAAACCAAUAAAUAAAUUAUCUUGAUUUAAAAUAAACAUAUUUUCUUACUGGUCCACCUAAUCAACCCAGAUUUUCCAAUGUCUCAAACCAAAUAACUCCUACUUGGCCACCACGCCAGCGAAGGUGAAAAGGAAACAGCAUGUGGUUCUAAUCACACAAAACAAAUUUACCAAAACACCCUCAAGCAUCUUUUUUAUCCUUAUCCACUUUUUAUGACUAUUAAUGGUUGGUAAUGGGCAAUGUAGACAUAUCACAAUUAUUACACGUUUCUUCCAAUUUACAACUAACAACUACCGUCCAACAACUCUUACAAUUAUCCAAUAAAAUCCACAAAAUCGAAUAUUCAAAAAACACUUUUUUUUUUUUUUCCUUUUUUACAAGACAACUUGCGACUCGCCCACAGACAUAAAAUUCAACAAAUAAAAACACACAGAGAAGUGAAAAAGAUUGCACCUUUUGUUAAUUCUUGUGGUUUAAUGCUUGUUCUGAAGCAAACCCAUUUUUCAUAAUUGUAUCUUGAUAACGUUUUCAUUUCUUUCUGCUUCAAUUCAUCUCUUUGGUAAGGGUAUUUUUUUUUUUUAUGAAAAGACAUGAUUGAAAAAUCUUAAAUUUAUGUUGUUUUGAUCAUGUUUUGUUUUAUGGUUUCUUGAUUUUGAUUCAGAUCUCAAUUGGGUUAUUGUUUUUGCACUUUUUUUGUUGAAUGCAUUACUCACUGUUUGAAAAUGUUUAUGUCUUUUCUUGUUUUUCUCUGUUUUUUGCUUGGUAGUUUAUGUUUCUUGUGUGCAUGCUAGUUACUAGUUAGUAGUAUUCAUGGUUUUCUGUAUGAAAACGUGUUAUUUAAUAUUUUGAUUAAUUUGAUUAUACAUUUGUAACCGACACAAGGCUUCAAACUAUAUCACUAAUCCGAAAUGCGGGUUCUUGAUUGGUCUAUACAAUUAUUUUGCAGUUUUGUUUAUAUUCAUUAAUUAAUUAAUUACGAAAUUUGGUUAUUUCAAGUGAGGUGGGUUUAAGAUCUUAAAGUAACACAUCUGUGUUCUUCUACUGUGAUUAUUUUAUCUCAGAUCUGGAAAGAAAGUUAGUUAAAUUAGUUAAUGAAAUUCAAGUAUUUGAUGGGAAUAGUACUUUAUAAGGUUUUAGAUAAUUAGGUUAGAUUAUAUAAAUAAAGUUAAUUAAAUUAGAUUAGUAGGGGCUUCAAUGUUAGUUUCUUGACUUAAUCUUAUCUUUUGAAACAAAUUGUUCGGUUAUUGACUGACUAUGAAGCACGGGCAGAGACACCGGACACCCCGACACACCAACACCGAUAAUAAUUUGAGAAAAUGACAUAAUUCAGUGUAACAAUAUGUGUUGGUGGGUGUCGUGUCAGUGUCGGACAUCGGGACACACCUAAUUCGAGGAGUGUCUGUGCUUCAUAGGUUAUUGAUGCAAUUUAAAUUUAAAUCAUACUGCUGUGGAAGAGCUAGGAAAUGUGAUGACGGUUUCUCUUUAUGUAUGAAAUUGUGUAGUUUUUCCCUAUUGAAGCUUUUUUCUUGUUAUGCAGCAACAGCAACACUGACGAGUGAGCAUUAGUUUUUUUCAAAACCCGUGACAUUCGAUUGGCGAUAACUGCUAGGAAGCUUGGAGGUACUUCUAAUCUUUAGAAGGAAAUAAUUAUUAGUAUUCAUUGUAGUAUUAUUGUGGAAUACAAUGGAGGUCUGUGCUGAAAGUACCCAUUGCAAUGGGAAACAGACUUUGAAGCAUUCUAAACCUGCAGAUGAAGUAAAAAGAUCAAGUGAAAACACUUGCAGAUGUUCUCGUCCAAACGGGAAGCAAAAUUUGAAGCAAACUUCCACUUUUGUCAAUCAUGGUGAGUCUUUCAUGAUCAUGGAUUCAUGGUUUUGUAUUUGCUUAUCACAAUGGUUCCACACGAUUAUAAUUUUUACUCUGUUGUUUAAAACCUAAUAUUGGUGAAUAUAUUAUGCAGCUGCAAAUGCUUGGCAUGAGAAUAGAAAAAAGUGGGUUGGCGAUAAGGCUAUGCAUUCACCAAGAACACCUAAGGAUCCAAUUAUUAGGUAUACCCCAAUCCAGCUCCAUUUCUUUUCAUUUACAGCAGUUUCAUUCGUUGUUAACACUAAUGAUGGCAGAUUUGAAUGGUUUUCAUCAUCUGUUUUUAUUUGAGAGAGAAAACAAUAUAAAGAAAAAAAAUGGGAUAGUGAAUUAGAAGGGGUUUUAUCUUUCACAUUUUUCUUGUUUCUGCAUUCAUGUUUAAGAAAUAAAAAUUACUUUGCUAAUUGGAAUCAACAUAAUUCAUUACCCUUCUAAUCAUGCUCCCCUUUUCUGGUCUUACUCUUACUUAAAUACUACAAACUCUAAUCAGGCAUACUCGUAUAGUCUUUUUCAGGGUAAAUUUACUGUUUACUCCCCUCUAGUUUCUCACAUUUUCAAUUCACCCCCUCAAUCUCAAUCCCCCUUUGCAUUGAAGUGAACUGAAACUGUUUAUAAUAUUUUUACAUGCAUAUUUCUUGUUGCUGCGUUGAUUGCAGAUGGCACAAUGUACGUGCCACACAAACGUUUGGUUGCUAAUAGCUUUAUUCAAAUACACAAGAUUUGAAAACAUAAUGUGCCUCUCUUAUCAAGAGCAUUGAUCAAAACAUACUAUGUACUUUUGUUUGAUUUCCUUUCAAGUGAUAUGAUAGUUUUGGGGAUAAUGUCUAAACCCGUGUUUUAGUACAAUUGGUUUAUAGAUAUACUGUAGUAAUGUGCUUUCCAUAAUUUUUAUGCAUUUAUUUGGCUAUCAUUUUAUGACAACUCACAAUUUUAUUUAAUUUAUUUCAGCUGGUCAACAUCAUACGAAGACCUACUUUCUACUCACGAACCUUUUGCUGAACGAAUACCCUUGCCUGUAAGAUGUCAAUACCCUUAGCUUACCUAAAAGAAUACAUGUAAUAUAUUAAAAUAUAUAUGUUCAUACAAAAUCUGCUAAUUGAAGCUGAAGAGAAAGGAAAAUCACUCUUUGAUGCUCUUUAGAGUUAGAUAUUUGCAUACUGUUUGAAGUCAUUGAAUAUGAUGCUGUAGCUUUACCUGCUUUAAGCUUUCUGUAUAUUUUUUUCAAUGUACUGAUUCAUAUUUUAUAUGGAUUUGUGGCUCAUACAGGAGAUGGUAGAUUUCUUAGUUGAUAUUUGGCUUGACGAAGAAGGCACCUUUGAAUAAAUCGUUGACGCUUCUUGUACAACAGUAACUGAAACAAGAAGUGUGUAAUACCCUUUAACCAGCAAUAACCUCAAUUAACCACCUAGCAUAGCUUGAUUUGAUGUAAUAGUAUUCUUCAGGGUUGAUAUUUUUUAUUGUAUUCCUGAUUUUCUUUAUGUGCCUCUCUUAGGAGACUCUGCUCGAGUCUGGUUCCCUAGAGGCUUUUAGUUUUUUUCUUUUGGCCUUUGUUCCUCUUUAUUUAUUCACAAAAAAAAAAAAAAAAUUAUUUUUCCACCAUUUAUCUAGUAAGUUUUAUUGUGAAAAAAGUAAAAAUAUAAAGGUUAAAAAGUUAAAACGCGCCAGGUAGGGGUCGAACCUACGACCUUCUGCUUAGGAAACAGACGCUCUAUCCACUGAGCUACAAGCGCAGUUCUUAUGGUCUGUAUUAUAUAUUUCAUGUUUUGAUCAAUACCACUGAGCUAAAGACGCUCUAUACAACAUUAUGUCAUUGAACAUGUGCCUGAGUAAAGUUUGAAUGUCUUAUUCAUUUGGUCAUGAAACGAUAGAAGAGGAUAAACAAAUAUGUACUGACAUUUGUUCUAUGGACAAGUGGCACCAAAAUUAGGUGUCCUUGAAUAAAUUAUUGUAUUCUACAAACAUUUUAUAAAUAAAUAAUAGAUAUAUUUCAAAACCUUUUUAAAAAUAACUAUUCUAAUUUUGUAAUUAGUCUUCCCUCAAGUAUUAUAAAUUUGUCUUGUGGUUCUCCAAUUCCGUGUAUUUUUUUUAUUUUAUAUAGACUCCAAUUCCGUGUAUUGUUUAGAUAAUAUAACAGUGGUUUGAACAAACUCAGCUUAUUAGUGUAGUUCAAUGGUAAAUGUAUAAACUUUAUGAGAAUGAUAUUAAAAAACAUUAACUUUAACUAAUACUUUUUUAUUUUUUACAUUUUUAAUUAAUUUUUUAAUCACAAACAUUUGUCCCGAUAGUGGUUGAUGGAUUCAUCAUACAUGAUGAUAGUGGUUGAUAUAUGAUUUUAUCGUGUAGCACUCACACAGGAUCUUUUCUCUUCCCUCCAACAAUUUUACAUGACACUUGCUCAACAAGCAAAGCAUGAGUUGGAUUAUUAUCACCAUAAUAAUAUUUUUUUUUUCAUUGUUUAAUUUGUUUCAUGUUUUGAUUAAUUUUUUUGUCGAACUUUAUUUAUUUUUAGAUUAAUAACAAUCGUUAUCCUUCUUUAAAAAAAACAAUUGUUAUCCUAAAUAAUGAACGGUUAACUUGAAAGAAAAAAAGUUAAUAGACAAUAAUAUUAUACUGUUUGUUGCUCUUUUAUUUAUGAUUAUGUCUAUGCCGCCACGUUUGAUAUAAUAGCUCAGUGUUAAGAGUUUAUCCCACUACAGUUAUCUCAAAUAUAUUUAUUUCUUAAAUUUAUGUGAUAAAAAGUAAUAUACCAUUAAAUUAUUAUACAUCAAAUAAAACAUAUUUUUAAUAAAAAUGAAGAAAUGUGAUUUUUUUUCUUCCACUAAACAAACAAUUUCUUCAUUUUUUAUUAAAAUAAUAAUAAUAUAAAAAUGAAAAAUUCCUUCUAUUUUUCUAAGUUCGAACAUAUGAAAAUUUUAACUUGUCAGAUAGAGUUGUGAUCUGUGUGUUUAAAAAAAUAAUUGUUGGAAGAUGUCAGCACCUUAAAUGACAAUCUUUUUUCUUUUUAAUAUUUGCUUUGAGCAAAUAAAUCACAUAAACAAAAGGUAACACUUUUACAAAUAAAUCUCACAAUGCACAAAUGUGUACACCACACUCUAAAGUUGUAUGUUGUAACUCAUUAUGUAGACCACAUUAUAAGGUUGUAACUCAAUAAAAACAUUAUGAGAAAAUAUUACAAUAACAUUCAAAAACAUAAAAUAAGUAAAACUCCAAUCUUCUGUUAUCUCUACAUACAUGUAUUCUAAACUACAAUUUGAUUACAUGUCACCUCACCAAUACCCCCUAACUAAUUUUCUAUAAGCAUUCAACAUAUGAUUCUCUCUUUUUCUUUUCCUUAUUUUCCAUCUAUCUAUUUAUUACUACAUAUUUACAUAUGUCAAGGGAAUAUGAUAAUAAUAAUAAUUUUGUAAAAAAAUUCUGAUAAUAAUAAUAACAAUAAUAAAAUUAUAUUUAAAAGUAUAGUUGAAAACGUGUGGUUAUUUGAUUAUAUGGUACAUUUUUUUGAUAAAUGUCUUUUAUCAAUAUUUCUUUUUUUAGGAGUUAGUACCAUAGAUAUGUUGCUCUCUUUUUUUAGUUUUUUUCAUCAGCCAUUUACAAAUUUAUUUAUUAUAUAUAGAAGUUCAACACAUAGCCAAAUAACCUAAUUAUUAAUUUAUAUAGUAAUAAAAUAUAUAUUUUUCUACUAAAAAAUGAUAUAACGUGUACCAAUAAAAAGAGAUAUCUUAACUUUUAAAAGUUGAAGAAUAAAAUUGAUCAAUAAAUGCUAUAUAGAGGUCAUAGCUUAAAUUAGUCCAAAUAAAUGAGAUAAUAAUAUAUACUAUAAAAACAAAACAAAAAAAAGUGUAAUUGAUCUAAUCAAUUAAAAUAUAUACCUUAAAGAUUAUAAAAACAUUAUUGUUUAAUUACACCAUCAUAAUUGAGUUUACUCCUUAACAUUCCUUCAAAUAUAACUUACAAAGUUGAAAAGUUCAGUGCAUAAUAAAUGCAUAAUUUUUCACAUUCACCCUCAACCUUCAUAGCCACCAGCCCACCACUUACCCAGACAUUUAUUUUCACCCAUUCCCACACUGUGUUUGCUAACACAAAAAAACUAACUUAUAGUUUGUUGGAUUAGCUUAUAAGCUUGUUUUUGUAGAAUGAGACAUGUUUGAUAAAAAAAAAAAUUCAUUAGCUUAUAGCGUUUUUUGAGAAGUUAAUUCAAGUAGCUUUUGAGCUUAUAGCUUAUAGUUUUUUAUAUUUUCUUCCAAAUUUAACCUUUUAUUAAUUUAGUUUAAUUUAAUUUUAAUUAAAAAAACUACCCAUAACUGCCCACGUUUAGCAUCAUGAUAUGGCUUUUCAAUUUUUCUUGUUCACGUUCCUUUUUACAUGCUCUUAAUUCAAUGAUAGAUAAUUUUAUAUAAAAUUUACAAUAAAUAGUGAUGCAAGUUUAGUUGAGUAAAAUUAAUGAAAAGGAAGUUUUGUUAAAUAAAAAUUGUCAAUUGAAUUAAUAAAUACAUUUAUCAUUUAGGAGAUGAAAAUAUUUUGAAAUAAAUUUAAAUAUUUAAAAAGAAAUACAUUAAGUAUUAAAAAUUGUAUAUAUGAUUUAUAAAAAAAAAACACAAACAUGCCCUUUUACGUCAUUUUAUAUUUAUCAGCUACUUCAACAACUAAUUGUACCAAACACUUUUUAUUUUAAUAAGCUAACUUUUCAGCUAUAAGCCAUCAGCUAUCAGCUAGCUUAUCAGCUACCAGCUAGCUUAUAGCUUCUUUUUACCAAAUACACAUUUGAAAAUUUACACUCAUUUAUUGAGUGUUUCUACCAUGGUGCUAUUGAUACUAGGGAAAAUUACACAGACCUCCUACGAGGUCUCUUUAAACAACACAAACACCCUUUUUAGUUUUAUAAUAGACAUAAACCUCUCCUAAGAUCUUUUAAAAUAGAUAAACACCUCCCUUUGUGACUUAACGGAAACUUAACACCGUUUGUUUUUAAUUUUUAUAACUAAAAGGGAUAAAAAUUCUCCUCUCUGAACAAUGUAAACAGCAAACCUCACAAUAAUGAUUCUAUGAUUUUAAACAAGAAAAACAAGUCUUCUGUGAUGGACUGUGAAUCUCAAACCAACCCCUUUCAUGGUUGAGAAGUCUUUAGUUGCAGAAUUUCCUUCCCUUUCAAAGUUAUGUAGAACAAUUAGUGUUGUCGUGAAAUUCAUUGUGAAAAGAAAUUGGGUGUAAAUUUUGAUGACAAUACAUGAUAUCAUAAAAGUGUGGGUGCCUUGGUACCUAAAGAAAUUGUGCUGUGAGAUUUUACCCAAACUCUAUGUUUGGUGAUGUCGUUUUUGUGGAAGAUAUAUUGUGCAAAACAUAAAAGUUUGAGUUGGAAGAUUUCUACUAGAAGAGGUCUCUUUCACUAACGGCACACUGAGAGUAUAACAAAUUUGGUUGAUGAAAUCUUUUUGGUGGAAGAUGAUGCAAAACAUAAAAAGUUUGAGUUUUUCUUUUUAUUUUCCAAUAACGCCAGUUUAACACUGUUACAUUAAAGGGAGGUUAGUGUUAUUUGUGAAAAUAGAGGGGGUGUAAGUGACAUAUUAAUAUUAAUAUACUAAAGGGAGGUGAGUACAAUUUAUCCUUUAUACUAUCAUAUUUAUAUGUACUAAAGUUGUUUGUAUAUUAUUCAUUUGCACUUAAGUAAUUGUAUAUUCAUUAUUUUUUCAGGUUGAGAGAAAUAAAUUUCACCAUAGAUAUGAUGCUAAUAUAUGAAAAGGUAUUCUUGAUUCCUCUUAUAACUAUUGUUCAGUCAAAAUUGAUCUUUCACUUUUUUUGACAGGUACUGAAUUUUGACUUAAGUUGUAAAAAUGGUUCUAAAAACAAUCUCACAUAUAUUAUUAACAACACGCUUUAUUGACAAUUGGAAAAUAACAACAUGCUAAGUUUUAAUUUGGCAUUUUUUUUUAAACAAAAAUGUUAUAUUUGGAAAUGUGAUUUUUUUUCUUCCACUAAACAAACAAUUUCUUCAUUUUUAUUAAAAUAAUAAUAAUAUAAAAAUGAAAAAUUCCUUCUAUUUUUCUUAGUUCGGACAUAUGAAAAUUUUAACUUGUCAGACAGAGUUGUGAUCUGUGUGUUUAAAAAAUAUUUGUUGGAAGAUGUCAGCACCUUAAAUGACAAUCUUUUUUCUUUUUAAUCUUUGCUUUGAGCAAAUAAAUCACAUAAACAAAAGAUAACAUUUUUACAAAUAAAUCUCAAAACACAUGAAUGUGUAGACCACAUUAUAAGGUUGUAACUCAAUAAAAACGUUAAGAGAAAAUAUUACAAUAACAUUCAAAAACAUAAAAUAAAAAAAUAGUAAAACUUCAAUCUUAUGUUAUCCUUAUCUCUAUCUCUAUCUCUAUCUCUAUAUACAUGUAUUAUAAACUACACUUUGGUUACAUGACACCUCACCAAUACCCCUCUUUCUAACUAAUUUUCUAUAAGCAUUCACCAUGUGGCUCUCUCUUUUCCUUUUCCCUAUUUUCCAUCUAUCUAUUUAUUACUACAUAUUUACAUAUGUUAAUUCUUAUAAUUCUUAAAUAUGUAACUGAAAAUAGAGUGAGCUUUGUAACUCCUUCCACUAUUCAUUAAUUAAGGGAAUGUGAUAAUAAUAAUAAUUUUGUAAAAAAAUUACAAUAAUAAUAAUAACAAUAAUAAUAUUGGGUAUUGUUUACACUUUAAUAUUAGCGGAACUUAUUCAAACAUAAGUUUAUUAAGAUUCACAUUCAUGUUUAUAUUCUAAAUUUAAAUUUUAAUAUUUGUUAUUCUUUUAUGAAAAGGGUAAUAUUUGUUUUAUCUAUAAAUCUAAGGCUAUACUUUUUUUUCCUUCCCAUUCUUGCUUCUUCACGUGCGCCAUAUUCGGAUUAUAAAAUCUCAAAAAUUAGAGGAUUUUUGAAGGUAUUUUAAUGUGUUUUGGAGGGUCUAUAGGACGUUUUACAUUGUUCGGAUUAUAAAAUCUGAAACUCAUAUGACCUGUGAGAAACUAGUAGUUUUUCCACCCUCAUUUCUUCUUGUGUGUGCGCGUGAUUAAAAAAUUGACUCAAUUGUAAAGGUGUUUUUUCUUUUUUGCGGGUGGUGACGAGGAAAAUAUGAAAAUAGUUUGGAUAAGAUAAGAUGGGAGAAGGUGUGCUUAAUUAAUGUGUCAAGGUGGGUUUGGUGUCAAGAAUCUGGAGGUUUUCAAUACUUCAUCAUUGUCAAAAUGAUUCGAAGACGCUUCAAGAUAGUAUUUGUGGAAUGCCUCAAAUAUGCACCAUUGACCCUACUUUCUUCUUAAGAAAUUCAUCGAAAGACAUGUCCUUCCACUCUACAAUAGCAUGGGAUAAUUUUUCUGAAAUAUGUCCACCUGAAACCCACCCGGACCGAAGCAUAUCACUAUAAGAAUUCUCUAAGGCUUUGUUUGCAAGUUUGGAGAAGAAGUGAGGGGGUUUUUAGAGAAAAAGAAGAAAGAACAAGUGGAAGAAAUAAAGUACAUUGAAAAGAGAGGGGUUUAGGCGUUAAUUUUUCUUCAUAAUACAAAACCCUCCUCAUUUAGGGAACUAAAGAGUUGUAUUGGAGGAGAGUUUUGGACGGUUUAUAUGAAUUCUUCAAAUUUAAUUUAUACUGUUAUAAUAUUAUUAAUAUUAAAAAUAUACGAAUCAUAAAAAUUCGUUUAUCAUUUUCUAAAAUAAUACUCUUUCAAAAAUAUGUGAAAGAUUUCUCCAUUUUUCUCUAUAAUUUUCACCUCUUAGAGUUUUUCCUUCCCCUCCCCUCCAAACGCUCAAACAAAUUCUAACAGUGAAGUGUUGUCAAAUCUAAAGCCAUCAAGUCUUACCAAUACCAAAUGGAGAAAUAAGUAGAGGGUGACGACAAAACAAGUUUAUCUGAUCUAGCACAUUGGCAACUACAUUGAAACCCCUAACCUUCAUCAUCAUUUGCUAAGGUUCUAUCCAAUCCAUCCAAUGUCUAUAAAAGAAAAAAAUUAUGAUGGCUCAAUCAAUGAAGGUUGUGUGUCUAGUUGGCAAAGAGUUGACAUUUUAAAAUAUAUCAUAUUGUCAUUAAGAUCUUUGACAAUUUAGUAGGUGUAAAAGUAUAUUCUCAGUUUUUAAAGAGUGAUUUGUUUAUAGAAUACAUCAUCCAUCUUAAAUUAUACUUCUUCCGUCCUAAAUUGUAUGACGUUUUGGACAUUUCACACAUAUUAAGAAAUGUAAUUAAUAUUGUGUGGGAAAGAGAUAUUAUGAGUUGUUUUACAAAAUUAUCAUUAAUAAAUGAUAUGGGAAAGAUAAAUGAAAGAAUUGAAAAAAGAAAGAGUAAUAAAUAGUUAAGGAUAUAAUAGAAAAAAUAACAUUAAUGUUUCAUUGGUAUUCUAAAGUGACAUACAAUUUGAGACGAAUAUUUUUUCUAAAGUGACAUACAAUUUUGGACGAAGGGAGUAUGUAGUUUUAAAAAAAAUCAUAAAUUAUAUAUCAUUUUACAAUAUCGACGAAGUAUUAAUGUUAUUUUUUUUAUUAUAUCCUUAAUUAUUAUUACUAUCUCUUCUUUCAAUUAUCUUUCUCGUAUCAUUUAUCAAGGAUAAUUUUGUAAAACAACGCAUAAUACAUUUUUCCAACACAAAAUUAAUUACACUUUAUUAAUAUUUACGUGUGAAAUGCCAAAAUAUCAUAUAAUUUAGUACGGAUGAAGUAAAUGAUCACAGGAAAAGAAAAAGAAAAAAGAUGUUUACAAGGUCAAAUUUAACAAACAAAAAUGCCCAAAUACAUGAACGAAGUACAUGAAAAUGAAAAGAAAACAAUGGCAAAUUACUAUUAAACCCCUGGACUGACUCAUCAAGAGAGAUGAUGCAUGAGCGAGUCUUGAGUCUGACGAAGUAGAGUAACUAACCGUUCUUGCUUCUCCAUGUUAUGACACGUGUCGUAAAAAAUGGAUCUUAAGAAAACAACAAACACCAUCGUUCGUAACCACCUUUUCCCCCCCACUCUCUCUUUCUUCGCAUUUUCAUUUUUUUCAUUUGCACGCAAAGCAACAACACCAUGAUGACGACGUUUUGGUUCUCUCUUGCGGUUGUACUUCUCUUGUGGUCCCCACCGUCUUCCUCCGCCGCUACCAUCAACGAUGAGAUAGCUAAGAAUCUAAUUAGAAACCUCAACCUCUUCCCUUCUCACGAUAUCAACAUACUCGACGCCAAACCCAAUGUGGAGGAGAAUCAGAACAACAACAAGAUCAUCGUUGAGAAGCCGCUUAAGUUUCCAAAUUUCUCCGGCGAAUACGACGAAGGAGUUUGCAUUGAUGACUUGGCUCAUCGUGCUGGAUAUUAUCCCAUUCAACACUCUCAUGCUGCUAAGUAAUUCAUAUUCCAUUUUUUCUCUUUCUCAUUUUCAAUUUUGUUAUUAUUUUAAUUAUUUUUUGCAACUCUUUUUCUUCUGUUUAUUUAAUUAGUAAUUGCUUAAAGUAUUACUUUAUUUAGUGAAUCAUUAAAAUAAUUAUAGAUUAUGUUCUCUAACUGACCCUGGGAUUUGUCUUCAUUGAAUUUAAUUGUUUAAUUUUCUCUGUAUCGUUUUGUGGAAUAGCAAUGUUGGAGAACACACAGAAUUUGUGUAUAUAAUAAUAUAUCUAUGGAUUUUAUUCAAUGUAAAGUUGUUUUAUAAAAUGUUUUGAGUAUUUACACCUUGAAAUUAAAUAGACUCUUGAUUUUGAAUUAUGUUGAGCAACUUGAUCAUUCUGUUGGCUUGUAUCUAAUUUACAGUCAAAUUAGUUACAUUAUUAUCGCAAAUGUUAGACGUGUAAAUGUCCGACCCCCUACAAUUUCAACAGGUGAAUUGGUAAUUUACUUAUGUUUUAUAUUAUCACUGACUCAAUCAUAGUUGUCUCAUAAUUAAUAUUGUUUUUAUUCAUAAUUACUUUCAAAACUGUUCAUGUGAUUGGUUGUGAUUUGUUGAGAGUCUAUACAAAUUUAACUUUUAUUACUAUGUUUUGGUUGUUUAUGUGCAGGAUGUUCUACUUUUUCUUUGAAUCCCGGAAAAACAAGAAGGAUCCUGUUGUGAUAUGGUUGACAGGUGGACCUGGCUGUAGCAGUGAAUUGGCUGUGUUUUAUGAAAAUGGCCCUUUCAAAAUUGCUAACAAUUUGUCCCUUGUAUGGAAUGAAUUUGGUUGGGACAAGGUAUUUAUAUUGUUAUAUUUGUUUGUUGUCUUGUGUUGUGUCAUUCAAUUAACUGUUUUUCCUAUAGUUUUGGUUUCUUGUGAUCAGUAUUUAUUGGACAUAACUAAUUAAUUGGUAACCUUGUAGGUAUCUAACCUCCUCUAUGUUGACCAACCAACUGGAACUGGCUUCAGUUACACUACCGAUAAGCGUGAUAUUCGUCAUGAUGAAGAUGGUGUCAGCAAUGACCUCUAUGACUUUUUACAGGUACUUGUAUUUUCUUCAAGUGUUAUGUUAGUUAUUCAAAACAUCGGUGCAUUGGCCCUUUUUUAUUAGCGUAAACGCUCAUCAUAUUAGUGCUUAUGUAUAGGUUAUUUUUAUAACAAAAAAUAAAAUAAAGUCAAGCAAUUUUCAUAUAAGUCGAAAACAACUUUUGGACAUGUCAUAAGUUGUUUUCAUAAGUUAUCUCAAACAGUCGCACAAGUGCUUAUUUUUAGUAGAUGAGGUCAAACAAGUAAUCCAAACAGAACCUUAAUAUGAUAUACUUGACUUAUAUUUAUUGUUCUAUGAACAUGAGUUGUAUUUACAGACUUGUUUUCAUUUCCUUACAUUUCUUGGUCGCUGUUCUUUGAAAUGCAAAACAUAUUGUUUCUUAGUUAUUGUUAUAUUGGAUAAGAGCACCUUGCUAAGCUUCACCUGUGAUAUCUUGAGAUAACAUGUUUUUUCUUUUCCCUACAGGCCUUCUUUGGUGAACAUCCCGAAUAUGCUACAAAUGACUUUUUUAUCACGGGUGAAUCAUAUGCCGGACAUUAUAUUCCGGCUUUUGCUGCUCGUGUCCACAAGGGAAACAAAGCUAAAGAAGGGAUUCAUAUAAACUUGAAGGUUUGCUACUUUGUCAACCAUUCUAUUUGAGAUACAUAUUGAAGGGUAUGAAAUCUUGUUUAUCUUAUUUGAAAUGGUUGAACAGGGAUUUGCCAUUGGUAAUGGACUCACUGAUCCUGCAAUUCAGUAUAAAGCUUACGCAGAUUAUGCACUAGACAUGGGUGUAAUUAAACAGGCUGACUAUGACCACAUCAACAAAGUGAUGGUUCCAGCCUGUGAAUUGGCAAUCAAACUAUGUGGUAAUUGACACGUGAUGUUGUUUCUUUAUCCUUUCAAUCAAUAUAACGUUUCUUCUCAUAUAUGUAUGCUGGAAACUAAGGUUCUUAUUGAAAUGAACAAACUCAUGCAUUGGAGUAUUUCUUUCUUUCUUUCUUUGAAAUGAAUGUAUUUUGAGUUCAACCUCCUUGCACAGUUCCAAAUAUCCAAUUUUAAAUUUGAAUCUGAACAUAGAUUUUUUAAAUGGAUCAAUCAUAAGGUUCAAUUCAUGCUCAGGCUUGCUAUUUUUUUUUAAGUAAUUUAAAACUUACUACAGUUAUUUUAUUUAAACUGCAUAUAUGACCUAUAUAUAAUUUAACGUGUCUUAUCAUAUAAAUACAUAUUUAUCUUAAUAUUAAAUGUAUAUUGCAAUCCAAAUUUGGUGUAUGAUAGAACACUAUGGCAUCAUUUGAUCCAUGUAGCCAACCCCACUUAGUGGGAUAAGGCUUGGUUGUUGUUGUAUUAAAUGCAUAUUGCUAUUCUUAUAUUGUUAUCUAUUUGACAUUAUAUGAAUUUCUUACAAAAUUUUACAUGUACCGCGUUAUAGUUAAAUGAACUGGUUUACUAUUUCCAGUCAUCAUGGCACCUUAUAGUAAUUUUUACUAUCCUGAUUAUUCAUGUAAUUGAAACAUCGAAGGACCAGAGGUCUCUGCUUCACUCUCAUGGUAAACUAACUAGCUUUUGUUAUGUUUCUUCUUAAUACUUAUUUUAAUCCUUUCAGGCACAGAUGGAAAAAUCGCAUGCACAGCUUCGUAUUUUGUUUGUAAUACUAUAUUCAAUUCCAUCAUGUCACAUGCUGGUGAUAUCAAUGUGAGUAACUCAGUUACUUCAUCUUCUGUGUGGUUUACAUGUCAUAGUACUUUAUUUUGUUAAGUUUACAGUGUGCCGAUGAACCUAAUAAUUAAGAGUAAGUUGAUAUUUGCAAGCCAUCAAUAGCUAAUAAUUAAUUACACAAGAUGAAGCAUGAUCUAAAUUACAAGCUUAUUUGCAGACUUCAUAGAAAUUCUGAUACUGUGUUAAAGAGUCACUCUUCCUAAAAAGCUUUUUGUUGUAAGUGAGAAGUGAAGAAGAUUUUAAUUGUGUCUUGAACAAAUUGUUGCUAUCUGUCACUUUUUGCUUUGCUUCCCAAAAUAAUUUCUUGUGGAAAAAAUAGUCACCCACACACCAUAUUAUGUUGUAGUAACAGGUUAUCAGGUUAUGUUUAACAUGGUUAAACAUGUGAAACAUUUUCCCGCAAUAUAAAUUGUCUUCCUUAUGCUGCUGCUUAAUAUUUAAAUUAUUAGGCAUUUGUCUUGACAUUUAUGGAGAAUGUGAAGUCUUGAAAGAACAUGGAUGUUCCAUAUUUAAAAUUUUGACCAGCAAUUAUUAACUUGUGGUGCAGUACUACGACAUCCGAAAGAAGUGUGAUGGGAAUCUUUGCUAUGAUUUUUCGAACAUGGAGAAAUUCCUGAACCAAGGAUCUGUUCGGAAGGCACUAGGGGUUGGUGAUAUUGAUUUUGUGUCGUGUAGUUCUACAGUUUAUCAGGCUAUGCUGGUGGAUUGGAUGAGGAAUCUUGAAGUCGGUAUUCCUGCCCUGCUUGAGGAUGGAAUCAAUUUGCUUGUUUAUGCUGGGGAAUAUGAUCUCAUCUGCAACUGGCUUGGUACGUAUUUAUCCAUGGCCAGAUUUUAGAUCUGUUUUGAACUAUAACAUUUCAUACUUGAACCUUUAAGGUGUAUUGAUGAUUUUUUUUUUUUUUUUUUCCGGUAAUAUUCAACGAAUAGGUAAUUCGAGAUGGGUUCAUGCCAUGGAAUGGUCUGGCCAGAAAGAAUUUGCAGCCUCAUCCGAAGUUCCUUUCACAGUUGAUGACUCAGAAGCUGGAGUAUUGAAGAAUUAUGGACCUCUUAGUUUUCUAAAGGUAUCAUUCUCUAUAUAACUCUUCCUUUUCUUUUGGUGCAAAAAGAUGGCAAAGCCCAAUCAAAACAUUAUAUAACUCUAAUCUCAAAUGAACACACCCCAUACAUAGGUACAUUACAUAUGUAUGACUGUCUUCCAAAAUCAAAUAGGAAGUUAUCAUUGUUGUGUAAGCUAUCCAUCAAUAUUAUAAGAAAUGUGUCUCUUGAGGUAAGGAGUUUUUGUGUUAUUUGGUUUGCUGUUGCUGUGCUGUGAGGGCAGUCAGGGUGCGAAAAUCCUGCUGGUGUGUGGCUGGUUUUUUGUUUUUUCAAGAGGAGUUCCUUUGCAUCAGUACUGGGAGGUAUAGAGGUGGAGUUUUUGGUGUGGCUGGCUCGGCUAAUAUGCUGUUAGCAGCAGUGCAGUGUUCGUCUUUUUUUCAUCUUGUUUUCGGUUUGGAGUAGUGAGGCACGGGUAUGCUUACGUAUCCGGAUGUUGCCGGGUUGCUACCCGUAUGUAUAUUUUGUCCUCAUUAUUAUCUAGGAGGAUAGGGGUGCUUGGUUUUUGUAGGUGUUCCGUAUAUAUGUGGCACCGUUUGCUUGUAUUUUCCGUUUUUUCCGCGAGUGUUUAUGCUUCUUGCAUUUUCUCGCCGUGAUUAAUAUUUGCCGUUUCAAAAAAACAUAUAGAGCCAGUUUGGAUAAACAUUUCAUCAAGUACUUUUGGAGAAUUAAAUAUCGAAAUAACCUUGUAAUACAAAUAAUGGCAUCUCAAAUAUAAGUUAAAAUUAGUUUCUGCUUCUUAAUUGUUCAGAAACUCUUGUUUAACUUUUUUAUAGCCACAUGUGUUUAUAAAAACGACUCCAUUUAGUGGGAUAAGACUUGGUUGUUGUUGUUGUUGUUGUUGUUGCCGCACAUGCGAUCAUAAAGAACUCUGUCUUUUAGAUGUAAUCUAGACCGUGUCUAUAAUUCAUUUACUACCAAAUUUCCGCAUAGAUUGGUAAAUCCUGACUCAGUUUGGUAUUUGUGUAACAAAAAACAGGUUCGUGAUGCUGGUCAUAUGGUUCCAAUGGACCAGCCCAAAGCUUCCUUACAAAUGCUGAAGAAGUGGACUCGGGGAACCCUUUCCAAAUCUGGAGCUGAUGAGGAAAUAUUGGUUGCAGAGAUGUAAUCUCUUCUUGCAAUUAGUCUAACAUCAAUUUGAUGAAAUGAAAAGAGAACUCCAACUAGUGGGAUGUUUGUUCUACUAAACAAAAUUCAUACCAUCUUAAGUGACAGAAUCAAGGCAAUGCAAGAAAAGAAUGAUUUAUAUAUAAUGUUAUGUCUAUAUAUGGUGUUUUGGUAAAAUCUGAUGUGUAGGUUGCUUACUCCCCAAACUACAAUCUAAUGUUUAAAUAGAAUGCAAACAAUAUAAGGAGUUGACGUAUUUAUUUAAUAAACAAUAUAUUGUUUAAACGUGUUUCAAAGUUAAUAUUUAUAGUAUUAUUUGGGUUGGGUCCGGUGACUGACGUGACUACACUUCAACAAUGUGACGAACCAAUAUUCAAAUUUUGGUUGGGAGAGGUAUUCAUGUUUAGUGUCCAACGUCUCGAUUAGAAUUACCUCCGAUUGAGAAAACUUAUUAAAAAAAAUUAAAAUAGUUGUAACUAUAAGAUAGGUACCAAAUGUUUCACCAAAAAAUGUUAUAAUCUCAUUAUAAGUUUCAGUUUUUGUGUUUACCUAAAUUUUUGUAUCAAGAAAGUACAUAAAAAAAACUAAUAAUUUAUUCAAAAUCUAAAUUUUACCUAACUAUAUUCUUUUAUAACUUAAAUGAUUUAAUUUGUAUGUGCAGUAAUUAUAACUAUGUUUUGUUAGACAUAGAUUCACUCACAUUUUAUUAUAUAAAUAUUUUGAAAACAACAUAACAAAGUGAUAUUAUUAAUCACAAUUUACUAUUUAGAUAUAUUUUUUAGACAAUUUACUUUUUGGAUAUUUUUUAUAGAAUUUUAAGAAAUACAUAGUAUGAUAUAUUUACACGUUUACUUACAAGUUACACAUAUUUUUUGACUGGUUAAUAUGGCAGAGAUUAAACAUUGUUAUUAGAUCACAAUAAAUGGAUAGAUAUAAAACACUGUAAUGUAUUUAUGAGUGUGCACGUAGAAGCAAACGGAUAAAAUAAAAGAAUUUAGGAAAGUUGCAGAAGAAGCAAAAUGAUGAUGUCAUUUGGCCUUGGAAUCUCUACGAACUGCAGCUGGUUGAGAUGUCACGCCCGAAUGCCUCCUUCAUGUUCCAUGUUUUCCCAUGUUUCAAUGUCUUCUUCACCUUCUUCUUGUUCCACCUUCAACUCUAAAUCUAAUAAUAAGCUCAACUGGACUCCAAUAAGAGCAUCCUCUGAAGGUUUGUCUUAUUUGAGUGUAUAACAUAAGUUAUUUUCAGCUUAUUUCCAUGAGUUGGAUAACUUAUGAAAAUAAUUUGACUUUAUACAUAAGAACUUGUAUGAUGUGUACUUCAUGUUAUAAACACUUGAACUUGAUUAAACUAUUUAUCCAAACAUGGAUGGAUGGUCUUGUUGCUUUAGUUUAUAUUCUCAUUCCUUGAAAGUUAUUUGCUUAUCAUGCAGGACUUCCUAAUGAGUUAGUUGAAGAUUCAAAAUUUGUUCCUAUAAAUGUUGAGGAUCCUAGAUACGGUCCACCUGUAAGUCAUGGUUAGUUUUCACUCAUUUGAAAUGUGAUGUUUAUCUGUCAUGACCAAAUGAUUUUCAACAUAAACACUUCUGCAGAAAUCUCAUAUGGGGGAUACUUUGUCCUCACUAUAUGUAUUUACCUUUGAGAGUCUAAUUUGAGUAACUUUUUUUUGUGAAAGAAUUUUCAAUCAAUCUAACUUAAUUAGGACCAAAACUUAGAAUGGUUGUCGAACCCAUUCAUACGUAGCUAAGCGCAGGGGUUUCUUUUAUUUUGCAGGCCUUAUUGUUGUUGGGAUUUGAAGCAGAUGAACAUUUUAAGGUGAUAUUACCAUCAUCCAUGCAAUAGGAUAUGAUAAUCCUUGUAAAGAAAUGUUGUUGUAGAUUCAUAUACUUUGUUAGUCUUGAUAGAUUUUACCUUAAUCAAAUGAUUUAGAAAUGCCUUCAGCUGUGCCUUUUCCUCGAUCUCUCUUUUGUAUCCCGUAAUAUUAAGUGUGUGUCCGUCCUGAUCAACAUACAUGAAUUUCUAAGUCAAUCAUUGCUCUGAUUAUUGUCUAUGCUUUCAAGAUGACCCAAAAUGAUUGAUAGAGCAACUCUUCUUGAAAAAUUUUAUACUAAGGAAAUUUCUACAUGUAAAAUGUUACAAGUACAGCAUGAAGUCUACUUUAUAAUAGUAUUAUUGUUUGCUUAUAGUGAAUUACAAAAUGGAUAUAGGCAGAAGCUUACAAUGAUUAUCUAGUGACAUCUUUCUCUAGAUAUAUUAGCAUUCAAUUACUUAGCCACUAUAUUAUUUUACAUCUUUCCAAAUGGGUCAUUCAAUCAUAGUUUAUUUGAGCUUGUGCAGAUUCAACAGUUUUUGAAAGAGUUAGAGGGUGAAUUCCUGAAGGUAACAAACAUCUUAUUUAAUGUCUUUUAUGUUCAUAUUUUAUUCGCAAAGCAAGAUCAAUAAGUAAAAUCCUAUUAAUAGCAGGGAGAGAGAGAUUAGUUAUUUGAUUAUUAUUUCCAACAGUCUGAAUAAACAAAGAUUUUUCCACUUUAAUGGUCAAAGAUUGUUCCGAUGCAUAACAACUACUUCUUUCAAUCUAUGGUGACUUCUUUGACCUCGAUAAUGCAAUAAGCUACUCUUAAAAAAAUAAUAGAAAAUGUAACAUAUUGCAUUGCAUUGUAGGUCAUCUAUUGUACCAAGGACAUGCUUACGCAUUCACUUUGGGAUGUAAUGCAUACAACACAAGAGAGUUUAGAAGAGGUCAAGGUAGAAUUUUUUGAACACCAAGUGAUGUACUAUUUUCAUCUAACUUGUGCUCCUUCUAAAUCUGUUCAUGAAUUUGUAGUUUUGUACUAACAGAUAUAUUGAUUUGUAGAAAUGAAUUUGUGAUGAGAAUAAGCUUCUCCAUUGUGAUUUUUGACAGCCAUUUCUUAUAAUUUCAUCAUUUAUUUGCAUCAAUUUUUAAGCAGGUGCUCAUGGUUAACUGAUUAUAGGUUUUCCGAUAUCAAAUUUAUGGAGAAUUAUCAUUUGUCUAGAGUGAUUAUAAAAUCUAAUUUUCUAAGCAUACCAAUCAAGAACUUUGUAGCAACGACUAAAUGAUGUUAGUUAAUAAAUAUGUUUCUAAUGUUCGAAGACCUUUUUAGCGUGUAGCAAUAUUUCUCUUUUCUUAAGUAGUGAGAUGACAUCCCUUACAUUCCUAAAUUAUAUUCAAAUCUCUGCACAUGUUCAGCAUUUUGUGCCUUGCAUUGCAGAUAGACAAGUCACUUCCACGAAUAUGUUUCUUAUCUGGUUUAAGUGGAGAGGAGACGAUGAUGUUCGUUGAUGCUUUCCCUGAAACUGGUAUAGAAAAUCUGUUCAGUGCUGAAGUGUUUAAGUUUAACACAUUGAUCUUAUCAAUUAUGCCUUUUGGUCUGUUAACAUUGAAAUCAUAAAUAUUUCUCUCAGUUUGGCACAUUUCUGUGCAUGAAUGAUAGAUCUACUGGUUUAGUGUUCACAUGUAAUUACUGCAAUUUGAAAAUUGUUUUAUGCAGGACUAAAACCAGCCGCGUUUGCGGCUCUUGUUCCCAACAGUGCUAACAAACCACUAUAUGAGUUGAUAGAAGAAAUCACGGGAGAUCAUGAGAUGUUGGUAGGUGUUUAUUUUCUAGUGUCAAUGUUUAUCACUAUCUUCUAGUUUAUAGUUAUGUGAAAUUGUCUUUUAUCAUGUGCAGACCGGAGAACAGUUGUGAUAAAAUUCCCAGUGAAUUCUAGGAGCACACUCGCGGAGCAUACGCAUUAUCAAUAUGAAUGUACUUAGAUUUGAAGUGUAUAAAAAACUAAUUCCAAAGAUUAUUCAAGUUAGCAAUUGAUUGUUUAUGUCUUUAUGAGCAUAUGCCUACUGGAACUGGAAAAUAUGGACGAGUCUUUUGUUAUUUGAAAUUUUCAAAAAAAUUGAAGAUGUUCUAAAUAAAUCUGGGUAUUUAUUUAUUUUAUUUACGAAAUGCUACUAAUAGUCCCUCACUCCUAUACGUCAUCUUAACAAAACUAUCUCAUUUUAUGUCUUUUUACAGUAUAAUGAAGUAUUAGUGUCUCUGUUCCUUUUUGGCAUAAGUAUUAGUGCCUCCUCUUUUUAAAUUUUUGGCAUAGUAUAAUGGAACACUAUAUUUAGUACUUAUGAUAUUAAUUGUAUUUUAAAUUUAUGUAUUGAAACCUUGAACAACUUAUAAUAAGAGAGAGUAUACCAAGAUAUUGAACAAAAAAGAGACAUCAAAUCUUCUAUUGACAAAAGAUAAAGGAAAAUGAUAAAUGGUACGAUUGUAAUGUCUACGAAGUUUCACGAACGAGCGGAUUUUGAAAUGUUUCACCUUAUAUGAGCACCUCUAUAUCAAUCUUGUCGGAUUCUUCCAAGCUAACACAUGUUUUUAAUUGACGCUUUAUAACACAUGAUGAAAUUGAUUUCUAAAAUACUUCUCUUCCAAAUUUCUAGUAAGGUGGUUGUAUUUUUUUAUGUUUAAUUUAAUCUACUUAAUUUUAAAAAAAUAAAAAAUUCGUGAAAUUUCAAAUGAAAGACUUACGUACUAUUUAGCAGUAAAAAUUUGAAUACAUCAUAAGUAUGUUCGUGCUCUAUUCUCUAUUCGUAACAUGUUUUGGCUGGUUUUUAGUAAAGAAUGAACAUUAUCUUAUUGAUUUUUUUUGUGAUUUUUUUUUCCUAUUCUCAUUAUCUUACUAAUUAACUAUUACUCCAUGUUCUUGUUCUUUUAAAUUUGUUUUAGACAAACACGAUUGUAUUUAUUCCAUUUAAAUUUUUUAAAUAUACCCUAAUUUGAUCCACUUAUCUAUUUACUUUCUUUUCAUCAAUAUAGGAUUAAAUAAUUAAUAAAUAUAAAAGUAUAAUUGGUAACAAAGCAACGUAUGGUUGGAUUCAAACUAAUAUUUGAUGAUACAACCAAAAGAGAUCUCUUAUCAUCUCAUUCAAAUGCUUUUGGAUUCUCAGAUGCUCAAUUCAACAUCAAUUUAUCUUGUAAUGAUAAAGAGAGAACGACAAAGUGUAUGACAUUAUUGGUAAUCACUUUGUUUUGGUUGAUAUUUCCUCUACGAUUGUUAACUUGAUUUCAGUACAGUAUUUCGUCUGGGAUGUUUCAAUUGAGGUGAGAAAGAGAUUAUUUUUUCCCCUAGCCACAACAACACCUUCCUUCCAUGUCAUCUUGUUCGUAAUCAUUAAUUAGAAUUUUCCACUUACUGGCGGCUUGCUUUGAAGCAUUCAUGGAUAUUUGAAAUCUGAAGGCAAAUUGGCAAAAUCUUACGAGGCAUAGUUUGUAAACUCAUGAGUGAAUGAGUACAUGGUGAUGGGGAAAAAUGAAACUGAAACAGCGACAACGAAUCGGCAUGGUUUGAGCAAGCUACAUGUGGCAGUGAGAUAUGUUGGGGAGAAAAGAACUAAAGAGAUCGCAUGUACUUAUUUAAUCCAACAGUUAAAUGGAACUUAAUUGAACCGGUAUAUUAGUGAGGGACUUAAUUGAACCCUCACCUUAGAAGCCACAAUUGUAUUCCGUAAAAAAAGAAGUUAAUUCUUGUGUUUUGUGGGCUAAUAUAUCGUGGAGUAAAGUAAUUCUGAAUGUAAAAAAAUAUGUAGAAAUGAAACAAUCAAAACGUUAAUGAAAGGACAUUAAACACUGUGUCCUACAAUCAUUUGCAUAAAUAAAUGCAAUUCUAUGUCAAAAUUUCCUCUGACAAAGCUAAAAAAUACAACCCCAGGAAACCCUGUCACCACUGAAAUAGUUGUGAUUGGAUUGAAUGGACGAAUCUACAUAAUUCCUGUCACAAACAUACAGCACCGCUACAAUAUACAAAGGCCUAGUGGACAAAGGAUGAGGUGAAAUAAUGCCGUGGUCAUCUGAUUCUCUUCCACAUCAGAAUCUCUGUAGUUUUAUGGAUAACGGCUCUAUCAACUAUACUAUACAUUCAAUAUAUAUCCACCCGCAUUAAAAAUUAUGAUUGCAUGCCACAGCAUCAGUGGCAAAUAUGUUCUCAAAAUCUAGGGAAGGAAAGGAAAUUAAUUCCCUUUACCUUAAUCACGCUACAGAGGGUCAAGGGAUCCACUUUUCAGCCGUUCCAUCCGUGCUUGAAGCCCUGACAAAGCUUUUUCAUCUACAGGAUGUACCCCACCUUGUAAAGUAUUUUCAGCUCCAACAUGUUCUGAUGCAAGAGGAAUCUGACUAUGAGGAAGUCCAUGGUUAAAGUUAUCGUUAACACUUGUCAAUGGCCUAGUACCAGAUUCUGUGCUCCCAGCAGCAGCUGCUAAUUGCAUGCUCUUCAUUCUCUCUCUGAUUGCAUCCAAUGUCCCACUUGUUACUGCAGUUGAGUAACCUCUCCAAGUCAAUAUUCUUUCUUUAAAAUAAACAAUUACGAAAAACAAAACUUACCAUACCUCCGGUCAUAAAUUUAUCAUUUCUUUGGUCACCUAAGGUGUAAUCAGAACUUAACACUCUCGAUGCAAAGGCAUUCACAGCCCUAUUCUCCUCACUGUAUGAUGAUGGCGGUAGAUUGAAAUUUGUUGGUUCGGAUUUCACAUUUAAUCUGGCGUCAUUCAAUGAAUUUGCAUUUACAGGAGAGAGGGGUGCAAAAUCUGGGGAAGAUAUAUUUAAAGAUGCUGGUGGAGGAGUCGGCAUUGGCAUGCUUGACGGAGUUCUUCCAGCUGCAGCAUUCUUCGCCAUCUGCCGAAAUGUUAAAAUCAAUUGCCAAUUGUCAAAUACUCAACUGUACUCGUCACAAUCAUAAACAUAGAAAUAAUAAUGCAGGUUCAGUUAAGCACAUAAGUAUUUUCAUCAACCUGGGCAAGACCAUCUCUGAUGUAAGUGCGAAAUGCCUCACUGGCAUUUUGAAGCUGAUCAAAUAUGUCAACCUAUGGUAAACCAAGAACCUUAAUCAAAUAUAAGAUAAAUAAAAGAAUACAAGCCAGAGGUUUAUUGAUAUGUGAAAAAUAACAUGAAACUUGAAUAUACACUUAAUUUGAUACCUCUGGGUACAAUUGAGUAAUCCGAUAAAGUUCAUAUAGACCAAUUGUGCAAGUUUGCUUCUCCCCGAUCUUCUUAAAUAUUGCAGCCAACUCUUGCUGCAAUUUAUUUAUUUUCAAGUAUAGAAACAGAAGACAAUGAAUGUUAGGUCAUUGCAGUUACAAUCAUAUAUGUAAUAACUCAUACAAGCACAAAAAACAGGUAAAACUGAUUAAAUUGAGAUAUAUAGACAUAGAAAGCACAAAGUGGCAUUAUUGUAUACCUAGUAUGCUUUUAAUUACUAAAUUUCCAAGUAUAAUAGCAUAAAAGUUUGAAAAACUAAUUAUAAAAGCUAAAGAUUAAGUACAUCCUAACUUUAUUCAAGAUAAACUUAAUGCAGGGAAUAAAACUAAACAUCGGUGACAAAAAAUUCAAAAAUAUUUCUUGCAUAAAAUAGAUUAUUUUAGUAGACUAUAAUGUGAAGGUUUUUACGACCUUCUAUACAUUAGAAUACAAUCAAACCUAAUUCACACCUUAAGGCAUCAUAAAAUUAUCCAUUAUAUUCAUGUAUAAGAGACGUUUAUACUAUUGAAAAAUUCGUGAUGUAUUUAAUUUACAAAUAGAAAAUGCCAUUGCCUAAGGAAGCAUGCAUGCCAUCCGAGCACUAAUUGUGAUACCCAAAACACUAAGAAAUACCUUCAACUGGGCAUCAGCAGAAUGGGUUCCAGCCGCUGAGUUAUUGGUUGCUGAAUCAUUCCAAUGGUUUGGCCCCCCGGGUCCAGAUGCAGUCAACAUUCUUGCAGCAGCCAAAGUCUGAAGUUUAAGUGUAAGAAAGAACAUAUAUUAACACAUGUAUAUAAAGCCCCCCCAAAAAAAUCAAAUGCCUACCUCAAGAUUAAGUUCAAUGUAAGCAAGGAUGAUGGGUUGAGGUUUCGUAUCGAUAGGAACCAUUGAGAGAUGACCCUUAAUUGCUGCACCACGAAGCUUAACAAGCUCGUGCAGAACAGUUUUCACCAUUCGUAAGGGUUUGUCAUCAGCACCGGCCCUGUUAAAUUGAAACAUUUUAUAAAAAUGAUUUAGUCAAAUAGAAGUAACUCGAUGCAACAACAAUGGCUAUAGCUAUGUACCUUCUCCUAAUUUCCUCCAUUCCCAAGUCUUGCAAGUACAGAUGGAUGCUUUGAAGUAUGCGAUCCAAGUCAACAUCAUAGAUGGUGCUCUGAAGGACCUGAAUUGCAUCAAAAUGCAUGUGAAAUAAUGCAACCAAGUUUUAAAGAUCAAGUCUAUCUGAACGUAAUUUUGUAAAUUUCAGCUGAGUCUUGACAUGAAAAAUUCGGUCAAUUAUCAAUAGAACUGUAUAAUUUAAGAUUUUUGCUACUGGGUGGCAAGUUACCUUUGUAAGCUUGAUAAGGCAUUUCACAACCAGAUCAGAAAACUUCUGGUUUCUGGUAGCAAGUGACUCAUUUGGUGCAGGUGAAGGCCACCUCGAUGGAUCUAGCGGACGUAAAAGAUUAAUUAGGACAACAAAGGAUGAAGUUCGAUCUGCAUUAUCCUGUAAUGAUGAUCACUAGUCAGUAAACUAACUUGCAUUUGUUAUUUUCAGUAUAAAAAAACACAUUAUCAUUACUACCAUGAUAUGAAGUUUCAUUUCAAACAAAAGGGCAAAUAAAAUAAAUCAAUUAAAAGCAAGUCUCUUACCAGAAUCUUAAGCAUCAAUACAUUCAAUGCUUUCAACAACUGGCUUCCAUCAUCCAUGCGUGGAACAUUAUCAUCCAAGAGCCACAGAAGAAGCUCUGUAAUGAGGCUAUCAAGAGUGCUCUCUUUUACAGCAUGUGCUAAUCUUUUAUUUUGAAAAGUCUGUAAAGGGGUUGUAAAUAGAAACAAUUACUAAAAGACGCAAUAAUCUCAAUAUACACUGAAGAAAAACGGAAAAUACA